UUGGGACCCUAUCUACAUCUAUUUAUAAGAUUAACAGGUGCCAGACUAUGCCAUUACAAAUUAUCCCCUCAUCAGAUAUUUCGUUAAAAUUCAUUCGAAACACUACAACUAAACAAUCGAAUAUGGCUGUGCGGGUCGAUGAUGCCAGCAGCAAUGAGACUGCAAUUAUCACUUGUUUAGUUUCUGUGCUUGCCGUGGUUUACUUCGCAUGGAAUGUGAAAAAAUCAAGGAAAGCAAAUGCUAAACUUCCACCAGGACCUCGCGGCUUGCCUGUAGUCGGAUACCUCCCAUUUCUCGGAACUACCGACUUGCACAAGAGAUUCACGGAAUUAUCCGGAGUUUACGGUCCGAUCUUCAAGCUCUGGCUCGGAAAUAAAUUAUGUGUAGUGGUGAGCUCACCUUCCCUAGUUAAACAAGUGGUUCGUGAUCAAGAUACAACAUUCGCAUACCGUGACCCGCCGAUCGCUGGACUAGUGGCCACCUUUGGUGGCAAUGAUAUUGCGUGGUCCAAUUACGGUCCCGAAUGGAGAAAGUUGCGCAAAUUUUUUGUGGGCAAGAUGAUGAGUAACGCAAGCCUUGAUGCUUGUUAUGCUCUAAGAAAACAAGAGGUUAAAAAUACUAUCAGGGAUUUGUACAACAACGACAACAAAAUUGGUAAGCCCAUUGACAUUGGUGAAUUGUCGAUUUCAACCUUGGUAUGUGCUAUGCAGAACAUGCUGUGGGGUGAAGCGCUUGAAUUAAAAGAGAAACGGACCACUAAUCUUGGGGUUGAGCUAAAAUUUAAGCUUGCAGAACUCAUGGUGCUACUGGGAACACCGAAUAUUUCGGAUAUCUUUCCAAUGCUUUCAUGGCUCGACAUACAAGGUAUAGAGAGGAGAGCAAAGAAGAUUUCACUCUGGUUUGAAAAUGUUAUAAAUUCUACUGUUGAAAAGUAUAGAAGCAAGGACUUUAUUGUUGAAGGUAAACAAAGAGCAGGGGAAAAUUUUGUAGGAUCAAAUAACAAGAACUUCUUGCAGUUACUAUUGGAGCUUCAAGAAAAUGAAGACGGUUCUUCCUCAAUUAGCAUGAACCAAUUUAAGGGCGUGCUCGCGGUAUGUUAAGCAACUAGCCACGAACAGUUAUACAAGCACAGUUGUAUAUUUGCAUGAGUGACGCUUCUCAACUUUUUUUAAUUUUUUAAGUUAAAGUUUUAUUGUAAUCUUUUGAACAGGAUAUAAUUACGGGUGGAACCGACACCACAACUACGAUGGUGGAAUGGACAAUGGCAGAGUUGAUGCAGCAUCCACAAGUAAUGAAGAAAGUUCAGGAAGAAUUAGCUCAAGUUGUGGGCAUGGACAGUUGUGUUGAAGAAUUUCAUUUGCCUAAACUGAAAUAUUUAGAUGCUGUGGUGAAAGAAUCGUUUCGUCUGCAUCCUGCAUUGCCUUUAUUAGUACCACGCAGAGCAAGCGAGAGUGGCAGCAUUGGUGGCUAUACCAUUCCCAAAGAUACAACUCUUAUGUUGAAUGUUUGGGCUAUCCACAGGGACCCUCAACUUUGGGAUAAUCCCUUAGAAUUUCGACCCGAGAGGUUUCUGAAUGUUGGUAUCGAGAGUAAGUUCGAUUACUCAGGUAACAAUUUUCAGUACUUGCCAUUUGGUUCCGGUAGAAGGAUGUGUGCUGGGAUUCCUCUAGCUGAGAGGAUGCUGAUGUUUGUUUUGGCUUCGUUAUUGCACUCAUUCGAGUGGGAAUUGCCAGCUGGCACAAAGCUAAACUUAUCUGAAAAAUUUGGGAUUGUCAUUAAGAAAAAAGAGCCUUUGGUUGCUAUUCCAACACCAAGACUAUCCAAUUCAGAGCUCUACCAUUAAGACAGAAUGAUUGUGAUGAUUUUGUUAGUAUCGGAAGAUUUGUAUGUUAUUUCAAGUUCAAUCGUAAUAAAAUAUUUUAAUAAAAGUCCUCCGUUGCUAAUUUUUUUUUUUCAACGGCAUAAUCUGUCAUCGUGCUUGUGUUUGGAGCUACUUUGGAAUGAUUAUUUUUGAAUUACAAUUUAUAAAUAUUUACGUUUUAAAUUUUUUAUAAGAGUCUAAAUUUAUACACGUUCAGUAAAAGAUUCCCUAAAAGCUUUACAAUUCAAAAUUCUAUUAAAAGUAUAGAUGAAACUUUUAUACCUACUAAUUUUUUGGUCUAUUCUACGAGUUUAAAGAGGAGAUAUUUCUAGAGUUAGCAAAAAGUGUUACAUGAUUGUUUUCGCGUAAUGUCAUUUUUUAUUGUGUUAAAUUUAGUUUGACUCAAAUAUGACCCAUUUAAUAAUCGUGUCAAAAUAUUGAAAUUUGAACUCAACACAGAAAAUAAAUGGGUGACCAGUCACACCCAUUUAAUAAUUAGGUAACCAUGUCACUUAAUACGACAUAACCCAAUAACUCGUUUAAUACAUAUUUAACAUAAUUUAUAUUGUACAUUGUACACCCUUUUGUCAUAAAUUACACUAUUUUAUAUUUCUAAAUAAUAUUAUAUAUUGAUAUUGUAUAAAAAAAAUCAAUAAUCUCAAAAUUUGUACACCUCCUAACUUUUAAAAAGAAAUAAAAAACUAAUUAAUUAAUGUUUAUUUUAUUCAUUAAUAUAUCAUAAUCCUACAUGUGUUUUAUUUGUUAUUUUUUUAUUUAAAAAGAUAGGAAGGUGGAUGAAACUCAAAUAAAUUUUUAGCCUAUCUUGAUCUUUCAAGUUUCUUAUUUAAGUGGCCAGCUAAAGAAAAUUACUUGAAGCUACUCCAUCAAUUUAACAAAUUUUAUUUAUUUAUUUAAUGGAGGUGUAGAAAAUAAAAGUAUCUGCAAGCACAUUGCAAUAGUGAAAGCAAUGUACCGGUGUUGCAACAUAACUGAACCUUGAUAACCGAUCACAUAUUUUAAGUUUUAACAUUGGUAGUUCACGGAUCGGUUUCUACUUCCACGAACAAUUAUUGAAGGAAAUGAGUUUUUUUUUUAAUGAAUAUUUAUAGACCCCGAUUAAAUAUUCGAAUAUAUAAUAAAAGAGAAACUGACAUAGAAAUGAGAAAGAUAUUUGGAGGAGGCAAAAAAAAAAAAAAAAAAAAUGCAACAGAGAAUUAGAUCAGUAACACAAAUAACUAAUUAAUUCAUCUAUACAUCAUAAUCCUAUUUGUAUCUUCUUCCUUCUUCUAAUUUACAUAUAAAUUUGGUUAGAUAAAACAUAUUUUAAUACUCGGUCACAAGCGGUGGAUAUAGAAAAUUAAUUUAGAGGGGGUAAUACCAUAACGAAAAAUAAUGAUUCAUAAUUAAAAUCAACCCCAACAUCAAAACUUAUUUACAAGAUUACGCCCAGUCAAAGGUAAAUUUUCUUAAAAACUAAUAUGAAAUUAAAUAAAUUUAACUUUUAGUGGGUUCAAGUGCCCACGCAUUCUGAACGUAGAUCCACCCCUGGCCCCGACUGAAGCAUUUUUUUACAAUAUGUACUCAGUUUAUCAGCAGGAACAACCUUCCACUUUAAAUUAAAAUUUUCACUUAAAAAUGAUUAAUGUUAAUGAGGUUAGCAACAAAAAUGAGUUUAAUUAGAGAAUAUUAUAAGAGAAAUUAUAUUUUUUGACUUUUAAUAAAUUAAAAUAUAUUAAAAUAUUAUUAGUUGGUGGUGGUUUCACGUCAGAUUAAGACGUGACACUUUACUUAUGAGGUCGAGACAAUCGACUUAAAUUAUUUCAAUGCAUUUAAAAUUUAUACUAAUGGCUAUUAUUCUUUAUCCAAAUUAAUACGAUAAUUAAUAACAUACAAUUGAAAUAAUUAAUAUUAUCACUUGGCAAUAAAUAAAGCUCUUGUGCUUGAAUCGUCACACAUGAUCAUUUCAUUCCUUUAUUUACUUUGCUAACACAGAUUUUGAGGCAUUAAAACUAAAUAAUAAUUGAAUAUGGCUUUGUGCGUCGCUGACGCCAGCAGCAAGGGGACCUCAAUUAUCACUUUUUAAGUUGAUUAUUGCAGUGUUUUUAUUUUUUAUAUUAAAAUUAAGUCGAUUUGUUAUAAUAAACUUAGUUGAGUUUAAUGGUAUUACUACAAAAAUUGAAUAGUCAUUAAAUAUUUUAAUAUUUUUAUCGCAAUCAUUGCUGUAGCAUUUAUUUAUUGUAUGAUGAAUUUUAAAAUUUAUAAAAUUAUUUGUUAUUUAAUUACCCCAGAUGCUACAUCACCUGAAACUUAAUAAAGGGAACGUAGCAUUGCCAUUACUCAACAUUCACUCUUAUGACUUUUUUUUUUUUUUUUGUUUUAUCUACUAGGUAUUCUGGGGAGGGCCCCAACUGUGGGAGGCACCUUUAAGCCCAUACCACAAUUCAGAUUAGAAGUCCCCGCUCGAACCAGGAGGCACAUGUUCUCCCAACAAAGACGACUUCCCUGCGACUCGAACUGUGAAGCAAACCCAGUCAAACCACUUAAAGGGACUCCAUUACCAGUGGAGCCAACACUUUAUUGGUACUCUUAUGACUUUAUGACAUUAGAAUUAAAAUCUUUCGUACAUUUAAUUUGUUUGCUUCCAAAUUAAAUCUUUAAUAAAUAUUUUUUUCACAUUAUCAUGAAUGGACAAAACUCCAACGAAAAUAACUACACAAGAACAAUCUAUGCUAGUAUUAUAUGCCACGAUAUCUAUAACUUUGUCAGGAUCGAUCGGUCUAAUUUUUACGCAGAACUUUUUGUCAAUCGACAAACACCUCACAGAGCUUGUCACCUGUCAGCCGCAUUAUUACGAUGUAAAAUUGCACCGGAAUAUCUUGAAUUAUUAGUAGAAUAACGAAGACUAUUUGGAGCAAUAAAAACAAAUAACGCAGAUGAAAACAAUGGCUGAAAUUAUGUAAGUGAGCCCCAAAGUUUUUGCUAUUUCCUGGAAAUCCCCAAUUUGAAUGGACUAGAGGGAGGCACGUAAGAAAUACAUUUUCUUCCUAGACAAUGACAGCUAUGCAUCAAGCCACGGUGGCGUCAGUAUUGAAAUUAAGGUGUAAUUAUUCAGCCAAUGAGCCUUACACAUCAAGAUAAAAGUCAAGAAAAUGGAAAUUUGGCCGUUUCCAUUUUGAAGUUAAAAACAAAGUUUCUUUCGUUUUGUGGGCGACUCGACUGAUCAGUUGGUGGACACCUCUAUUGAAAAUAUCUCUGACAUUUCACUCGACAAACUUGUUAAUACAAAAAAUCUAUGAUUUUAUCGUCUGUAUACUGUAGAAAAAAAUUGUCUAUACAUCUGUGGUAUAGAUUUUAUGUAUUUCAUUACAAAAUGCUGGCCGUUAGAACUCUAUCUACAUCUAUUUAUAAGAUAUUUCGUUAUAAUUCAUUCUGAAACACUAAAACUAAAUAAUCGAAUAUGGCUUUCCCGAUCGAUGAUGCCAGCAGCAAUGAGACUGCAAUUAUCACUUGUUUAGUUUCUGUGCUUGCCGUGGUUUAUUUCGCAUGGAAUGUGAAAAAAUCAAGGAAAGCAAAUGCUACACUGCCACCAGGACCUCGCGGCUUGCCUGUAUUCGGAUACCUCCCAUUUCUCGGAAAUACUGACUUACACAAGAAGUUCACGGAAUUAUCUGGAGUUUAUGGUCCGAUCUUCAAGCUUUGGCUUGGAAAUAAAUUGUGUGUAGUGGUGAGCUCACCUUCCCUAAUUAGACAAGUGGUUCGUGAUCAAGAUACAACAUUCGCGAACCGUGACCCACCGAUGGCUGCACUAGUGGUCUCCUAUGGUGGCAAUGAUAUUGUACGGUCCAAUUACGGUCCCGAAUGGAGAAAGUUGCGCAAAUUUUUUGUGGGCAAGAUGAUGAGUAACGCAAGCCUUGAUGCUUGUUAUGCUCUAAGAAAACAAGAGGUUAAAAAUACUAUCAGGGAUUUGUACAACAACGACAACAAAAUUGGUAAGCCCAUUGACAUUGGUGAAUUGUCGAUUUCAACCUUGGUAUGUGCUAUGCAGAACAUGCUGUGGGCCUGUGGGGUGAAGCGCUUGAAAUAAGAGAGGAAGGGAUCACUAAUCAUGGGGCUGAGCUAAAAUUUAAGCUGGCAGAACUCAUGGUGCUAGCGGGAACACCGAAUAUUUCAGACAUCUUUCCAAUGCUUUCAUGGCUCGACAUACAAGGUAUAGAGAGGAGAGCAAAGAAGAUUUCACUCUGGUUUGAACAUAUUAUAAAUUCUACUGUUGAAAAGCAUAGAAGCAAGGACUUUAUUGUUGAAGGCAAAGAAAGAGCAGGGAAAAAUUUGGAAGGAUCAAGGAACAAGAACUUCUUGCAGUUACUAUUGGAGCUUCAAGAAAAUGAAGACGGUUCUUCCUCAAUUAGCAUGAACCAAUUUAAGGCCGUACUCGUGGUAUGUUAAGCAACUAGCCGCAAACAGUUAAACAAGCACAGCUGUAUAUUUUGCAUGAGUGAUAUUUUCAACUUUUUUUUUAAUUAGAAUUUUAUUGUAACCUUUUGGACAGGAUAUAAUUACGGGUGGAACCGACACCACAACUACGAUGGUGGAAUGGACAAUGGCAGAGUUGAUACAGCAUCCACAAGUAAUGAAGAAAGUUCAGGAAGAAUUAGCUCAAGUUGUGGGCAUGGACAGUUGUGUUGAAGAAUUUCAUUUGCCUAAACUGAAAUAUUUAGAUGCUGUGGUGAAAGAAUCGUUUCGUCUACAUCCUGCAUUGCCUUUAUUAGUACCACGCAGAGCAAGCGAGAGUGGCAGCAUUGGUGGCUAUACCAUUCCCAAAGAUACAACUCUUAUGUUGAAUGUUUGGGCUAUCCACAGGGACCCUCAACUUUGGGAUAAUCCCUUAGAAUUUCGACCCGAGAGGUUUCUGAAUGUUGGUGUCGAGAGUAAGUUCGAUUACUCAGGUAACAAUUUUCAGUACUUACCAUUUGGUUCUGGUAGAAGGAUGUGUGCUGGGAUUCCUCUAGCUGAGAGGAUGCUGAUGUUUGUUUUGGCUUCGUUAUUGCACUCAUUUGAGUGGGAAUUGCCAGCUGGCACAAAGCUAAACUUAUCUGAAAAAUUUGGGAUUGUUAUUAAGAAAAAAGAGCCUUUGGUUGCUAUUCCAACACCAAGACUAUCCAAUUCAGAGCUUUACCAUUAAGACAGAAUGAUUGUGAUGAUUUUGUUAGUAUCGGAAGAUUUGUAUGUUAUUUCAAGUUCAAACGUAAUAAAAUAUUUUAAUAAAAGUCCUCCGUUGCUAUUUUUUUUUUUCAACGGCAUAAUCUGUCAUCAUGCUUGUGUUUGGAGCUACUUUGGAAUGAUUAUUUUUUAAUUACAAUUUAUAAAUAUUUACAUUUUAAAAUUUUUAUAAGAGUCUAAAUUUAUACAUGUUCAAUAAAAGAUUCCCUAAAAAUUUUACAAUUCAAAAUUCUAUUAAAGUAUAGAUGAAACUUUUAUACCUACUAAUUUUUUGGUCUAUUCUACGAGUUUAAAGAGAAUAUAUUUUUAGAGCUAGCAAAAAGAGGUACUUGAUUGUUUUCGCGUUAUGUCAAUUUUUUUAUUGUGUUAAAUUUAAUUUGACCCACAUAUGACCCAUUUAAUAAUUGUGUCAAAAUAUCAAAAUUUAAACUCGACACGGAAAAUAAAUGGAUGACCAUACACACCCAUUUAAGAAUUAGGUAACUAUGUCACUUAAUACGAUAUAACCCAAUAACUCGUUUAAUACAUAUUUAACUUAAUUUACAUUGUACAUUGUACAACCUUUUAUCAUAAAUUACACUAUUUUAUAUUUCUAAAUAAUAUUAUAUAUUGAUAUUAUAAAAAAAAAUCAAUAAUCUCAAAAUUUGUACACCUCCUAACUUUUGAAAAGAAAUAAUAAAACUAAUUAAUUAAUGUUUAUUUUAUUCAUUAAUAUAUCAUAAUCCUACAUGUAUUUUAUUUGUUAUUUUUUUUUAUUUAAAAAGAUAGGAGGGUGGAUGAAACUCAAAUAAAUUUUUAGCCUAUCCUGAUCUUUCAAGUUUCUUAUUUAGGUGGCCAGCUGAAAAAAAUUACUUGAAAGCUACUCCAUCAAUUUAACAAAUUUUAUUUACUUAAUUAAUGGAGGUGUAGAAAAUAAAAGUAUCUGCAAGUACAUUGCAAUAGUGAAAGCAAUGUACCGGUGUUGGAACAUAACUGAACCCUGGUUACCUAUCACAUAUUUUAAGUUUUAACUUUGGUAGUUCACGGAUCGGUUUCUACUUCCACGAACAAUUAAUGUAGGAAAUGAGUUUUCUUUAUUUUUUAAUGAGUAUUUAUAGACCCCGAUUAAAUAUUGGAAUCUAUCUAUCUAUAUAUAUAUAAAGUUAGGACUUGAGGAGGUGAUGUAGCAUCACCAUUUCUCAUCUUUGUAUAUUCUCUAUUAUCUAAUAAAUAGAGAAAUUUUCUUUUACAUUUAGUUUUUCAUCUUCUCAUAAUUAAUUUGAUUGUCAUUACACAAUAACAAUUAUGUAAAGAUUUUAAUGAGACAUAUUUUUUGUAAUGAACAAGGAGGAGUAUUAUGAAUUUAUUAAAAUAAAUGUAGAUGUUCAUAACAUAUAUCUCUUAGUCUCCUCACUAUCUCUCAUUAGCAACAUUUAGCUUCCCUAUAACUCCCACUAUCUCAUAAGGAAUUAUGAUCCAUAAUUUUUCAUUAAUUUCAUGGAGUGAUUAUGUAACUAUAAAAGAAGAGCUCAUCUUUUUGUUUUGUACACACACAAUUGGAAUGAAUAAAAUCACUCUAUAAUAUAUUCUCUCAUUUUAUUCUUUAUUUUGCGUUGCUUCUUUAUUUGUAUUGCUGGCUAAUAGUUUUUAUUUUUAUUUUUUAUAAGGUUGCCUCAUCUUAAAAAAAAAUCAAUUCAUAUUUUUUAUCAGUUUCAUCAAGUGUAAAGUAAGAAAAAAAUAUAAUACUAAUUUUUUUUUUCAAAUAAAUGUAGAUGUUCAUAACAUAUAUCUCUUAGUCUCCCAACUAUCUCUCAUUAGCAACAUUUAGCUUCCCUAUAACUCCCACUAUCUCAUAAGGAAUUUUGAUCCAUAAUUUUUCAUUAAUUUCAUGGAGUGAUUAUGUAACUAUAAAAUAAGAGCUCAUCUUUUUUGUUUUGUACACACAUAAUUGGAAUAAAUAAAAUCACUCUAUAAUAUAUUCUCUCAUUUUAUUCUUUAUUUGUAUUGCUGGCUAAUAGUUUUUAUUUUUAUUUUUUAUAAGGUUGCCUCAUCUUAAAAAAAAAUCAAUUCAUAUUUUUUAUCAGUUUCAUCAAGUGUAAAGUAAGAAAAAAAUAUAAUACUAAUUUUUUUUUUCAAAUAAAUGUAGAUGUUCAUAACAUAUAUCUCUUAGUCUCCCCACUAUCUCUCAUUAGCAACAUUUAGCUUCCCUAUAACUCCCACUAUCUCAUAAGGAAUUUUGAUCCAUAAUUUUUCAUUAAUUUCAUGGAGUGAUUAUGUAACUAUAAAAUAAGAGCUCAUCUUUUUUGUUUUGUACACACAUAAUUGGAAUAAAUAAAAUCACUCUAUAAUAUAUUCUCUUAUUUUAUUCUUUAUUUUGCGUUGCUUCUUUAUUUGUAUUGCUGGCUAAUAGUUUUUUUUUUUUUUUUUUAUAAGGUUGCCUCAUCUUAAAAAAAAAUCAAUUCAUAUUUUUUAUCAGUUUCAUCAAGUGUAAAGUAAGAAAAAAAUAUAAUACUAAAUUUUUUUUUCAAAGCCGCGUGAAGCGCGGUUCUAUUUUCUAGUAUAUAAUAAAAGAGAAACUGACAUAGAAAUGAGAAAGAUAUUUGGAGGAGGCAAAAAAAAAAAAAAAAAAUGCAACAGAGAAUUAGAUCAGCAACACAAGUAACUAAUUCAUCUAUACAUCAUAAUCCUAUUUGUAUCUUCUUCCUUCUUCUAAUUUACAUAUAAAUUUGGUUAGAUAAAACAUAUUUUAAUACUUGGUCACAAGUGGUGGAUAUAGAAAAGGGUAAUUUUCAGUUUCAUCACCUGAGGUUUGGGGUCCCUUCAGUUAGAUAGAUUCUAUGAGGGUAUCUCCACUUUGCACUCCUACCGUUCGUAUAAUGUUUAGUAUAAGUUUAGUUUACGAGAAUAAAUAAGUAAUUGCAUGAUAAAUUAUUAAAUAUUAAGAUAAUUUUGAAUUUUUACACUCUGCAAACUGGAACCUGUUGAAACAUUGUGGUGCUCGCUAGCCAAUAAUCAAAAAUCAAACGACACCCAUUUUGAAGAAACCCUAAGACAAAAUCAAACGACACCCAUUUCAAGCUUAUUAACUAGAGAGAUUUCGAAGAAACCCUAAGUCAAAAUCAAACGACACCCAUUUCUCAUUCCACUCUCCUCGAACUCGAAUCCCUCUUACAAUCGAUUGAUCCAGACACCCUUUACCGAUUCACCGAUCAACUCUCCUCCAAAAAAACUCUCUUUAUCCUCUCUCAUUCCUCCAAUUUCUUGCGCCAUGGAUGCGGGCCCCACCAAUAUCUCCCUCUUGGCCUCCAAAAUUUACCUUGCAUUGCUUCUCUCCCCGAACUCCCCUGUCUUCACUUUGUUCACUCCCAUGGCGUUCCUCUCCCUUCGCCGCUCCCUCAAGAGUUUUAAGCGCGUGUCUGAUAGCGGGUCCCACUCUAGUGUUAACCACAAAAGAAAAGGUGGUGGCAGGCGGGUUCAGCGGGCGAAUGAAUUUAACGAGGAUGAGAGCGAGGGUGGAUUUGAUGCUAGGAGUUUGUGUUUGGUUGUUGAGAAGUUGGAAUUUGUUGUGGGGUUGGUUUAUUUGAAUAGAUUUCUAGAUUGUUUGAAGUCUUUGAUACAGACUGUUGUUGAGAUUCUGGUCUCUUUGCUUGAAUUGGGAGGUUAUGAGAAAUUGAAUGUUUGUUUUCAGGGAUUUUGAUUAAGUUGUUGAGGGGGGAGCAUGGUGAUGUGAUGAGUACAACUGCAUAGGUUUUGAAGUCAUUAGUGCCAUUGAUUUUGAUGGGCAAAUGUCAAGCGAGGAGUUUUGCAUUAGGAUUUUUGAUGAAUGGAGUGAUGGGUGUGGCUAAAGAGAUCGACGGGGUCAAGAAGGCAGUUGUGAAUUUGCCGAAGUACUUGGUGAACAAGGCCCUGGAGAAGGCCGAGCUGAGGGGAUUAGCUGUGGAGGCAAUUAUGGAGAUUGUUAAAGCAAUGGAGGUUGAGGAUCAAAUGGGGUUUGUUGAAUAUACUGUUAAAGCUGACUAAAGGGAAGGCUAAUCUUAGCCUAGUUGCAGUUGAUCUGAUAUUAAUGCUAAUGACGUCGAUGAGAGAUCCAUUGAAUCUCUCGUUUACGACAUUCAGUUUAGUUAAUAAGCUUGAAAAAAAAAAAAAAGGGGCUCCAGUUGGUUAUUAAAAUAGUUUUAUUGAUGCAAGGGUGUUUUAGUCAUUUAAUCAGUCAAUUAACAGUCAAAUAAAUGUUAUCCUAACGGUAGGGGUGUAAAGUGGAGAUACACUCAUACAAUCUAUCAAAGUGAAAGGACCCCAAAUCUCAGGGGAGGAAACCGAAAAUUACCCAUAUAGAAAAUUAAUUUAGAGGGGGUAAUACCGUAACGAAAAAUAAUGAUUCAUAAUUAAAAUCAACCCCAACAUCAAAACUUAUUUACAAGAUCACCCCCAGUCAAAGGUAAUUUUUCCUAAAAACUAAUACGAAAUUAAAUAAAUUUAACUUUUAGUGGGUUCAAUUGCCCACGCAUUCUGAACGUAGAUCCACCCCUGGCCCCGACUGAAGCAUUUUUUACAAUAUGUACUCUGUUUAUCAGCAGGAACAACCUUCCACUUUAAAUUAAAAUUUUCACUUAAAAAUGAUUAAGGUUAAUGAGGUUAGUAACAAAAAUGAGUUUAAUUAGAGAAUAUUAUAAGAGAAAUUCUAUUUUUUGACUUUUAAUAAAUUAAAAUAUAUUAAAAUAUUAUUAAUUGGUGGUGGUUUCACAUCAAAUUAAGACAUGACACCUAAUUUAUGAGGUGGAGACAAUCGGCUUAAACUAUUUUAAUGCAUUUAAAAUUUGUACUAAUGACUAUCAUUCUUUGUCCUAAUUAAUACGAUAAUUAAUAACAUACAAUUGAAAUAAUUAAUAUUAGCACUUGGCAAUAAAUAAAGCUCUUGUGCUUGAAUCGGCGCACAUGAUCAUUUCAUUCCUUUAUUUACUUUGCUACCACAGAUUUUGAGGCAUUAAAACUAAAUAAUAAUUGAAUAUGGCUUUGUGCGUCGAUGACGCCAGCAACAAGGGGACCGCAAUUAUCACUUUUUAAGUUGCUACUAAAAUUGAUUUUAGUAGUGAUAUGAUUAUUGCAGUGUUUUUAUUUUUUAUAAUAAAAUUAAGUCGAUUUGUUAUAAUAAACUUAGUUGAGUUUAAUGGUAUUAUUACAGAAAUUAAAGUCAUUAAAUAUUUUAAUAUUUUUAUCGUAAGCAUUGACAUGGUAUUUAUUUAUUUAUUGUAUGAUGGAUUUUAAAAUUUAUAAAAUUAUUUGUUAUUAAAUUACCCCCAGAUGCUACAUCACCUGAAACUUAAUAAAGGGAACGUAGCAUUGCCAUUACUCAACAUUCACUCUUAUGACUUUAUGACAUUAGAAUUAAAAUCUUUCGUACAUUUAAUUUGUUUGCUUCCAAAUUAAUCUUUAAUAAAUAUUUUUUUCACAUUAUCAUCAAUGGAAAAAACUCCAACGAAAAUAACUACACAAGAACAAUCUAUGCUAGUAUUAUAUGCCACGAUAUCUAUAACUUUGUCAGGAUCGAUCAUUCUAAUUUUUACGCAGAACUUUUUGUCAAUCGACAAACACCUCACAGAGCUUGUCACUUGUCAGCCGCAUUAUUACGAUGUAAAAUUGUACCGGAAUAUCUUGAAUUAUUAGUAGAAUAACGAAGACUAUUUGGAGCAAUAAAAGAAUCCAGCUGUGGUGCCACAAUUAUAUGGUACCACAGCUGGAUCUAACCAUUAAAUUUAGCUCUGGUGACAAUUGUGGGUUAGAUCCAAUGGUUGGAUCCAUCUGUGGUACCAUACAACAGUGGUACCACAGAUUUGUCCGCAAUAAAAACAAAUAACGCAGAUGAAAACAAUGGCUAAAAUUAUGUAAGUGAGCCCCAAAGUUUUUGCUAUUUCCAGGAAAUCCCAAAUUUGAUUGGACUAGAGGGAGGCAGGUAAGAAAUACAUUUUCUUCCUAGACAAUGACAGCUAUGACAUCAAGCCACUGCUAUUAUUAAUUAUCCCCUGGUCAUUACAGUUUGUUAAUAUUCAUUCUGAAACAGUAAAACAAAAACGAAAUUGAAUACAUCAACGAGACCGCAAUUAUCACUUGUUUAGUUGCGGUAUUUAACUUAAUUUUAAUCUAAUAUAUUUGUUAGUUAAACUUUUAAUAAUCAAAUAAUUUUGAUUUAAAAAUAAAGUUAUAGAAAUUAAUAAUUAUUAAAAAUUCACAAUUAAGGGAACGUUCAUCAAACACACAUAGCUAUUGUUUUCUCUAUAUAUUGCAGUGUGUACGAUAUUGAGGGUUGAAGUCCCAAGCAUGCUCUAAAAUCCAGAUAAUAUUUAGAUCCAAGCAAACUAGAGUAGUGAUUUAAUGAAAAUCAUAUGUAUUGAAAAAAAAUGAAAAGAGGUCAUAAACUAGAACAAAAAUAUAAUCAUAUUCAAGUAAACUUAAUAGAUAAACCCUAAGUUCGUGCACGAGAGUUGAACUCUAUGAAUUUUACUCAAUAAUUUGAUGCAUACAAAAUAUAUACGAGUUUAUGAGUGACGUAUAAGUACUAAAAGAGUUAAGUAAUAAGUAAAUAAAAUAAACCAAGUGGCAUGACAUUGAUUCAAUAUUAUUGUAUCAAUAUUUAUGAAAGAAAUUGUAUUAAAAUUAAAUUGUAUGUUGAGUAUUGAUCUUGUCGUCUCAUUAUGUUUAGAUAUCUUAAUAUUAAAUCGAUAUAUGUUGUAUCGUUGGUUGAUUAAAUGUCAUAUCAUUUAAAGUAUAUCCUUAACUAACUGAAUUAAUAGCAUAAAUAAUUUAUUUCAAGAAGUCUUUGACCAGGUAAUGUAAAUGAGAUUUGCAGCUUUGAGAAGAAACAUAAUAUUUCAAACGUAGAAUAUUAAAACGUAACUAUCAUAUUAUCAUUCUUGUUUUUUAAAUCUGAAUAAUUGAGAAUGCAAUUUUAGAAGUCAACUUUAAUGAGAUCGCAUACCAAUUCCAAUAUUUAAUCAAAUCUUGACCGUCCCUCAAUCAAUCAACGGUGCGAAACAAUUAGUGAAUCCACAUAUGAGCCAUGAUUAGUUGGUGGUGAUGAAGGCUGUUAUUGGCGGAGCUCAAAGUUAUUAUGUGCAUGUUGGGUGGAUAUCUCUAUUGAAAAUAUCUCUGAUAUUUCACUCGACAAACUUGUUAAUAUAAAAAAUCUAUGGUUUUGCCGUCUGUAAACUGUAGAAAAAAUUGACUCUACGUUAAUCUAAAUGUUUGAGGUGAUUAGAAAUUACCGACUAUAAAGGGGAAUAAUUUAUAGGUUGAUUGAUACAUCUCUAUUGAAAAUAUCUCUGACAUUUCACUCGACAAACUCAUUAAUAUAAAAAAUCUAUGGUUUUGCCAUCUGUAUACUGUAGAAAAAUUUGUCUAUACAUUAAUCUAGAUGUUGGAGGUGGUUAAUAUUUUAUGUAUUUCAUUAUCAAAUGCUGGCCGUUGGGACCCUAUCUACAUCUAUUAAUAAGAUUAACAGGUGCCAGACUAGGCCAUUACAAAUUAUCCCCUCAUCAGAUAUUUCGUUAAAAUUCAUUCUGAAACACUAAAACUAAAUAAUUGAAUAUGGCUUUGCGGGUCGAUGAUGCCAGCAGCAAUGAGACUGCAAUUAUCACUUGUUUAGUUUCUGUGCUUGCCGUGGUUUACUUCGCAUGGAAUGUGAAAAAAUCAAGGAAAGCAAAUGCUAAACUUCCACCAGGACCUCGCGGCUUGCCUGUAGUCGGAUACCUCCCAUUUCUCGGAACUACUGACUUGCACAAGAAAUUCACGGAAUUAUCCGGAGUUUAUGGUCCGAUCUUCAAGCUCUGGCUCGGAAACAAAUUAUGUGUCGUGGCGAGCUCACCUUCCCUAGUUAAACAAGUGGUUCGAGAUCAAGAUACAACAUUCGCCAACCGUGACCCGCCGAUCGCUGUACUAGCGUUCACCUAUGGUGGCAAUGAUAUUGCAUGGUCCAAUUACGGUCCCGAAUGGAGAAAUUUGCGCAAAGCUUUUGUGGGCAAGAUGAUGAGUAACGCAAGCCUUGAUGCUUGUUAUGCUCUAAGAAAACAAGAGGUUAAAAAUACUAUCAGGGAUUUGUACAACAACGACAACAAAAUUGGUAAGCCCAUCGACAUUGGUGAAUUGUCAAUUUCAACCUUGGUAUGUGUUAUUCAGAACAUGCUGUGGGGUGAAGCGCUUGAAACAAGAGAGGAAGGGAUCACUAAUCUUGGGGCUGAGCUAAAAUUUAAGCUGGCAGAACUCAUGGUCCUAAUGGGAACACCGAAUAUUUCGGACGUCUUUCCAGUGCUUUCAUGGUUUGAUAUACAAGGUAUAGAGAGGAAAGCAAAGAAGAUUUCACUCUGGUUUGAAAAUAUUAUAAAUUCUACUGUUGAAAAGUAUAGAAGCAAGGACUUUAUUGUUGAAGGUAAAGAAAGAGCAGGGGAAAAUUUUGAAGGAUCAAGGAACAAGAACUUCUUGCAGUUACUAUUGGAGCUUCAAGAAAAUGAAGACGGUUCUUCCUCAAUUAGCAUGAACCAAUUUAAGGGCGUGCUCGCGGUAUGUUAAGCAACUAGCCACGAACAGUUAUACAAGCACAGUUGUAUAUUUGCAUGAGUGACGCUUCUCAACUUUUUUUAAUUUUUUAAAUUAAAGUUUUAUUGUAAUCUUUUGAACAGGAUAUAAUUACGGGUGGAACCGACACCACAACUACGAUGGUGGAAUGGACAAUGGCAGAGUUGAUGCAGCAUCCACAAGUAAUGAAGAAAGUUCAGGAAGAAUUAGCUCAAGUUGUGGGCAUGGACAGUUGUGUUGAAGAAUUUCAUUUGCCUAAACUGAAAUAUUUAGAUGCUGUGGUGAAAGAAUCGUUUCGUCUGCAUCCUGCAGUGCCUUUAUUAGUACCACGCAGAGCAAGCGAGAGUGGCAGCAUUGGUGGCUAUACCAUUCCCAAAGAUACAACUCUUAUGUUGAAUGUUUGGGCUAUCCACAGGGACCCUCAACUUUGGGAUAAUCCCUUAGAAUUUCGACCCGAGAGGUUUCUGAAUGUUGGUGUCGAGAGUAAGUUCGAUUACUCAGGUAACAAUUUUCAGUACUUACCUUUUGGUUCUGGUAGAAGAAUGUGUGCUGGGAUUCCUCUAGCUGAGAGGAUGCUGAUGUUUGUUUUGGCUUCGUUAUUGCACUCAUUUGAGUGGGAAUUGCCAGCUGGCACAAAGCUAAAUUUAUCUGAAAAAUUUGGGUUUGUCAUUAAGAAAAAAGAGCCUUUGGUUGCUAUUCCAACACCAAGACUAUCCAAUUCAGAGCUUUACCAUUAAAACAGAAUGAUUGUGAUGAUUUUGUUAGUAUCGGAAGAUUUGUAUGUUAUUUCAAGUUCAAUCGUAAUAAAAUAUUUUAAUAAAAGUCCUCCGUUGCUAAUUUUUUUUUUCAACGGCAUAAUCUGUCAUCAUGCUUGUGUUUGGAGCUACUUUGGAAUGAUUAUUUUUGAAUUACAAUUUAUAAAUAUUUAGGUUUUAAAUUUUUUAUAAGAGUCUAAAUUUAUACACGUUCAGUAAAAGAUUCCCUAAAAGCUUUACAAUUCAAAAUUCUAUUAAAAGUAUAGAUGAAACUUUUAUACCUACUAAUUUUUUGGUCUAUUCUACAAGUUUAAAGAGGAGAUAUUUCUAGAGCUAGCAAAAAGAGCUACCUGAUUGUUUUCGCGUUAUGUCAAUUUUUUUAUUGUGUUAAAUUUAAUUUGACCCACAUAUGACCCAUUUAAUAAUCGUGUCAAAAUAUUGAAACUUGAACUUGAUACGGAAAAUAAAUGGAUGACCACACACACCCAUUUAAGAAUUAGGUAACUAUGUCACUUAAUACGACAUAACCCAAUAACUCGUUUAAUACAUAUUUAACAUAAUUUACAUUGUACAUUGUACACCCUUUUGUCAUAAAUUACACUAUUUUAUAUUUCUAAAUAAUAUUAUAUAUUGAUAUUAUAAAAAAAUAUCAAUAAUCUCAAAAUUUGUACACCUCCUAACUUUUAAAAAGAAAUAAAAAAACUAAUUAAUUAAUGUUUAUUUUAUUCAUUAAUAUAUCAUAAUCCUACAUGUAUUUUAUUUGUUAUUUUUUUUAUUUAAAAAGAUAGGAGGGUGGAUGAAACUCAAAUAAAUUUUUAGCCUAUCCUGAUCUUUCAAGUUUCUUAUUUAGGAGGCCAGUUAAAAAAAAUUACUUAGAAAGCUACUCCAUCAAUUUAACAAAUUUUAUUUAUUUAAUUAAUGGAGGUGUAGAAAAUAAAAGUAUCUGCAAGCACAUUGCAAUAGUGAAAGCAAUGUACCGGUGUUGCAACAUAACUGAAUCUUGAUAACCUAUCACAUAUUUUAAGUUUUAAUAUUGGUAGUUCACGGAUCGGUUUCUACUUCCACGAACAAUUAUUGAAGGAAAUGAGUUUUUUUUUUAAUGAAUAUUUAUAGACCCCGAUUAAAUAUUCGAAUAUAUAAUAAAAGAGAAACUGACAUAGAAAUGAGAAAGAUAUUUGGAGGAGGCCAAAAAAAAAAAAAAAAAUGCAACAGAGAAUUAGAUCAGCAACACAAGUAACUAAUUAAUUCAUCUAUACAUCAUAAUCCUAUUUGUAUCUUCUUCCUUCUACUAAUUUACAUAUAAAUUUGGUUAGAUAAAACAUAUUUUAAUACUCGGUCACAAGCGGUGGAUAUAGAAAAUUAAUUUAGAGGGGGUAAUACCAUAACGAAAAAUAAUGAUUCAUAACUAAAAUCAACCCCAACAUCAAAACUUAUUUACAAGAUUACGCCCAGUCAAAGGUAAUUUUUCCUAAAAACUAAUACGAAAUUAAAUAAAUUUAACUUUUAGUGGGUUCAAGUGCCCACGCAUUCUGAACGUAGAUCCACCCCUGGCCCCGACUGAAGCAUUUUUUACAAUAUGUACUCAGUUUAUCAACAGGAACAACCUUCCACUUUAAAUUAAAAUUUUCACUUAAAAAUGAUUAAUGUUAAUGAGGUUAGCAACAAAAAUGAGUUUAAUUAGAGAAUAUUAUAAGAGAAAUUAUAUUUUUUGACUUUUAAUAAAUUAAAAUAUUAUUAGUUGGUGGUGGUUUCACGUCAGAUUAAGACGUGACACUUUACUUAUGAGGUCGAGACAAUCGACUUAAACUAUUUCAAUGCAUUUGAAAUUUGCACUAAUGGCUAUCAUUCUUUGUCCAAAUUAAUACGAUAAUUAAUAACAUACAAUUGAAAUAAUUAAUACUAGCACUUGGCAAUAAAUAAAGCUCUUGUGCUUGAAUCGUCACACAUGAUCACUUCAUUCCUUUAUUUACUUUGCUACCACAAAUUUUGAGGCAUUAUAACUAAAUAAUAAUUGAAUAGGGCUUUGUGUUACUUGUUGUGCGCGCGGAAUGCGGAAUCAAGCACACCAAAUUAUUACAGAAAAAUAAAGGACACAAUUAUUUGACGUGGUUCGGUAAUUAAACUUACAUCCACGGAGGCAAGAAAGAAUAAUUGUUUAUUUAACAAUUAAUAGAGUACAAAUAUUUGAGUAACGAAUCUCACUUCUCAGAAACCUAAAUAUACCCAAUACUCUCACACUCUGCAGGAAAGAUAAAUUAUCCAAACACACUUCUCUCACUUCUCUAAAAAACUUAAAAAUUUAAAAACUUAACAAUUUUGGAAUGCUUUAGAAUAGAAGAAGUGCCAUCUUAUAGGAAAAAUAAUGAUACUAUUGCACCAACCUCUUUACUAUUCCACCUAACAUAAGCAAAUUGUCAAUAGUGUCCAUUUAACUUUUUAUUUUUUUUCUUCAAUUGUUUAGUAGCCCUUUAAAAAUCUGCGUGGUUUCUUGAAAUUUAGAUGCCACAUGCAUGACUUUUCAACACUAAUUACUACGAUAAUUAAUAUUAGCACUUGGCAAUAAAUAAAGCUCUUGUGCUUGAAUCGUCACACACGAUCACUUCAUUCCUUUAUUUGCUUUGCUACCACAGAUUUUGAGGCAUUAAAACUAAAUAAUAAUUGAAUAUGGCUUUGUGCGUCGAUGACGCCAGCAACAAGGGGACCACAAUUAUCACUUUUUAAGUUGCUUUUAAAAUUGAUUUUAAUAGUGAUUUGAUUAUUGUAGUGUUUUUAUUUUUAUAUUAAAAUUAAGUCGAUUUGUUAUAAUAAACUUAGUUGAGUUUAAUGGUAUUACUACAUAAAUUGAAUAGUCAUCAAAUAUUUUAAUGUUUUUAUGGCAAGUGUUGACGUGGCAUUUAUUUGUUGUAUGAUGGAUUUUAAAAUUUAUAAAAUUAUUUGUUAUUAAAUUACCCCCAGAUGCUGCAUCACCUGAAACUUAAUAAAGGGCAUGUAGCAUUGCCAUUACUCAACAUUCACUCUUAUGACUUUAUGACAUUAGAAUUAAAAUCUUUCGUACAUUUAAUUUGUUUGCUUCCAGAUUAAUCUUUAAAAAUAUUUUUUUCACAUUAUCAUGAAUGGACAAAACUCCAACGAAAAUAACUACGCAAGAGCAAUCUAUGCUAGUAUUAUAUGCCACGAUAUCUAUAACUUUGUCAGGUCUCAGGAUCGAUCAUUCUAAUUUUUACGCAGAACUUUUAAUCAAUGGACAAACACCUCACCGAGCUUGUCGGCAGCAUUACUACGAUGUAAAAUUGUACCGGAAUAUCUUGAAGUAUUAGUAGAAUAAUGAAGACUAUUUGGAGCAAUAAAAACAAAUAACGCAGAUAAAAAAAAUGGCUAAAAUUAUGUAAGUGAGCCCCAAAGUUUUUGCUAUUUCCAGGAAAUCCCAAAUUUGAAUGGACUAGAGGGAGGCACGUAAGAAAUACAUUUUCUUCCUAGACAAUGACAGCUAUGACAUCAAGCCACGUAUUGAAAUUAAGGUGUAAUUAUUCAGCCAAUGAGCCUUACACACCAAGAUGUAUAAAAGUCAAGAAAAUGAAAUUUUAUCCCAAUUAAAACACUUUCUGGCUGCAAUUGGCUGUUUCCAUUUGAAGUUAAAAAACAACAACGUUUCUUUCGUUUUGUGGGCGAUUCGAUUGAGCACGCGCCACGAGCUAGCUGGCUUCCAGUGCUUGCGUGUGACAAUAGAAGGCUAGUGAUUUCACUUUCGCUUUUUUUUUUUUUUCUUUUUUUUGGGGAAUCAAGAUAAAAGCCAAGAAAAUGAAAAUUGGGCUGUUUCCAUUUGAAGUUAAAAACAGUGUUUCUUUCGGGGCGUCAAUUUGAUAUUUGAAUGGACAGGCAAGUAAGAAAUACAAUUCCUUCAUAGACAAUGACAACGAGGACAUCAAGGCACAUCAUUAUAGUUUGUAGCCCAUCUACAUUUAAACGAUUAAUAAACAAGCUUAGGUGUGCCACUGCUAUUAUUAAUUAUCCCCUGAUCAUUAUAGUUUCUGAAACAGUAAAACAAAACGAAAUUGAAUACAUCAACGAGAUCGCAAUUAUCACUUGUUUAGUUGCGGUAUUUAACUUAAUUUUAAUCUAAUAUAUUUGUUAGUUAAACUUUUAAUAAUCAAAUAAUUUUGACUUAAAAAUAAAAUUAUAGAAAUUAUUAAUUAUUAAAAAUUCACACAUAGCUAUUGUUUUCUCUAUAUAUUGCAGUGUGUACGAUAUUGAGGGUUGAAGCCCAAAGCAUGCCCUAAAAUCCAGAUAAUAAUUAGAUCCGGGCCAAAUAUUCAUCAUUGUGUCGGCUGAUCAGUCGGUGGACAUCUCUAUUGAAAAAAUCUCUGACAUUUCUCUCGACAAACUUAUUACUAAAAAAAAAUCAGUGGUUUUGCCGUCUGAAUAAUGUAGAAAAAUUUGUCUGUGCAUUAAUCUAGAUGUUUGAGGUGAUUUAUACAUCUGUGAUAAAGAUUUAUAGGUUGACUUAUACGUCUGUGGUAUAGAUUUUAUGUAUUUCAUUACAAAAUGCUGGCCGUUAGAACCCUUUCUACAUCUAUUUAUAAGAUUAACGGGUGCCAGUUAUGCCAUUACAAAUUAUCCCCUCAUCAGAUAUUUCGUUAAAAUUCAUUCUGAAACACUAAAACUAAAUAAUCGAACAUGGCUUUGCGGGUCGAUGAUGCCAGAAGCAAUUCGACUGCAAUUAUCACUUGUUUAGUUUCUGUGCUUGCCGUGGUUUACUUGGCAUGGAAUGUGAAAAAAUCAAGGAAAGCAAAUGCUAAACUGCCACCAGGACCUCCCGGCUUGCCUGUAGUCGGAUACCUCCCAUUUCUCGGAACUACUGACUUGCACAAGAAAUUCACGGAAUUAUCCGGAGUUUACGGUCCGAUCUUCAAGCUCUGGCUCGGAAAUAAAUUAUGUGUAGUGGUGAGCUCACCUUCCCUAAUUAGACAAGUGGUUCGUGAUCAAGAUACAACAUUCGCGAACCGUGACCCACCGAAGGCUGCACUAGUGGUCUCCUAUGGUGGCAAUGAUAUUGCAUGGUCCAAUUACGGUCCCGAAUGGAGAAAGUUGCGCAAAUUUUUUGUGGGCAAGAUGAUGAGUAACGCAAGCCUUGAUGCUUGUUAUGCUCUAAGAAAACAAGAGGUUAAAAAUACUAUCAGGGAUUUGUAUAACAACGACAACAAAAUUGGCAAGCCCAUUGACAUUGGUGAAUUGUCGUUUUCAACAUUGGUAUGUGCUAUACAGAACAUGCUGUGGGGUGAAGCGCUUGAAAUAAGAGAGAAAGGGACCACUAAUCUUGGGGCUGGGCUAAAAUUUAAGCUGGCAGAACUCAUGGUGCUUGCGGGAACACCGAAUAUUUCGGAUGUCUUUCCAAUGCUUUCAUGGCUUGACAUACAAGGUAUAGAGAGGAGAGCAAAGAAGAUUUCACUCUGGCUUGAAAAUGUUAUAAAUUCUACUGUUGAACAGCAUAGAAACAAGGAGUCAACUGUUGAAGGUGAAGAAAGAGCGGGGAAAAAUUUUGAAGGAUCAAGGAACAAGAACUUCUUGCAGUUACUAUUGGAGCUUCAAGAAAAUGAUGACAGUGCUUCCUCAAUUAGCAUGAACCAAUUCAAGGCCGUACUCAUGGUAUGUUAAGUAACUAGCAACGAACAGUUAUACAAGCACAGUUGUAUAUUUGCAUGAGUGAUAUUUUCAACCUUUUUUUUUAAUUAGAAUUUUAUUGUCACCUUUUGGACAGGAUAUAAUUACGGCUGGAACCGACACCACAGCUACGAUGGUGGAAUGGACAAUGGCAGAGUUGAUGCAGCAUCCACAAGUAAUGAAGAACGUUCAGGAAGAAUUAGCUCAAGUUGUGGGCAUGGACAGUUGUGUUGAAGAAUUUCACCUGUCUAGAUUAAAGUAUUUAGAUGCUGUGGUGAAGGAAACAUUUCGUCUGCAUCCUGCAGUGCCUUUAUUAGUACCACGCAGAGCAAGCGAGAGUGGCAGCAUUGGUGGCUAUACCAUUCCCAAAGAUACAACUCUUAUGUUGAAUGUUUGGGCUAUCCACAGGGACCCUCACCUUUGGGAUAAUCCCUUAGAAUUUCGACCCGAGAGGUUUCUGAAUGUUGGUGUCGAGAGUAAGUUCGAUUACUCAGGUAACAAUUUUCAGUACUUGCCAUUUGGUUCUGGUAGAAGAAUGUGUGCUGGGAUUCCUCUAGCUGAGAGGAUGCUGAUGUUUGUUUUGGCUUCGUUAUUGCACUCAUUUGAGUGGGAAUUGCCAGCUGGCACAAAGCUAAACUUAUCUGAAAAAUUUGGGAUUGUCAUUAAGAAAAAAGAGCCUUUGGUUGCUAUUCCAACACCAAGACUAUCCAAUUCAGAGCUCUACCAUUAAGACAAAAUGGUUGUGAUGAUUUUGUUAAUUUUCCGAAGAUUUGUAUGUUAUUUAGUUCAAUCGUAAUAAAAUAUUUCAAAUAAGAGUCCUCCGUUGCUUUUUUUUUUUUUUUUUUUUCAACGGCAUAAUCUGUCGUCAUGCUUGUAUUUGGAGCUACUUUGGAAUAAUUAUGUUUGAAUUACAAUUUAUAAAUAUUUACGUUUUAAAUUUUUUAUAAGAGUCUAAAUUUAUACACGUUUAAUAUCCCGCUUCAUAGAUAUUUAACACAAUUUAUAUCAUACAUUGUAUACCCAUUUGUCAUAAAUUAUACUAUUUUGUAUCUCUAAAUAAUAUUACGUAUUGAUAUUAUAAUAUAUAUAUAUAUGUUUAUCAAAAGACUAUACCAUUCAAUAUAUAUUGAAAAGAGAACAAAGAAGAUUUUCUUAUGGUUUAAAAAUAUUAUGAAUUCUGCUGUUGAACAGUAUGGAAACAAGGUCUCUGUUGUUAAAGGUGAAGAAGCAACAGGGAACAAUAUUGAAGGAAGAAAUUUCACAUGUUUAGUUGCUGAAUUUGCCGCUGUAUUCUAUCGGUAGUAGAGUUUUUAUUUUUCUCUAUUAAUUUAAGUCAAUUUUCUAUAACAAAUUCGGUUGAGUUUAAUUGUGUUAUAAUAUAAAUUGAAUGAUAAUAGAAUUUUCAACAAAUAUUUCAAUAUUUCUAUCUCGAUUGUUGAAGUGCCAUUUAUUUGUUAUGCGAUCGAUUUUAAAAUUUAUAAAAUUAUUUGUUACUAAAUUGCAUCAUAUGCUAAAAUCACCUGAAACCUAAUUCCAUAACUAACCCUUUAUUUUUAGUUCUCAAGAAAUCUUGUAAGAACAAAAAUCUUUUAUAACAAAACUUUUACAACACAUUAAUUUGUAACUCAUUCCUGUGCGCGAAUCACUCUCAAUUUCCUUCAAUUGCUGUUUAACAAUCAUCUACUUAUCAAAAUUCAAGCAUAAUCUUUUUUUUUUAAUUUCUUCAUCAUUCUUUAAAAAAAAAAUCAGGAUAUGCUGUUAAAUUUUGAAAUAAAUAAAUUAACCAAAGUUGGUUGAUGUGAGUGGUUCAAUGAUGAGCAUAAUUUAUAUACAUAUUUUACCUUUAAUUAUAUAAUUAUUAGUUAUUUUUAUUAGUUAUUUUUAAUUAAUUGAAUUAUUUUAUUGCAUAGAGAAUUAAUUGGAGAUUGGGAAACAAAAAGUGCAUAAAGAAUAACAAGUUUGGGAAAGCAUCAAUCAAAGCCGUGACGCAAUUAAGAGUUUAUAGCAUAUGAAGCCAAGAGUAAUUUGCACUCAAAAAGAAUUUCAAUUAUUCAAGUGACCUGGACCUGCAUGGCAUUGUAAUGCAUGGAAAGCAACUUAAAGGGGCCCACACUUGGCUUUUACAAUUGGAAAAAGGAAUCCUAGUGCAAGCUUAAUUGAUGAGCACGUGAGUGAGAGCAAAGAAAAUUAAAAGGCCAAGCCUUUUGGCUUAAGGAAAUAACAAGGUCGGUGGGGCCCAUUUUAAAGAGUAAUAUAAAAGCAAGCUUUUGGCUUUUGGAGAGAGGAGCCGCGAGAGGAGGAAAACGCAAGACAAAGAGAAGAAAAUCUGCAGCAGUUCGGCUUCUAUGGUUGGUUUUAUCUCUUUUGUUACUCUUAAUUCAAAUAUGUCUAGUUAAUUUUCUUAUAUUAAAGUUAAGGAUGAAACCCUAUUCAAUGAAAUAAUUAUCUUUUUAUUUAUUUAAUUCCCAUAUAUGUUCUUUAAUGAUUAUGAUUUUUAUUUCACAUGAUUAAUUGGAUGUUAUUAAAAUUUUUUCAUCAAUUCUGUCAUGCAUUAUUGAUUGUUAGGAUUAAUAUUCAAUUAAAUCUAUACUUAGAUUUAUAACGUUUAUACAUGAUUAUCUUUGAUUCUAUGUCUUUCAUUAAAUUGUUUACAUGGAGUGCUUAGGAAAACUUUGACUCUUUGUUAUUCAAUAUGUUCACAUGGGAUACUUAGAUGUCAUACUAUUAAGCGGAAAAAGAACCUAUAUUAGAUUUAAUUAUUUGGGCUUAAUUGUUAUAUCCAUGAGAUGACACAAAUUGAUUUCGAGUUGUCACUCUAAAAUUAGAGAUUAAUGAAUAUUUAGAUAAUUACUAGUUGAAUAGCGGUGGAUUCUGAAACCUUGGUAAUUUCUAUCUUAUUGAAUUCUCCUUUACUUUAAUUGUUUUCUUAGUUUAAUUAAUUUAAUUUCUUUUAAAACUCAAUUUGCUUAACUAGGUUAGAAUUAAUAUUAAUUUUAGAUUUAAAUUAGACUUUUCAAUUUAUAACAAUCCAUGUGGGAUCGACCUCGUUACCACUACUUUAUUUCUAGAUUCGUGCACUUGCGAGUAUAUUAAAAUUUUCACAACAAGUUUUUGGCGCCGUUGCCGGGGAUUGUGCCAGAAAGUCAGUUUAAUCUAGGUUGAUUUGAUUCUUCCACUAGUUAUAAUUUAUGUUGUCUUUUAUUUUAUUAUUAUUUUUAAUUAACAAAAACACACAAAAAAACUUUUAUUUUUCUUUAAAUUCAUUGUUUGGUUGUUUGAUUUCUUUUAUUUUUUAAAUUUUGUUUAUUCUCAUUAUUGUUGGUUUAUUUUAUUUUAUUUUUUUCUUUCCUUGUCUAGUUAGUUUAUGAGUGUUUGGGAAUGUGAUUCAACAAAUCGUUUGGUAAAAGAGAGUCAAAAAUUGAUAGUAGUCAAGUUAGUUCUUCUGAAGUCAUGGAUGACCCAAAUAGAUUAUUGCCAAUACUUCCACCAGUGCAAGCAGAGAAAACCCUUAGAGAAUAUUUUUCACCACUUGCAGCCAACCAACCAUCUUGUAUUGUGUUGCCACAAACUACAGCAACACACUUUGAACUUUUUGAACUUAAGCCCUCAGUCAUCCAACUUUUACCAUCUUUCCAUGGGUUAGAGAGAGAGGAUCCAUAUUUGCACAUUAAGGAAUUUCUUGACAUAUGCUCUACAUUCCGUUUUCAAAAUUUUAAUGAUGAGUUAAUCAGGCUUCGUAUGUUAUCUUUCUCAUUAAAAGACAAAGCAAAAGCUUGGUUGAAUUCGCUUUCUGCUGGGUCUAUAACUACGUGGGAUGAAUUGAAUAAUAAGUUCCUCACCAAGUUUUUCCCUAUGUCUAAAACAAAUGCCCUUAGGAGAGAGAUAAGUGAUUUCUAUUAAAGAGAGGGUGAGCAAUUUUAUGAGUGUUGGGAAAGAUUCAAUGAUUUACUCCUCAAGUGCCCCCACCAUGGUUUUGAGAAAUGGAGACUUAUACAAUGCUUUUAUAACGGUUUAACCAUGUCGAAUCGUCAUAUGGUAGAGUCUAUGAAUGGUGGGAGAUUUUUGAACCUACAUGAAGGGGCUGCAUGGGAUUUCUUUAAUUCACUUUCUGAGAAUUCUCAACAGUGAGAUUUUUCAAGCCAAAGGGAAAAAUCAUCUCAAGUUUCUAGAAAGGGGUUAUAUGAAGUUAAGGAUGAUUUUGAUGUGAAAUCCACUCUAAUUACACUUUCUAGAAAAGUAGAUGCCUUAGCUCUGAACCAAUCAAUGAAUCAUCAUCCUAGUGUAGCUAAUGAGGUUUGUGCUAUUUGUUCUAACUUGUCUCAAACAGCACAAAACUGUCCAUCAUUACCAGUCUAUCCAGAGGCUUAUUCUGAGCAGGUACAUGCCUUACAAUCAUAUGAGAAAACCUCCAAUAAUACAUAUUCACUCACAUAUAAUCCUAAUUGGAGGAAUCACCCUAAUUUUUCUUGGAAACAAAAUCAAUCUUUGUCAAACCAAGGAGGACAACAAUUUAACAUGCCCAAUCAACAAUUUGUCCCUCCUAACCAAGUAUAUCCUCCUGCCCAACAACCUAUAUCUCAAUUUGUUACACCCCAACAAAGAAAACCUUCUUUAGAGGAUACACUUCAAAGUUUCAUUCAGUCAACCUAAUAAGCUUUUCAGUCAAACACUCAAGCUAUUCUAAAGCUUGAACAUCAAUUGGGUCAAUUAGCAACUACUGUAGCGGAGAAAGAAAAAAGAAAAUUCCCCAGUCAAUCAAUUCCUAAUCCUAAAGGAGUGCAUGAAGUUGGAUCGAGUUCAAGCCAUCAGCAUGAAGAAGCAAAAUCAAUUAUGACCUUGAGAAGAGGAAAAUUGUUUGACAACAAAGUGGAGGUUCAAACAAAGAAGACAUCUGAGCCUACUUCUUCAGAUCCAAUUACAUCACAAGAAUCAUCACCAAAUGAUCUUGAAGAGAGUGACCCGCUAGCUUACAUUCCCAAGGCUCAUUUUCCUCAAAGGUUAACAAAGGUAAAGAAAGGGACUUCAACAUGUGAGAUUAUAGAAAUCUUCAAGCAGGUAAGUAUAAACAUCCAUUUACUCGAUGCUAUUAAGCAAGUUCCUUCCUAUGCCAAGUUUUUGAAAGAUUUAUGCACUAAAAAGAGAAAUUUGCAUGUCACUAAAAAGGCGUUUUUAACUGAACAAACUAGCAAUUUACUUCAAUGUAAAAUGCCACCAAAAUUUAAGGAUCCUGGUUCUCCUACUAUUUCAUGUGUUAUAGGGAACCAAUGUUUUGAUAAAGCAUUAUUGGAUUUAGGUGCUAGUGUUAAUCUCUUACCUUAUUCCAUUUACAUGCAGCUUGGACUAGGUGAGUUAAAAUCAACUCCUAUUAUUUUGCAACUUGCUGAUAGGUCAAUGAAAAUACCUCGUGGUAUUAUAGAGGAUGUGUUGAUACAGAUUGACAAAUUUUAUUAUCCUGUUGAUUUUAUUGUUAUUGAUACUCAACAUGUACAUGAUCUUAAGAAACACACUCCACUUAUUCUUGGUCGUCCUUUCUUAGCUACAGCUGAUGCUCAUAUUAGUUGCAGGACUUGAAACAUGCAAUUGUCUUUUGGUAACAUGACCAUGGAAUUAAAUAUUUUUAAUGUUCCCAAGCAGGCACAAGAAGAUGAUGAAGUCGUUGAAGUAGAUAUGAUAGAAGCAUCAAUUGAUGACUCACUUAUUUCUAACCAUUGUGACAAUCCAUUAAUACCUUGCACAACUGACUCUGAUUUCUCUAUUGAUGUUGAUAGUGAUAUUGAAGAAGUUAAUGCUUUACUUGAUUCGACUCUUAUCAUAGAUCUAAUUAAGUGGAAAGAAAAGAUAAGAUUGAGCCACUUCCUCCUGAAGAGAAAAGUGCAACAUAGGUCACAUUCUGACAUAAAAAAGGUGGUAAGAUCUAAAACGCUUAAAUUAUUAGAUUUUUAUACUACUUUAGAUAACUCUCAGGAAAGCUUAGAACAGAAGAGAUCAAAGCAAUGCGAUAUUGAGGAGUUUCAUUACCAUCAUCCUUUUAUGGAUAAAAUGCUCCAGUGCUUAAUCAAUUAUGCUUUUUGGUAUUUUCUAUAUAAUUGCUUUAAUUUUCACCAAAUUCUUAUUGAUCCUGGUUGAUUUGUUGUUUACAUUAAUUAGUUAGUUAGUCGGAUUUUUUUAUUAUUAUUUAUAUUUCUUCUAACGUUUUCUUUUGAGUUGUCAUUCUUUUAAGUUUUCCUAGCUCAGUCAGGUGUGUUCUCUCCAACUUUCUCUUUUAUUAUUUAUGUUUUUAUUUUUCAUCUUUUUGCGUGCAUAUCUUUUAUUUAUGACACAUUGAGGACAAUGUUCCGAAUAAGUUUGGGGGUGGGAAUAAUGUUGCUUUGUUUGUUAAAAAAAACUAAAAAAAAAUUUCAAAAAUUCAAAAAAAAAUUGUGUUUUUUUUGUUUUUACGUGAAAAGCCAAUGAUAAAAACUUGAUUGACAAUGAAUAUGGUUUUUAGAAAGGGUUUAAUAUUGUCUUAAUUUAUACUUGAUUCUUAUGUUAGUUCCUCUUGAUUGAGAUUCUUUAAAAUAUAAGCACUAAUAUCAAUUCUUUCAUAAUUUUGACUUGAAAUUUGAGAUUGACGCAGCCUGAGUUGAGAAUUUUAGAUAGAGUAAAUGACUGUUUGUCUUUAUUCUUAUCUCCACAAUACAAAAUAGUAUACACAGGCACCAAAGUCAGAAAUAACUACCUAUAAUCCUUAAGAGUGAAGCUAUCCUUGAGUAAUUUAGGCCUAUGUACCACAAGUAUGUAGAGGAUAAUCUACCAUGAGAAGAAUGCUACCUUAAGGGGUAGAGUGAAAGCUCCUGACUAUGGUUAAAAAAAAAAGAAGAAGAAAAAGAGAAAGAAAAAAUCAAAUCAAGUGCAUGUGCUGAAAAAAAAAUCAAAAGAAAAUGCACAUAAAAGCCUGUGAAAAAAAAAUUGGAGAUUAAGAUGAUAAGAUUAGCUUGACCUACUCUUUUCUUUUUUUGAGGCGAAGGUUGUUGAUAUUGAAGAUUUUAGGAAUGAAUUUGAUUGAAUUGAUUUCACACACACACAACAAGAAUCGAAAGAGAGAUGGGAUUGAUUAUUGAAUUAAAGUUAGAACUUUGCCAAUAUUUGAAAUUUUGUUUGAGCUAUAUAAUUUAUGCAAUCUUUGAGGGUAUUUUCAUAUUUUAUUUAAAGUUUUUUUUUCUUUUUAUUUUAUUUUAUUUAUUUUUUAUUUUUUUAAAAUGAUGUUUGUGGGUGUCAUCACUGAAGCUCUCACGAGACUAUAACUCGUCCACUAGGGGUUUAAAGGCUUGUUGCAUACGCUAAAUGCAAUCGCGAUUACCUGCGAAAAUGGUUUAGUUAGGAUUUACUUUUUGUUUUGUUAUUUUUUUUUUUUUUUUUAGUUUUAGCUUUGCUCGAGGACUAGCAAAAUCUAAGUUUGGGGGUAUUUGAUGAGCAUAAUUUAUAUACAUAUUUUACCUUUAAUUAUAUAAUUAUUAGUUAUCUUUAUUAGUUAUUUUUAAUUAAUUGAAUUAUUUUAUUGCAUAGGGAAUUAAUUGGAGAUUGGGAAACAAAAAGUGCAUAAAGAAUAACAAGUUUGGGAAAGCAUCAAUCAAAGCCAUGACACAAUUAAGAGUUUAUAGCAUAUGAAGGCAAGAGUAAUUUGCACUAAAAAAGAAUUUCAAUUAUUCAAGUGAUCUGGACGUGCAUAGUAUUGUAAUGCAUGGAAAGCAACUUAAAGGGGCCCACACUUGGCUUUUACAAUUGGAAAAAGGAAUCCUAGUGCAAGCUUAAUUGGUGAGCACGUGAGUGAGAGCAAAGAAAAUUAAAAGGCCAAGCCUUUUGGCUUAAGGAAAUAACAAGGUCGGUGGGGCCCAUUUUAAAGAGUAAUAUAAAAGCAAGCUUUUGGCUUUUGGAGAGAGAAGCCGCCAGAGGAGGAAAACGCGAGACAAAGAGAAGAAAAUAUGCCGCAGUUCGACUUCUAUGGUUGGUUUUAUCUCUUUUGUUACUCUUAAUUCAAGUAUGUCUAGCUAAUUUUCUUAUAUUGAAGUUAAGGAUGAAAUCAUAUUCAAUGAAAUAAUUAUCUUUUUAUUUAUUUAAUUCCCAUAUAUGUUCUUUAAUGAUUAUGAUUUUUAUUUCACAUGAUUAAUUGGAUGUUAUUAAAAUCUUUUCAUCAAUUCUGUCAUAUAUUAUUGAUUGUUAUGAUUAAUAUUAAAUUAAAUCUAUACUUGGAUUUAUAAAGUUUAUACAUGAUUAUCUUUGAUUCUAUGUCUUUCAUUAAAUUGUUUACAUGGAGUGCCUAGGAAAACUUUGACUCUUUGUUAUUCAAUAUGUUCACAUGGGAUACUUAGAUGUCGUACUAUUAAGCGGAAAAAGAACCUAUAUUAGAUUUAAUUAUUUGGGCUUAAUUGUUAUAUCCAUGAGAUGACAUAGAUUGAUUUCGAGUUGUCACUCUAAAAUUGGGGAUUAAUGAAUAUUUAGAUAAUUACUAGUUGAAUAGUGGUGGAUUCUGAAACCUUGGUAAUUUCUAUCUUAUUGAAUUCUCCUUUACUUUAAUUGUUUUCUUAGUUUAAUUAGUUUAAUUUCUCUUAAAACUCAAUUCGCUCAACUAGGUUAGAAUUAAUAUUAAUUUUAGAUUUAAAUUAGACUUUUCAAUUUAUAACAAUCCCUGUGGGAUCGACCUCGUUACCACUACUCUAUUUCUAGAUUCGUGCGCUUGCGAGUAUAUUAAAAUUUUCACAACAUUCGGCACUCUCACUCCUUAAGAGAGGUCAGGGGUUCAAGCCUCGCUCUCGUAUGGAGUCACCACUUUGACCAGCACUUUACCCCUUACAGACCGACCCGGUGCGAGCAUGAAUUAGUCUGGGUUGUGGUACGGGCUUAAAGGUGCCUCCCACAAUUGAGACCCACUCAGGACCACCUCGUGGUUCGGACAAAAAAAAAAUUGAAAUAAAUUAUCUCAAAAUAAUUACUAACCAGAAAAAACAAAGGGGUUUAACUAGGUUAUGCAUACCUUUGAAAAUUAUAUGUUGAUCGAUAAGCAUGAUGAUCACGAUUGAGGAGUUUAAUUAAAAUUUAUAAGAUUUUAAAAUUAAUCAGGGUUAAAUUCUAAAUUUUAGAAAGAGAGGUUUUGUGAGAAUGCUGAAAGGGUGUUAAUAGUUCCACUCUUUUUUAAAAAAACCAUAGUCAUCAUUUUUCCCGAUUUCUUCUUCCCAUCUCCAUCUUAUUUAGAAAUUUCCCAGAGCCUUUGUUUCCCACCAUUCAUUUUUCUUCUUUCUAAUUUAAGAUUAUAGUAUUAUAAAAAUAAUUACUCACAUUUUAUCAAACACCUCCAUUAUACCAAGGCCUUGUUUUAGUAGUAGGCUUUUAUUAUCUCAAUAAAAUUGAAAAAACAAAGCUCAAUAAUAUUGGAAAAAAAACCUACCCAUAUUUGUAACUUUAAUUUAUUAUUCUCCAUAGACCUACUUUUUAGCUUUGAAUUUUGUUGGAGCCAUAUAUAAACAGAAUAUGUUGAAAUCAGCACAAAAAAAAAACUAAUUAUAUAAUUUUUGUUCCCAAGGACACGACUGUGUGAUUUUUAAGAAGUUUUGUUUGGCUGGCCACUUAGGUUUAAAUCUUGGUGGAGAUUAGGGGUUAAGAAAUAAAUUUGGACUUUGCACACCCCUUUAACUUUUAAAAAGAAUGAAAAAAACUAAUUAAUUAAUCUUUAUUUUAUUUAUUAAAUGUCAUAAUCAUAUGCAUAUUUUAUUUGUUAUCUUUCUAUUUAAAAGAUAGGAGGGCAAAUAAAACUGAAAUAAAUGUUUAUCCCUAUCUCCAUCUUUCAAGUUCCAUAGUUAGGUGACCAGCUAAAGAAAAUUAAUUGAAAGUUACUCCAUCAAAUUAAAAAAAAUUAUUUAUUUAAUUUGUGGAGAUGUAGAAAAUCAAACCCCAUACCUUUUCGCAUGCAAAAGUGUCAACCUGGUCUAGCUAUGUUGCAACAGUAAACAUAUUUUAAUACAUGACUAUCAUCUUUUAUCCUAAAUACUACUAUAACUAUGGGUUCAGUUAUGCUGUAACUGUGGUAUGGUACCACAGUUGUUUUCAACCAUUAAAUUCAACUUAUAUAACUAUGCAACUGUAGAUCUAACGGCUGAAAGCAACUAUGGUACCAUACCACAGUUGCAACAUAGUUUUGCCCCUAUAACUCAUAACAUUCAAUUGAAAUAAUAAAUGUUAACACUUGGCUAUAAAUAAAGGUUUUGUACUUGAAUCUUCAUGCAUGACCUUCAUUCCUUUAUUGACUUUGCUAACACAGAUUUUGAGGCAUUAAAACUAAAUAAUAAUUGACUUUGUGGGCCGAGGAUGCCAGCAACAAGGAGACCACAAUUAUCACUAGUUAAGUUACUCUAAUUGCCGUUGUCUUAUAUUCAUAAAAUAUUAGUAAUAAGAUUAUUGUAGAAUUUUUUUAUAUUAAAAUUAAGUCAAUUUGUUAUAACAAAUUUAGUUGAGUUUAAUCGUGUUACUACAUACAUUGAAUAAUAAUAGAAUUCUCGACAAAUAUUUCAAUAUUUUUAUCCCAAGCGUUGGAGUGGCAUUUAUUUGUUAGACAAUCGAUUUUAGAACUUAUAAAAUUAUUCGUUACUGAAUUGCACCAUAUGCUGCAUGACCUGAAACUUAAUAAACGGAACGUAGCGUUGGCAACAUUCACUGUCAUGACUUUGUGACAUUAGAAUUAAAUUUUUUUGCACAUUUAAUUUGUUUACUUCCAAAUUAAUAUUUAACAAAAUAUUUUUUCACAUUAUCAAUGGACAAAACUCCAACGAAAAUAACUAUACAAUAUAUGCUAGUAUUGUAUGCCAUAUCAUCUGUAAUUUUGUCAGGAUCGAUCAUUUUAAUUUUUAAGCAAAACUUUUUAUCAAUGGACAAACACCUCACACAGCUUGUCAGAGGCAUUAUUAUGAUGGAAAACUGAUAAACAGUGAACUCGAAACUCAAUUACUACAAGUCGUUUAGAGGAUUCAGUCUUGGAUGACUUGUCACUUGUGGAAUUCUUGAAGCCAGAACCGACAUAAUCUCAGUCGUCAUUCUGUCUUAAGUAAUACACAUGGUUUGCAUGUGUGUUGAAGCUGACUCUUUGCUUGGAUCAAGAAACGACGUCUUUGAGUGCCGUUUCUUAAACACACUUUAAAUCAGCUUGUGUCAAGCACGUGAGGUAGAGCUUUUUGAAUAGAUUUGGCGGGAAUGGUAGUUAGUGUAACAACCCAGAAAUAGAGGUUAAAAGGUGAAGGCUUUGUCAUCAUCUACACAUGAUUUGGGAAACAUUGAGAGUAGAGAAAAAGAUAGAGAGAGAAAGGGGUUAACAAGUUCUUGUUCUCUGUAAAUCGAUUUAUAUUCUUGUAAAGUUUGUGAUCUCAAUUAGUGAAAGACUGUUGCUUUGUUUCCAGUGGAUGUAGGCACCACUUCUUGGUGCUGAACCACUUAUACUUGGUGUCAUAUUGUUUCUUUAAUGCUUUGAUUCUUGCGUGUGAUUGUUGCUGGAUAAUCUGUGCUGUUAAUUCUCAAACCAUUGAUACAGAAUUAAUGUCUUGGGGAGAAUUUGGUUAGUCUUAUCAAAGCCGAAUUCACAACAAAUUGGUAUCAGAGCCCUCUUUUCUGUAUCAAGGUUCAAGAAAUGACUAACAAGGUGGAUCUUGAGAAGUUCAAUGGUCAGAAUGAUUUCAAUAUGUGGAGGAUCAAGAUGGAAGCAUUGUUAAUCACACAAGGUCUGGGAGAUGCCAUUGAUCCAGUCAUUAAGAGUGAAAAUGCAGAAGCCUAUUCUUCAAGAACUCCAGAACAGAUGGCUAAGAUUGAAAAAAAGGCAAGAAGCACCAUCAUCCUCAGUCUUGGUGACUUAGUGAUAAGGGAAGUUGCCAAGAAAAAGACUGUUGCUAGGCUCUGGGCAAAACUGGAACAAUUGUAUAUGACAAAGUCCUUAGCAAACAGGCUAUACAUCAAGAAAAAGAUGUUCUCACUGAGGAUGAUUGAAGGAGCAUCACUUGAUGAACACAUAGAUGAGUUUAAUAAAGUUUGUGAUGAACUGGAAACAAUUGAUGAAGGACUGAGUGAUGAGAGCAAGGCUUUGCUGUUAAUCAGUUCUUCACCAAAAUCAUAUGAACAUUUUGUGGAUGCCUUGUUAUAUGGAAGGCAAUCACUCUCCUUGGAAGAGGUUAAAUCUACUCUUGGUACCAAGAAGUUAAAAGAAAAACAAGAUAACUCAGAGAGUGAAUCAAGUGAAGGGCUGAUGGCAAGGGGCAGAUCUGAAAAAAAGGAGUACAAAGGAAAAAAACAAGGGAGAUCAAAGUCAAAGCAGAAACAUUUGAAGUGUUUUCACUGCCACAAAGAAGGGCAUUUCAAGAGGGAUUGCCCUGAGAGAAAAACAAAGCAAAAGGAAUCAAAAGACAAAUCUGGAAAUACAGCAAUAGCCACAGAAGAAACCAGUUUUGAGAUAGCUGAAGUCCUCAUUGCCACAAAAGAAAAAAACUCAAGGUCAGUGGGUACUAGACUCUGGAUGUACUUUUCAUAUGAGUCCAAAUAGAAAUUACUUUACUACAUAUCAGUCCUGUGAUGGGGGUAUGGUGCUGAUGGGAAAUAAUUCAGUUUGUAAAGCAGUUGGGAUUGGGACUGUAAGCCUUAAGAUGUAUGAUGGCAUGGUUAGAGAACUAACUCAGUUUAGGCAUGUUCCUGAGCUUAAAAGGAACCUAAUAUCUAUUGGCAUGCUUGAUCAAACUGGAUGUGUCAAUAAGGCUGAAAAUGGGUCAUUGAAAGUUAUCAGAGGCUCAAUAGUCAUAAUGAAAAGUUCCAAGCAAAAUGGUUUGUAUGUGUUGAAUGGACAUACAACUGUUGGAGAGGCAAGUGUCACUGAGAAGAGUGAAGACAAAGCAAGACUAUGGCACUUGAGGUUGGGGCAUAUGAGUGAAAGGGGAUUGAAGGAGCUUCAAAAGAAUGGGGUGUUUGGAAGUGACAAGCUAAGUUCUUUGGGGUUCUGUGAAGACUGUAUCCUAGGGAAGGCUUCCAAUCUCAAGUUUGAAUCUGCAGUUCAUUCUACCAAAGAGAAGCUUGCAUAUAUACACUCUGAUAUGUGGGGGCCUGCACAGGUAAAUUCUCUUGGUGGCUUUAAGUAUUUCUUAUCCUUAAUAGAUGACUAUUCAAGGAUGGUUUGGGUGUAUGUACUCAAAACCAAAGAUGAAGCUUUGGAAAAGUUUUAGAGGUGGAAAAUUCUGGUAGAAACACAGACAAGUUUGAAAGUAAAAGCUCUAAGAACAGAUAAUGAAUUGGAAUUCUGCAACAAAGAGUUUGGAGACUUUUGUAAAAGACAUGAGAUUAUGAGGCACAAAACAGUCAUACACACACCUCAGCAAAAUGGUUUUGCUGAGAGAAUGAACAGAACCUUAAUGGACAAGGUGAGGUGUAUACUGCUAUACUCAAAGCUGCCUAAGUCACUCUGGGCAGAGGCCUUAAACACAGCAUGUUACUUGGUAAAUAUAAGUCCAUCUACAGCAAUAGAAUGCAAAACACCUAUCGAGCUAUGGUCUGGAAGGGUUGCAGAUUACUUUAAACUGAGAAUCUUUGGAUGUGUUGCUUAUGCAUAUGUCAAACAAGGCAAAUUGGAGCCAAGAGCUUUAAGGUGUAGAUUUCUAGGAUACCCUGAUGGAGUUAAAGGCUAUAGGCUAUGGUGCAUUGAUUUGAAGCCACCAAAAUGCAUUAUCAGCAGGGAUGUAACUUUCAAUGAGUCAGAAAUCUUGAACAAAUCCAAAACCACUUAAUCCAAAGAUCAUAUAUCAGAAACAAGACCUGGGAGUGUUCAGUUUGAGGUGGAGUCCUAUGAACAAGAUAGGACUGAAUCAGAAACUGAAGGAGAUUCAGGAAGGGUUACUGAUGGAUUUGAUGUUGUUCAGGAGUCAGAGCCAGCUGAGAAUGAAGAUAAUUCUUAUCAGUUGGUCAGGGAUAGAAAGAAGAGAGCUGUAAGACCACCUAAGAGGUAUACAAUAGCAGAUUUCAUAGCUUAUACAUUAACAGUUGCACAAGAGGUAAAUGAGGAAGAGCUAAGAACCUAUAAAGAAGCUAUAAACAGCAUGGAUAAGAUGAAAUGGAAGGAGGCUAUGGAUGAGGAAAUUGAAUCACUAAUGAAAAAUGGAACUUGGAAGCUGAUAGUUAGACUAGAAAAAAGGAAGACUGUUAGCUGCAAAUGGAUCUUCAAAGUUAAGGAAGGUAUAUCUGAUGCUGAACCUAGUAGGUUUAAAGCUAGGCUGGUAGCAAGAGGCUUCACACAAAGAGAGGGGAUUGAUUUCCAUGAAAUCUUCUCUCUAGUUGUGAAACAUGCCUCCAUCAGAGUCAUCUUAGCUUUAGUUGCCAUUCAAGACAUGUACCUGGAGCAUAUGGAUGUUAAAACAGCCUUCCUGCAUGGUGAAUUACAAGAAGAAAUUGUAAUGGAACAGCCUGGGGGGUAUGUGGUGUCUAGUAAGGAAAAUCAUGUGUGCUUACUAAAGAAAUAUUUAUAUGGAUUAAAGCAGUCUCCUAGGCAAUGGUACUUGAAGUUUGAUAGUUUUAUGACAAAACAUGCCUACAAGAAAUGCAAUUAUGAUUGUUGCGUGUACUUUAGGGACAUUGGUGAUGGAAAGAUGAUUUAUCUUAUGCUGUAUAUGGAUGACAUGCUUAUAGCAUGUCACAGCAUAGAUGAAAUCAGUCAUUUAAAGAAUCUCUUGAGCAGUGAAUUCGAUAUGAAAGAUCUUGGAGCUGUAAGGAAGAUCUUAGGUAUGGAAAUUAUCAGAGACAGGAGAAGGAAGCUUAUGUUUUUAACCCAACAGAGCUAUGUUAAGAAGGUGUUGCUUAGAUUUGGGAUGCAUGAAUCCAAGUCUGUUCAAACACCUUUGGCAAAUCACUUCAAGCUGUCUGCUGCACAUUGUCCACAAACUGAUGCAGAGCAAGGAAAAAUGGCAAGGAUACCUUACUCCAGUGCAGUUGGGAGCCUCAUGUAUGCCAUGGUUCUCACUAGACAUGAUAUCUCACAUGCUGUGAGUAUAGUGAGUAGAUUCAUGGCAAAUCCAGGUUAUGAGCAUUGGAGGGCAGUCCAGUGGAUAAUGAGGUACCUGAAAGGCACUAUGGAGUUUGGUCUGCUAUAUGGAGGGUUAAAACAGGAAGGGCACAAGCUGGUGGGGUAUGUUGACUCAGACUUCGCUGGAGAUCUUGAUAAAAGGAGGUCUCAGACAUGUUUUAUAUUCACUUUGGGAGGCUGCACUGUGAACUGGAAAGCUACUCUGCAAAGUGUGGUAGCUUUGUCCACAACUGAAGCCGAAUAUACAGCAGCUGCAGAAGCUUUUAAGGAAGUCAUCUGGUUAAAAGGAAUGGUCUCAGAGUUAGGAGCAAAACAAGAAACAGUUGAAGUAUACUGUGAUAGCCAGAGUGCAAUACAUUUGAGUAAAAACCAGACCCAUCAUGAAGGAACAAAACAUAUUGAUGUAAAGCUUCAUUUUGUAAGACUUGAAGUUUCAAAGGGAACUGUGAAGAUGCUCGAGGUUCACACUGAUCAAAAUCCAACCGAUAUGUUGACUAAAGCUGUGCCUUCUGCCAAGCUCAACUUCUGUUUGAGCUUAGCAGGAAUUUGCAGUUUCUGAUCAGCUGCAAAAGAAAGGGAAUAAAGUAUACAGGAGUAGCUAGAGUUCAGAGUUCACACUGAUUAAAAGGUGCAGGCUUUGUCAUCGUCUACACAUGAUUUGGGAAACACAGAGAGUAGAGAAAAAGAUAGAGAGAGAAAGGGGUUAACAAGUUCUUGUUCUCUGUAAAUCGAUUUCUAUUCUUGUAAAGUUUGUGAUCUCAAUUAGUGAAAGAUUGUUGCUUUGUUUCCAGUGGAUGUAGGCACCACUUCUUGGUGCUGAACCACUUAUGCUUGGUGUCAUAUUGUUUCUUUAAUGCUUUGAUUCUUGCGUGUGAUUGUUGCUGGAUAAUCUGUGCUGUUAAUUCUCAAACCAUUGAUACAGAAUUAAUGUCUUGGGGAGAAUUUGGUUAGUCUUAUCAAAGCCGAAUUCACAACAAAAACUGUAAUGGUAUAUCUUGAAUUAUUGGUAGAAUAGUUCUUUGGAGCAAUAAAAACAGAUAAGACAGAUGAGAAAAUUGUCAAUACCCCACCGCAAAAGCAAAAGAAAACAAGGAAAGGAGACAAAAGAGGAAGAAGAAAAAGAAAAAAGAACGAAGAAAAAAAUGGUGCCGUGCGGUAUAGGCAAGAAGAAAAAAUAAUAAAAAAUAAUAAAAUAAUAGUGCACAACAAUCAUUUGAUUGCUAUAAAUAAAAGGCGUUUCCCUCAUUUUAUUCAUCGAAUUCUUCAGUUCCUUUCAAGCGAUUUAAGAGUCUAGUGAUUUGAGAGUUUGGGUGUAGUAUGAUUUUGGGUAGUGAGCUAAAAUACUACAAUACUUGUAACUCAUUUUUAUUAGUAAAAUAUUUUCCUUCUGACUUCGCCCGUGGACGUAUGCUAAAAGCCGAAUCACGUAAUUUCUGGUGUCCCUAUGUGAUUAUGUGUCUCAUUAUUUCUUAAUUUCACUUUAGUUGCGUGUCUGCGACACCCCUCAAUUUAUUAACAAAAAAUGGCCAAAAUUAUAUAAGUGACCCAAAUUUUUUUGUUAUUUCCAAGAAAUCCCCAAUCUGAAUGGGCUAGACCAGAGGGAGGCAAGUUAGAAAUACAUUUCCUUCAUAGACAAUAACAGUGAUGAGUCGAUGACAUCAAGCCACGUCGGUAUCAAUAUUGAAUUAAAGGUGCAAUUAUUCAGCCAAUGAACCUUACACAUCAAGAUAAAAGUCAAGAAAAUGAAAAUUUAUCCCAAUUAAAACACUUUCUGGCUGCAUUUAGUUGUUUCCAUUAGAAGUUAAAAACAACGUUUCUUUCGUUUUGUGGGCAACUCAACUGAGUUAGCUGGCUUCUAGUGCUAGUAUGUGAAAAUAGAAGGCUAAUGAUUUAUUUAUUAUCUUUUGACAAAAUUAUUAAAGAUAUAAUAGAUUUUCUAUGAUACAAGUGAAAAAUCACAUCAACAUAGCUUUCAAUCUACAGCAGCUAGCGUUUACCAAACACUUUGUUGUAGCUUUUAAGCUAUAGCUGCCCAACCUCAAUCUCAAACGCACCCUUAAUAGGUUGAUUGAAUUUGUGAGAUAUGGAUUCCACAUAUCUCAUGACCUAGUAAUUAUACAAGUGGUUCGUGAUCAAGACACAACAUUUGCUUCCGGCCUAGUGACCCAGCAAUCGCUGCACUGGUCGCCACCUAUGGUGCCGACGAUAUUGCAUGGUCCAAUUGUGGCCUUGAAUGGAAAAAGUUGAGCAAAUUAUUUGUGGACACGAUGAUAAGUAACGCAAGCCUUGAUGCUAGUUAUGGUCAAAGAAAACAAGAGGUUAAGAAUACUAUCAGAGAUAUUCAUAACAACAAAAAGGAAAAAAAAAAGGCAUUUGCAAGCCCAUUGAUAUUGGUGAAUUGUCGAUUUCAACUUUGGCAUGUGUAAUCCAGAACCUGCGCGCUGUGGUAUGGCGCUGGCACGCUUGCAUUAACGAGGGGACAAGUCUUGGGGCUGAGCUAACAUUUAAGCUCGCAGAACUCAUGGUGCUAAUGGGAACACCAAAUAUUUUUUUGACAUAUUUUGGUGCUUUCAUGGUUUAAUUCAAGGUAUAGAAAGGAGUGUUGAGAAUGUCAAAUAAAACGGCAUUGAAUGGAAGUUGUCAAAGACACGAUCCGCACCGAACGGCAACGACACGGUUGCUAAAAAUCCUUCCAUAAUAUGCAUAUCUAAUUUUUUAAAAAGUGUAACCUCUGCAUUUAUAAAUAUACUCAAUGUAUAAUGUUUUACUUAAGAAAUGAAAAACUUGUUUGUUCAAGGAGAAUAAAGAAAAUUUUUCUAUGAUUUUUUUAUGGUUUGAACAAAGAAGGUUUUAAUGAGUAUUAUAGACCUCGAUUGAAUGUUCGAAUGUAUAAUAAAAGAGAAACUGUCACAUAAAUGACAAAGAUACUUGGAAAAAAAAAAAGGGCAGCAAUAGAGAAUUAGAUUCGACUGCACAAAUAACUAGUUAAUUCAUCAAUACAUCAUUUUCUUGCUAGAAAAUGACAAUUAUGACAGCAAGCCACGAUAGUGUCAAUAUUGAAAUUGAUUUGCAAUUAUUCAGCCAAUGUGCCUUACACGUCAAGAUAAAAGUCAAGAAAAUGAAAGUUAAUAUCAAUUAAAACACUUCCUGGGCCGCAUUUAGCUCCAGUUUUUGUGGUAGGAAAACAAAGUUUUGUUUUAAAUUCACAUGGUGUGCACUUCCUAUAUAAAUCUAGAGUUGUGUCCCACGUUGAACAAUAAAGGAAAGUCACCUAAAUAUACAUGUAGGAUAAGUUACUUUAUUUAGUAAGUUUGUAUUUUCUUCUUUCUUCUAGUUUACAUAUAAAUUUGAUUAGAUAACUUAACACAUAUUUUAAUACUUGAUCAGAAGCCCUACGUACAGGUGGAUCUAGAAACUUGAUUUCUAAGAGUAAUACUAUAAUAAAAAAAUAAUGAUUCAUAGAACCAAUAUCAAAAUUUGUUUACAAGAUUACCCCCACUCAAAGGUAAUUUUCAUAGAAAUUAAUAGGAAAUUUAAUUGUUAGUGGGGUCAAAUUGCCCCCACACUCUGAAUGUAGAUCCACGCCCGACCCUGAGUCAAGUAUAUUUUGCCACAUAUACUCUGAAUGUCGGCAGGAAAAAUCUUCCACUUUAGUUUAAAAUUUUCACUUAAAAUUUAUUUACGUUAAUAAAGUUGGUAAAGGAAAUGAGUUUAAUUAAAGAAUAUUAUAGGAGAAAUUCUAUUGUUUGGCUUUUAAUAAAUUAAUUAAUAGGUUUAAAAAGAUUAAUAUACAUCAAAAUAUUAUUAGUUGGUGGUGGUUCCACAUCGGACUAAGACGUGGCACCUUACUUGUGAGAUUAAGACAAUCAGGCUUAGACUAUUUAAAUAUGUUUGAAGCUUAGAUGGCACCGCUUCAAUUUGCAUUAAUGAAUGUCAUUCUUUACCCUAAUUACUACGUAAUUGAUAACAUGCAAUUGAAAUAACUAAUAUUAGCACUUGGCUAUAAAUGAACUAAAGGCCGUGCAAUUGAAUCUUUACUUGAUCACUUCAUUCCUUUAUUUUGCUAACACAGAUUUUGAGAUAUUAAAACGAAAUAAUAAUUGAAUCUGGCUUUGUGGGUCGAUGAUGCCAGCAACAACGAGACCACAAUUAUCACUUGUUUAUUUGCUGUAUUUGACGUUGUUUCAUAUUGGUAGUAAUAACUAAUAAGGUCGUUGUAGAGUUUUUAAUCUUUUUUUUUAUAUUAAUCACGAGGUAUCCUGGGGAGGGCCCCAACUGUGGGAGGCACCUUUAAGCUCGUACCACAACCCAGACUAGAAGUCCCCGCUCGAACCGGGAGGCACAGUUUUUAAUCUUUUUUAUAUUAAAGUUAAGUCAAUUUGUUAUAAAUAAAUAAAAAAUUGGUUGAGUUUAAUUAUAUUGCUAUGUACAUUAAAUAAUUAUAAUAUUCUCGAGGGAAAAAGACACCUAGAACCUCAAGGUUUGGGGAAAUGGUCACAAAAACUCCUAAGUUUUAAAAAAGGAACACUAAAAUCUUUUUUUACCCAUAAUACCCUUUGACUAUAGUAAUUAGAAAAUUGACUUUAAAGGUUUUUAAAUAAUACAAAUUUAAUAUAAAUCAUAUAAUCUAUCUAGUACACUAAUAAUAUUAAAUUAUUUUUUAUAUUUAAAAUAAUGUUAAAAAAUUUAAAUUAUUAUAUUUAUUUUAAUAAUAUAUUUAUAAAAUUAUAAAGAUUUUAAAUAAAUCUUUGGAUUGAAUAUAUUUUACAAUUAAAAGUCUUCCUAUUAAUAAUAUUAAAAUUAAAUUUUAAGUAAUAUAUAUUCAAAAUAUUUUUAAUUUAAUUUUAUUUAUUUUAAUAUUAUGUUUCUAUCUAUUAUUAAAAAUUACUUUAAUAUAAUAAAAUAGGUCUAAUAGAUUGAAAAAUAUGAAAAUAUUUUUAAAAUUUUAAAUUAUUUUGAAAUGUAUAUAUUAUUACAUUUAUUUCAAUGUCAUAUUUCCAUUUAUUAUAAAAUUUUGGGGUUAUUUUUUUGGGAAUUUAUAGAGUCAAAGAGCAUUAUGGUUAAAAAAGAGUCUUGGUGUCCCUUAUUGAAAACUUUAGAGUUUUUGUGACCAUUUUCCUAAAUCUUGGGGGUGUUGAAGUGGCACUUAUUGUAAGAUUGAUUUUAAAAUAUGUAAAAUUAAUUUUAUUACAUUACCAUAUGCUACAUCACCUGAAACUUAAUAAAUGGAACGUAGCAUUACUCCACGUUCACCGUUAUGACCUUAUGACAUUAGAAUUAAAAUCUUUCGUACGUUUAAAUUGUUUACUUCCAAAUUAAUCUUUCGUAAAUAUUUUGUACAGAUCUUAUCGGAGUUAGCGUGUUCAUUACAGUGUUUCUUUUCUUUUAUCCUUUCUUUUGAAACGUAUUUCCUGUGGACAAGGAAAGCAAAUAAUACCCUGCCACCAGGACCUCGCGGCUUGCCUGUAAUCGGAUACCUUCCAUUUCUCGGAAUUACUGACUUACACAAGACAUUCACGGAAUUAGCUGGUCUAUAUGGCCCGAUCUUCAAACUCUGGCUUGGCAACAAAUUGUGUGUAGUGGUUAGCUCGCCUUCAACUAGUUCUAUAAGAAUAUCCCUUUUAAGGGAUUCUCUCUCUGCAAAAUUUUUUUAUCUUCUGGUGCAUAAUAAAAACUUAUGCCACUUCAUUAACCACAGAUAUCUUUUGAGGAAACGAUGUUUCGUUUUCUUUUGUUUUUUCCUUCCUAAUCCUCGCAUAUCGUGUGAAGGCUAAUAUAUCCAAGAAUCUAAAUCUCUGUAAAUCUUUUUCUAUCCAAAUCUACAUAAUAAUUUAAUCCAUGCACAAUAUCUAUAAUUAUAUCGGCUGUCGGCUGAUUUCGUGGAGGGGGCGGCAGUUCAAAUUUUUUACGUGCAUGUUGGAUGGACGUCUCUAUUAAAGGAGAGCCACCACUUGCAUGGUAAUUUUUUUAAAUAAAUAUAUACAUUUCAAAAUAUUAUUUCAUUGUUGUAUAGUUAACAUGUCACCUUAGAUGUAUUUUAGAACUUCUCCUAUUAAAGAUAAUCUCAUGCAGUGAUACUUCUCGUGAUCUAAUCAUUAGUAGAAUCUAUAAUUUCGCUACUGUAAUAAAAUCUGUCCCUACCCUAUAUGAAUGUAGAUAUUUGACGCGAUUUGUAAUUGCUUCCGACAGGAAAACAGCAAUAGUUUAAUUGAAAUUUGUGGUAUGGAUUCCACGAAUCUUAUGACAGAAUACUGACCACUCCAACCCUAUCCACAUUUACACGAUUAAAACACAAGCUUAGAUGUGACAAUGCAUUUGUCACUUUUGUUCAAAUUCAUCCUGAAACACUAUACACUAAAUAAUCGAAUAUGGCUUCGUGGGUCGAUGAUGCUAGCAGCAACGAGACUGCAAUUAUCACUUGUUUUGUUGCUGUACUUGUCGUGGUCUAUUUCGCAUGGAAUGUAAACAAAUCAAGUAAAGCAAAUGCUAAAUUGCCACCAGGAUCUCGGGGCUUGCCAGUAGUCGGAUACCUCCCAUUUCUUGGAACUACUGACUUACACAAGACAUUCACGGAGUUAGCUGGAGUUUAUGGUCCGAUCUUCAAGAUUUGGCUUGGGAAUAAAUUGUGUGUAGUGGUGAGCUCGCCUACCCUAGUUAAACAAGUGGUCCGUGAUCAAGAUAUAACAUUCUCAAACCGCGACCCACCGAUCGCUGGAACUGUGACCACCUACGGUGGCAAUGAUAUUGCACUUUCCAAUUAUGGUCCCGAAUGGAAAAAGUUGCGAAAAUUAUUUGUGAGCAAGAUGAUGAGUAAUGCAACCCUUGAUGCUUGUUAUGCUCUAAGAAAACAAGAGGUUAAAAAUACUAUCAGGGAUUUGUACAACAACAAUAAGGAUAAUAUUGGCAGUGGCAAUGGCAAGCCCAUUGACGUUGGUGAAUUGUCGAUUUCAACUUUGGUACGUGUUAUGCAGAACAUGCUGUGGGGUCAAGCAUUGGAAACAAGAGAGAAAGAGAUUACUAAUCUCGGGGCUAAUCUUGCAGAACUCAUGGUGCUACUGGGAACACCAAAUAUUUCGGAUAUUUUUCCAGUGCUUUCAUUGCUUGACAUGCAAGGUAUAGAGAGAAGAGCUAAGAAGAUUUCUCUAUGGUUUGAAAACAUUAUCAAUUCUGGUGUUGAACAGUAUAGAAACAAGUUUUCUGUUGUUAAAGGUGAAGAAGCUGCAGCAGGAAAAAAUAUUGAACGAUCAAGAAAUAAGGACUUCUUGCAGUUACUGUUGGAGCUUCAGGAAAAUGAAGAUAGUGCUUCAUCUAUUAGCAUGAACCAACUAAAGGCCGUGCUCGUGGUAUGUUAAGCAACUAGACACAAAAAGUUGUAAAAGCACAGUGAUAUAUUUGCGCGAGGCCGCGAGUGAUGUUUUGCCUCGAGAACUCUCAAUUUUAUCUUACGGUAAAAAAUGUUUUUCAACUUUUUUUAAUUAGAAUUUUAUUGCAAUUUAUUUAACAGGACAUAAUUGUGGCCGGAACCGACACCACAACUACGAUGGUGGAAUGGACAAUGGCAGAGUUGAUGCAACAUCCACAAGUAAUGAAGAAAGUUCAAGAAGAAUUAGCUCAAGUUGUGGGCAUGGACAGUUGUGUUGAAGAAUAUCACUUGCCUAAAUUAAAUUAUUUAGAUGCUGUGGUGAAAGAAACAUUUCGUUUGCAUCCUGCGUUGCCCUUAUUGGUACCUCGCACGGCAAGCGAGAACAGCAAUAUUGGUGGCUAUACCAUUCCCAACGACACUAAUUUUAUGUUGAAUGUUUGGGCUAUUCACAGGGAUCCUCAACUUUGGGAUAAUCCCUUAGAUUUUCGACCUGAGAGGUUCUUGAAUGAUGAUAUCAUAAGCAAAUUCAAUUACUCGGGUAACAAUUUUCAGUACUUGCCAUUUGGUUCUGGUAGAAGGAUGUGCGCUGGCAUUCCUCUAGCUGAGAGGAUGUUGAUGCUUGUUCUGGCUUCGUUGUUGCACUUGUUUGAGUGGAAAUUGCCCCCGGGCACAAAGCUAGACUUAGCUGAAAAGUAUGGGAUUGUCAUGCGGAAAAAAGAGCCUCUGAUUGCUAUUCCAACACCAAGGCUACCAAAUUCAGAUCUCUACCAGUAAGAUCAAAAUGGUUGUGAUGAUAUUAUUUCCCAUUGUAUUGGAAUAUUUUUGUGUGAUUUGAAGUUCAAUCAUAAUAAAAUAUUUUAAUAAAAUGUCCUCGGUUGCUAAUUUUUCAAUAGUAUACUCUAUCAUCGUUUCUAACUGUCUUUUAGAGCCAUUUGGUCUAAUUUAUUUUUGAAUUAAAAUCCAUAAAUAUUUAAAUUUUUGAAUCAUAUUAAGAAUUAUCUGGAGUGUAUGGUCUGAUCUUCAAGUUCUGGCUUGUAAACAAAUUAGAGUUCUGAUAUUUGCCCCGGGUCAAACCCCGAAAUUAAAUAAAACGGCGUCGUUUUGUUUUUUUUUUUUUUUUUUUCUUUUUUACUUCUUCCAAACGUUGCCAUUUCACUUGUCAUUUGCAAGUGACUCCAUUGAUCCUUAGUUGAAACAGAGUUACACCGUAAAUCUCUUCCUCUUCGUUUCUUCGUUUCACCAGGGAACGAGACAGAUAAAAUCCAGCCAUUCUUCGACAUAACAAGAUAUCGAUUAGAAUCCAACGACAUAACUAUAAACCAUGACAUUGCGCUUGAUUUUGCGAAAUACCGAUUAAGAACCAGUAACUUUGAAUCCAAUGACCGUUAAGAGUUUGAAAUUGGUUUCAAAUGACUAAUGAGUUAUCAGAUUUCUUUGCGUCUACAUUUUCCUUGAAGGUUUCUCAGCAGCCAAACAAAUACAAAGCAAAUUGCAGAAGAAACACAUUUUGUUCCAAUGAAAAAUGUACGGAAACAUUUUAAAUAUGGAAAAUUACCUCAAAAUGAAGGCUCGCAAGAGAUUCGAGCAACAAAUUAGAUCAAAGGAACCGGCGCUGAGCAAGAAAGUGAGCUCAAAGAUUCCGAAACACAAACGUAAAUUCACAAAAAUGCAAAUCUAUGAUGAACGCCAAGAUCAAAAUUUUCGAAGAAAGGGAGCUGAAAAAAUAAAUGAAACGUCAAACUAGAUGACAAUGGAUUUGCUUCUUCAAAGGAGACAAUGAAAUUGUUACUAGAGACAGCUAGAGAAAUAGAGAGAGAGAGAGAGAGAGCUUGAAUUGGCUGUACCCCCACCAGAAAGUGGGUAGUGCCUUUUCCACUUGGACUUGAUAUGCGAAUCUGAAAAAAUCUGAACGAAGGACUGACUCAUCCCAGCUCGAAAGCAAACCAAGCUAGGACUGACUGAAAACGUUGCCGUUUGGAGAAGUUAAAAAAAAAAACUAAACAAAACGACGCCGUUUUGUUUAGUUUCGGGGUUUGACCCGGAAUUUGACCCGGGGCAAACAUCAUUUUCCAACAAAUUAUGCAUGGUCGUGUACACGCUUUCCCUAAUUAAGCAUGAGGUUCGUGAUCAAGGCACAACAUUCACUCCCUGCGACCCAACAAUCGCUACAUUGUUUGCCACCUAUAGUGCCAACGAUUUUGCACGGUCCAAUUAUGGUCCCCAAUCGAAAACGUUGCGCAAAUGUUUUCUGGGCAAGAUGAUAAGUAACGCAAGCCUUGAUGCUUGUUAUGGUCUAAGAAAACAAGAGGUUAAUAUAUAUAUAUAUAUAUAUAUAUAUAUAUAUAUAUAUAUAUAUAAAUUGGCAUUGUCAACUUUUGUAUGUUUUAUUCAGAACCCGCUGUGGGUUGACGCUAGCAUGCUUGCGUUAGGAGACGAGGGGACCAAUCUUGGGGCUGAGCUAAAAUAUAAGCUUGUAGAGAUCAUCUUGCUAAUGGUAAUGUUUUCCGAUGCUGGUUUAAUUCAUGGUAUAAAAAGGAGAACAAAAAAGAUUUUUCUAUGCUUUGAAAAUAUUAUAAUUUUUAUUUUAUAAUUUUUAAUAAAAUCUCUCAUUGAUAGCCAAACAAUUAAAAUUUUUGUAAAGCUUUUGUGGACUUUUGAUCGCGUAUGGUGCCAAUGUAUUGCGUGGUCCUAUUAUGGUUCCAAAUGGAGAAAGUUGCACAAGUUUUUUGAGUACCAGAAGAUCAGUAAUGUAAGCCUUGAUGGUUGUUAUGGUCUAAGAAAACAAGAGGCUAAAAAUUCUAUCUGGGAUUUUUAUAACAACAACAAAAUUGGCAAGCCCAUUGACAUUGGUGAAUUGUCAGUUUCAACCUUGGUAAGUGCGAUUCAGAACAUGCUGUGGGGUGAAACGCUUGAAAUAACAAAGAAAUGGAUUUACUAAUAUUGGGGCUGGGCUAAGAUUUAAGCUUGCAGAACUCACGGUGCUAGAGGGAACACCGAAUAUUUUGGAUAUCUUUCCAGUGCUUUCAUGGUUUAAUAUACAAGGUUUUCAGAGAAUAGCAAAGAAGAUUUCUCUAUGGUUUUAAAAUAUUAUCAAUUCUACUGCUGAACGCUAUAGAAACAACGUCUCUAUUGUCAAAAGUGAAGAAGCAGCAGCAGCAGGGAACAAUAUUGAAGGAAGGAAUAAGGACUUGGUGCAGUUACGCUUGGAGCUUCAAGGUAAAGAAGACAAUGCUUCAUCAAUUAGCAGGACGCAAUUUAAGAGCUUGCUCGUGGUAUGUUGCGCAACUAGCCACAGACAGUUACAGAAACUGAGUUUGGCAGAUUACGACCGUUUCUGGUGAUUACAUAAUUAUUUGUGGCUGUUUUUUUUUUUUAAUUGUAAUUUUCUUAACAGGAUAUAAUUUAGGGUGGAACCAACACCACAACUAUAAUGGUGGAAUGGACAAUGGCAUAAUUGAUACAGCAUCCACAAGUAAUAGAGAAUGUACAGGUAGAACUAAAUCGGGCCGUGGCCAUCGACAGCCAUGUUGAAGAAUUUCACCUAGCUAAGUUAAAAUAUUUAGAUGCUGUGGUGAAAGAAACAUUCUGCACUGUAAUAUAAUACAUGAAUCAUAUGUCCUCUAUUGUUUUUUUAUUUUUCUCUUUUUUUCAAUAGCUUAAUCUAUCAUUAAAAUCUUCUGAAAUUCUAAAUUAAUAUACAUUCAACCUAGAGUUCAAGCCAAAGUUUUAUUGAGCAUUAAAAAAAAAAAAAAUUCUACGACUCAAAAUUUUGUGGAGUAUAAAUUAAAAAUUAUGCGCCUACUAAGAGACAAAAAAUAAAUGAUACACAUUAACCAAUCAAAGGCGAACAAGAGAUUAUUAACAAUAACCUAAUAAUAAAAUUAUAAUGAAUAAAAAAGAAAUGGUACCUAGAAACACAUCACAGCCAUUUAAGCAAUCACUUACCCACAAAAUCCAAACAUAUAAACUAUGUGGGGGGGGGGGGGGGGGGGGGGGGUGUCAUGAUACCUUUGGGUUUCAUGAUAAUCAAAAUUGCAAUACCAUUAAAGACUCAAAAAUAAAAAAAAUCAUAGCCAAUAAAAGAGAAAAAAUAACCCACAAAAAAUCAUCAAGAAAAUAAAUUUGAGACUAAGAGAAGAUAUUAAUUAAACCCUGGGUUGCCUUGGAACCACGGCUUUGGCUUCCAUUUUUCAAUUCUUGGCGACAAGUCAUUUCUUGUUUGUUUACAAAGAUGACGGCUGAUUAAUGAAGCUCUAUUAACAAUGAAUAAAUAAAAAAACUGGCGCCUUGAAAAGACUAACGGUCAUAUUUUUCAACUCCGAAUUAGUGCCGUUUGAUGAGUCCUUGCCAAAACAAUCACUAGGCAAAUAACAAUCAUUUUUCAACCAGCAAAACUCAUUCAUUGUAUUUCACCUUAGUCAAGAUUUAAAAAUUGUUUCAAAAUAAACCUAGUGGUUAGAACCCAAGCGUCACAAUUGUGAGGUCAUGGGUUUGAGCCCCCACAACGUAUUGUGGGGGUUAAUUUUCUUCUUCAAUUUGAGUGAAAACAGUUCUCUCCCUUUCGAAAUGUGGGUGGAGUGGACGUCCCUCAAAUAUUAGAGAGGGUUCAAAUUUGGAUUGUACUAUAUAAGAUUUAUAAAUUAGUCCCAGUAAUUAUCUGAUUGUAAAUAUCAAUAUACUAAUCUAAUUAAAUAUGAGUUGUAAUAUGAGCGUUAGUCUCAUGUAAUUAAAAAAAAAAUGUUUCAAAAUAGGAUUCUUAAAAGGUUGGGGAAAUGGCCAUCAAUAUCCCCAACUUUCCAAAAAGAGACACCAAGACCCAUUUUGACCAUAAUACCCUUUACUUCUAUUAUCCCCAAAAAAUUGACUCUAAUGUUUUAUAAUAAAUAAAAAUAUAACAUUAAAAUAAAUGUAAUAGUAUAUACAUUUUAAAAUAGUUUCAAUAUCUAAAAACCAUUUUAAUAUUUUAAAUCCUAUUAUAUAUAUAUUAAAGUAAAUUUUAUAAUAAAUAGAAUCAUAAUAUUGAAAUAAAUGCAUUAAAAUUUAAAUUAUUUUUAAUAUUAUGUAAAAUAAUAAUUUUAUCAUUAUAAGUAUAUGAGAAUUUUUUUAAUUGUAGAAUGUAUUUAAUGCAAAUAUUUAUUUAAAAUCUCUACAAUAAAUAAAAAUAUACUAUUAAAACAAAUCUCUACAAUAUAUACAUACAUACAUAUACAUUGGCCUGGUAUUUUAUUUUUCAUUUUUUAAACUUAUUAAAUCCUCUAACUAUCAUUUGAUUAUUUUUUUCAAUGAUGAAGAGGCCAUUGCCGGAUAAAUUAUUAAAAUCAACUAGUUCUACAAGAAUGUCCCUUUUUAAAGGAAGAUGAUUCUCUCUCUCGAAAUUUUUUAUCUUGUGCUACAAACUAAAAACUUAUGCCAUUUCAUUAACCACAGAGAUCUUUGAGGAAAUGAUGCUUCGCCCCCCCCCCCCCCCCCCCCCCCCCCCCCCCCCCCCCGCGGCGCCAAAAAGUGUCCUUCCAUAUUUUGUGAAGGCUAAUACAUCGAUGAAUCUAGAUUUCUUUAAAUUUUUUGUUUUACUCAAUUCGAGAUAAUAAAUAGUUUAUCUUUAUUAAAUCUUUACUUUAACAAUGAUAGAUAUUCAAUCCAUGCAAAUAUCUAUCAUUGUAUGAGCUGAUUGCGUGGAGGGAGCGGUAAUUGAAAUCUAAUUGAAAACAGCAGAAGGCUGUUCUUGACAGAUCUCAAAUAUAUUACGGACACGUUGGGAGACAUCUCUAUCAUAGAUAUCCCCAUGCAGUGAUAUUUGUCGUGAUCUAAUUUUUAGUAAAUCUGUAAGAGAGAUUGUAACAUCUUUCAAGUUUUUUGGUUUGAUAUUCUAGACGAAAACGGUUUGUCGUUUCUUGAGCAAACGGCUAACCGUUUAAGUCCAGAGAGCAUGUUUGUUGUUCUGGAUAAAACGGCUCACCGUUGUUGCGAAAACGGCUAACCGUUUAACUCAAGAGAGCAUGUUUUAUGUUCUAGAGAAAACGGCUCACCGUUAUUGAGAAAACGGCUAACCGUUUAUUUACAGAGAGCAACGUAUUUGAUAUUCUGGAAUAAAAUGGCUCACCAUUUAUUGAGAAAACGGCUAACUGUUUAUUUCCAGAAAGGCGUCAAUUAGAAAAACGGUUAGCAAGAAUGAAAAUUUCAAUUGACAAUCGAUGCAAAUUCAAACCAAAAGAGUGUCUUCGAAAAAGUACCAUUUCUAAUGGUUGUAUUCUUUCAAAUAAACAUCUUCUUCAUUAAAGAAAUACACACAAUUAGAUUGAUAAUCAGAUUUUGACAGGUUUCUUAUAUGUUCUGGAAAUACAAUCUUAUUUGCUAGAGAUUGUAUUCAGGAUUUGUUAUAUCUUGGGGGUAAUUUGCCAUUAAAACUAUAUAGCAAACCAAGAUUGGUGAGGGCAAAUAAAACCUUAAAGGAAAGUAUGCAAACACGUCUCAAAUCCUAUGAAACUUUCUUUGUUCUUUGCCUCCAUAUUCUUAUUAUUCACUAACAAAAUCCCCAUGCAGUGAUAUUUGUCGUGAUCUAAUUAUUAGAAAAAUCUAUGAUUUCGCUACUGUAAUAAAAUUUGUCACUACUCUACAUUAAUCUAAAUGUCUGAUGAGAUUUGUAAUUGCUUCCGACGGGAAAACAGUUAAUAGGUUGAUUGAAUGUAUGUGGUAAAGAUUCCACGUAUCUCACGACAGAAUGCUGACCACUGGAACCCUAUCUACUUUUACGCGAUUAAUUCACGAGCUUAGGCACGACAAUUGCAAUACAAAUUAUCCCUUCAUCAUAUAUUUCGUUAAAAUUCAUUCUGAAGCACUAAAACUAAACAAUCGAAUAUGGCUUUGAGGGUCGAUGAUGCCAGCAGCAAUGAGAGUGCAAUUAUCACUUGUUUAGUUUCUGUGCUUGCCGUGGCUUAUUUAGCAUGGAAUGUGAAAAAAUCAAGGAAAGCAAAUGCUAAACUGCCACCAGGACCUCGCGGCUUGCCUGUAGUCGGAUACCUCCCAUUUCUCGGGACUACUGACUUGCACAAGAAAUUCACGGAAUUUAUUUUACUAUUAUAUUUAUAUUCAAAAUAAUUUUAAUUAGCUUUUAAAAUGAAUGAUUUUAGGAAAUUAUAAAUAAAGGUAACUAAGAAUUCUCUUAAUGUAAUAUAUUAUUAAUUAGUUUAAAAAUACAAAUUUAUUAAUUAGAGAAAUUAUUAGUGAAUUUAAAUUAAUGAUCUUAAUGAUUUGUUUGUACGAUUGCCCCCAAUCAAAGGUAAUUUUCCUAAAAAUUAUUAGGAAAUUAGAGAAAUUUAAUUUUUUUAGUGGGUUCAAUUGCCCACACACCCCGACUGAAGCAUUUUUUACAAUAUGUACUCCGUUUGUCGGCAGGAAAAUAAAGGUCUUGACACAUGAUCACUUCACUCCUUUAUUUACUUUGCUAACGCAGAUUUUGAGGUAUUAAAACAAAUAAUAAUUGAAUAUGACUUUGUGGGUCGACGACGCCAGCAACGAGGAGACCGCCAAUUAUCACAUUUUAAGUUUGCUGUAAUUGCCGUUGUUUUAUAUUAGUAGAAUAUUAGUGAUAAGAUAAUUGUAGAGUUUUCAUUUUUUUAAUAUUAAAAUCAAGUCAAUUUAUUAUAAUAAAUUUAGUUGAAUUUAAUCGUAUUACCACAUAAAUUGAAUAAUAAUAGAAUUCUCGACAAUAUUUCAAUAUUUUAAUCUCAAGCAUUGGAGUGGCAUUUAUUUGUUAUACGGUCGAUUUUAGAAUUUAUAAAAUUAUUCGUUGCUGAAUUGCACCAUAUGCUGCAUAACCUGAAACUUAAUAAACGGAACGUAGCGUUGGCACCGUUACUCAACAUUCACUGUUACGACUUUGUGACAUUAGAAUUAAAAUCUUUUCCACAUUUAAUUUGUUUACUUCCAACUUAAUAUUUAACAAAAUGUAUGUUAGCAUUGUAUGCCAUAUCAUCUGUAAUUUUGUCAGGAUCGAUCAUUCUAAUUUUUAAGCAGAACUUUUUGUCAAUGGACAAACACCUCAUACAGCUUGUCAGAGGCAUUAGUAUGAUGUAAAAUUGUAAUGGUAUAUCUUGAAUUAUUUUAGAAUAGUGAAUAACUAUUUGGAGCAAUAAAAACAAAUAAGACAGAUGAGAAAAUGGCUAAAAUUAUAUAAGUGACCCAAAAUUUUUUGCUAUUUCCAAGAAAUCCCCAAUCUGAAUGGACCAGAGGGAGGCAAGUUAGAAAUACAUUUCCUUCAUAGACAAUAACAACGAUGAGUGGAUGACAUCAAACCACGUUGGUAUCAAUAUUGAAAUAAAGGUGCAAUUAUUCAGCCAAUGAGCCUUAGUACACAUCAAGAUAUAUAAAAGUCAAGAAAAUGAAAAUUUAUCCCAAUUAAAACUCUUUCUGGCUGCAUUUAGCUGUUUCUGUUUAGGGAUGGCAAUUUAAUCCGGACCCAGCCCGACCCGGAUGAAUCCAGAAAAUUCGGGGUGGAUUCAACCCGUACCGGAGUGAAUAAAAUCUGAUAUUCAAAUUCAAUAUUUUCAACCCGGACGUUUCCGAGUCCGGAUCCGGAUUUGGGUAAACCCGCAUAUCCGGAACCCGGAUCCGGAUAACUAUUUUAAUAUUAAUUUUUAAAUCAUUUUAAAAUAAAAAAAAAUUAGAAAAAAUCAGCCCUAAUGCCCUUCCACAGCCACGGCAGCCAAACCAAACCCAGACAUUUCCUCUCUCUCUCUUUAGCCCUUCUUUUCAACAAAUCAUCAUCGUUGCUCAUCAUCGUUUCGUCGUGUUCAUCUUCAUCUUCAUCAUCAGCUGCCGUUUGUCCAGCUAUGUCACUAGUUUUGGCCGCCGUUUCCGUUUGUGCACCUUCGCAAAUCGGGAUCUCGAUUUGGCCGCCAACACUUCUACCCCCUGGUGUUUUGCUUUGUCCUCGACAACUUCUUUGUUGAUAAAUUGACGGGCACUUAUGAAUGCAUUUGUCUCUGUUUCUUCAUUUACACCUUCCCAGUUGUUUGUUCAUUUGCUUUUUGGAAGGAAAAAAAAAAAAAAUCAGCCACCAUUUAUCCUUCCCCUUUUCUUGACCUAACCCCACAAAGCCCAAUUUGUCAUCAUCAUUCAUUGGCAAAUUUGUUAUCAUCAUGGUUGAGACAUCAUGAUUAUCUUUGAUAAUUGAAUUUGUGUAAUAUGUUACCUUGGAUUUUAUUUCUAAGUAUUUGAUUUUGAAUUAUUUUCCAUUAUUGGUGUUAAUAGAUAGAAGAUUAGAAAGGAAUUCUUCACUGAAUAAAGAGAUGGGAAAUUGCAUCUUUUAGCAAUCAUCCGGGUUAUAAACCCGGAAUCCGGAAACCAGGAUUUUUCCGGGUUUAACCCAGUCCGGACCCGAAUGAAAAAUAUCCGGGUUUACAUCCGGGUCUGGUAUUAAAAUUUAUCGUCCGGAUCCGGAACAGGGAAGACAAAACCCGGACCCGAACCCACAUUUUGCCAUCCCUAUUUCCAUUUGAAGUUAACAACAACGUUUCUUUCGUUUUGUGGGCGACUUGACUGAGCCAGCUGGAUUCUAGUGCUAGUAUGUGAAAAUAGAAGGCUAAUGAUUUCACGUUCACUAGCCCACCUCCCCUCCUCUCGUUUCCUCUGAAUCAAUUUUCACGUGUGGUACCGAUUGAAAAUAUCUCUGACAUUUCGUGGACAUCUCUAUUGAAAAUAUCUCAGACAUUUCACUCAGGCAAACUUAUUAAUAUAAAAAAUCUAUGAUUUUUUCGUCUUAUACUGUAGAAAAAUUUGUCUAUACAUUAAUCUAGAUGUUUGAGGUGGUUUAUACAUCUGUGGUAUAGAUUUAUAGGUUGAUUGAUACGUCUGUGGUAUAGAUUUUAUGUAUUUCAUUAUCAAAUGCUGGCCUUUGGGACCCUAUCUACAUCUAUUUAUAAAACUAACGGGUGCCAGUUAUGCCAUUACAAAUUAUCCCCUCUUCAUACAUUUCCUUAAAAUUCUUCUGAAACACCAAAACUAAAUAAUCGAAUAUGGCUUUGCGGGUCGAUGAUGCCAGCAACAAUGAGGCUGCAAUUAUCACUUGUUUAGUUUCUAUGCUUGCCGUGGUUUAUUUCGUAUGGAAUGUGAACAAAUCAAGGAAAGCAAAUGCUAAACUGCCACCAGGACCUCGCGGUUUGCCUGUAGUCGGAUACCUCCCAUUUCUCGGAACUACUGACUUGCACAAGAAAUUCACGGAAUUAUCCGGAGUUUAUGGUCCGAUCUUCAAGCUCUGGCUCGGAAAUAAAUUAAGUGUCGUGGUGAGCUCACCUUCCCUAGUUAAACAAGUGGUUCGUGAUCAAGAUACAACAUUCGCAGACCGUGACCCGCCGAUCUCAGGACUAGUGACCUCCUUUGGUGGCAAUGAUAUUACAUGGUCCAAUUACGGUCCCGAAUGGAGAAAGUUGCGCAAAUUUUUUGUGGGCAAGAUGAUGAGUAACGCAAGCCUUGAUGCUUGUUAUGCUUUAAGAAAACAUGAGGUUAAAAAUACUAUCAGGGAUUUGUAUAACAACGGCAACAAAAUUGGUAAGCCCAUUGACAUUGGUGAAUUGUCGAUUUCAACAUUGGUAUGUGCUAUGCAGAACAUGCUGUGGGGUGAAGCGCUUGAAUUAAAAGAGAAAGGGACAACUAAUCUUGGGGUUGAGCUAAAAUUUAAGUUUGCAGAACUCAUGGUGCUACUGGGAACACCGAAUAUUUCGGAUAUCUUUCCAAUGCUUUCUUGGCUCGACAUACAAGGUAUAGAGAGGAGAGCAAAGAAGAUUUCACUCUGGUUUGAAAAAAUUAUAAAUUCUACUGUUGAAAAGUAUAGAAGCAAGGACUUUAAUGUUGAAGGUAAAGAAAGAGCAGGGGAAAAUUUUGAAGGAUCAAGGAACAAGAACUUCUUGCAGUUACUAUUGGAGCUUCAAGAAAAUGAAGACGGUUCUUCCUCAAUUAGCAUGAACCAAUUUAAGGCCGUACUCGUGGUAUGUUAAGAAACUAGCCGCAAACAGUUAUACAAGCACAGCUGUAUAUUUUGCAUGAGUGAUAUUUUCAACCUUUUUUUUUUAUAAUUAGAAUUUUAUUGUAACCUUUUGGACAGGAUAUAAUUACGGCUGGAACCGACACCACAACUACGAUGGUGGAAUGGACAAUGGCAGAGUUGAUGCAGCAUCCACAAAUAAUGAAGAAAGUUCAGGAAGAAUUAGCUCAAGUUGUGGGCAUGGACAGUUGUGUUGAAGAAUUUCAUUUGCCUAAAUUGAAAUAUUUAGAUGCUGUGGUGAAAGAAUCGUCUCGUCUGCAUCCUGCAGUGCCUUUAUUACUACCACGCAGAGCAAGCGAGAGUGGCAGCAUUGGUGGCUAUAACAUUCCCAAAGAUACAACUAUUAUGUUGAAUGUUUGGGCAAUCCACAGGGACCCUAAACUUUGGGAUAAUCCCUUAGAAUUUCGACCCGAGAGGUUUCUAGAUGAUGGUAUCGCGAGUAAGUUCGAUUACUCAGGUAACAAUUUUCAGUACUUGCCAUUUGGUUCUGGUAGAAGGAUGUGUGCUGGGAUUCCUCUAGCUGAGAGGAUGCUGAUGUUUGUUUUGGCUUCGUUAUUGCACUCAUUUGAGUGGGAAUUGCCAGCUGGCACAAAGCUAAACUUAUCUGAAAAAUUUGGGAUUGUCAUUAAGAAAAAAGAGCCUUUAGUUGCUAUUCCAACACCAAGACUAUCCAAUUCAGAGCUCUACCAUUAAGACAGAAUGGUUGUGAUGAUUUUGUUAAUUUCCGAAGAUUUGUAUGUUAUGUCAAGUUCAAUCGUAAUAAAAUAUUUCAAAUAAGAGUCCUCCGUUGCUUUUUUUUUUUUUUUCAACCGCAUAAUCUGUCGUCAUGCUUGUAUUUGGGGCUACUUUGGAAUAAUUAUGUUUGAAUUACAAUAUAUAAAUAUUACAUUUUAAAAUUUUAUGAGAUUCUAAAUUUAUACACGUUCAAUAACCCACUUCAUAUAUGUUUAACACAAUUUAUAUCAUACAUUGUAUACCCAUUUGUCAUAAAUUACGCUAUUUUAUAUCUCUAAAUAAUAUUACAUAUUGAUAUUAUAAAAUGUUGUUAACUCACGUGUGUAUAUAUAUAUAGCAAGUCACGUGCAUAUAUUAUUGGUUGUUAUAUGUUUGCUAGUUUGAUAGGAUUUCCUUUCCUUGUGAACUAGGGUAAUUCUUAUGUACAUAUAAAUAUUGAUCAAUAAGAGUGCAGAUGAUGACUGCAGUUUUGCAUCGUAGAAAUUCUUCGUAAAAUAUAUAUGUUUAUCAAAAGGCUAUACCAUUCAAUAUAUAUUGGAAAGAGAACAAAGAAGAUCUUCUUAUGGUUUGAAAAUAUUAUGAAUUCUGCUGUUGAACAGUAUGGAAACAAGGUCUGUUGUUAAAGGUGAAGAAGUCACAGGGAACAAUAUUGAAGGAAGAAAUUUCACGUUUAGUUGCUGAAUUUGCCGCUGUAUUCUAUCGGUAGUAAAAAGAUUAGAGUUUUUAUUUUUCUCUAUUAAUGUUAAGUCAAUUUUCUAUAACAAAUUCGGUUGAGUUUAAUUGUGUUACAAUAUAAAUUGAAUGAUAGUAGAAUUUUCAACGAAUAAUUCAAUAUUUCUAUCUCGAUUGUUGAAGUGCCAUUUAUUUGUUAUACGAUCGAUUUUAAAAUUUAUAAAAUUAUUUGUUACUAAAUUGCAUCAUAUGCUAAAUCACCUGAAACCUAAUUUCAUAACUAACCCUUUAUUUUUAGUUCUCAAGAAAUCUUGUAAGAACAAAAUUCUUUUGUAACAAAACGUUUACAACAAAUUAAUUUGUAACUCAUUCCUGUGCGAGAAUCACUCUCAAUUUCCUUCAAUUGCUGUUUAACAAUCAUCUGCUUAUCAAAAUUCAAGCAUAAUCUUUUUUUUUAAUUUCUUCAUCAUUCUUUUGAAAAAAAAAAUCAGGAUAUGCUGUUAAAUUUUGAAAUAAAUUAUCUCAAAAUAAUUACUAACCAGAAAAAACAAAGGGGUUUAACUAGGUUAUGCAUACCUUUGAAAAUUAUAUGUUGAUCGAUAAGAAUGAUGAUCACGAUUGACGAGUUUAAUUAAAAUAUAUAAGAUUUUAAAAUUAAUCAGGGUUAAAUUGUGAAUUUUAGAAAGAGAGGUUUUGUGAGAAUGUUGAAAGGGUGUUAAUAGUUCCACUCUUUUUAAAAACAACCAUAGUCAUCAUUUUUCCAUGGUUGUUUUUAAAAAGAGUAUUUCUUCUUCCCAUCUCCAUCUUAUUUAGAAAUUUCCCAGAGCCUUUGUUUCCCACCUUUCAUUUUUCUUCUUUCUAAUUUAAUAAUCCACCCUUCUUGUAUUCAAACUAAAAAAUUAAAAUCUGAAAAUUUAAAACCCAAUAUUAUAGUAUUAUAAAAAUAAUUACUCACAUUUUAUCAAACACCUCCAUUCUUCCAAGGCCUUGUUUUAGUAGUAGGCUUUUAUUAUCUCAAUAAAAUUGAAAAAAAAAAUCUCAAUAAUAUUGGAAAAAAACCCUACCCAUAUUUGUAACUUUAAUUUAUUAUUCUCCAUAGACCUACUUUUUAGUUUUGAAUUUUGUUGGAGCCAUAUAUAAACAGAAUAUGUUGAAAUCAGCACCCAAAAAAAAAAAAACUAAUUAUAUAAUUUAUGUUCCCAAGGACAUGGCUGAGUGAUUUUCAAGAAGUUUUGUUUGGCUGGCCACUUAGGUUUAAAUCUUGGUGGAGAUUAAGGGUUAAGAAAUAAAUUUAGACUUUGCACACCCCUUUAACUUUUAAAAAGAAAUGAAAAAAUUAAUUAAUUAAUCUUUAUUUUAUUUAUUAAAUGUCAUAAUCCUAUGCGUAUUUUAUUUGUUAUCUUUCUAUUUAAAAGACGAGGGCAGAUAAAACUGAAAUAAAUUUUUAGCCCUAUCUCCAUAUUUCAAGUUCCAUAGUUAGGUGACCAGCUAAAAAAAAUUAAUUGAAAGCUACUCCAUCAAAUUAAAAAAAUUUAUUUAUUUAAUUUGUGGAGAUGUAGAAAAUCAAACCCCAUACCUUUUCGCAUACACUGAACAUAUUUUAAUACAUGACUAUCAUCCUUUAUCCUAAAUACUACUAUAACUAAUAACAUACAAUUGAAAUAAUUAAUGUUAACACUUGGCUAUAAAUAAAGGUUUUGUGCUUGAAUCUUCACGCAUGACCUUCAUUCCUUUAUUGACUUUGCUAACACAGAUUUUGAGGCAUUAAAACUAAAUAAUAAUUGACUUUGUGGGCCGAGGAUGCCAGCAACAAGGAGACCACAAUUAUCACUUAAGUUACUCUAAUUGCCGUUGUCUUAUAUUCAUAGAAUAUUAGUAAUAAGAUUAUUGCAGAAUUUUUUUAAUAUUAAAAUUAAGUCAAUUUGUUAUAACAAAUUUAGUUGAGUUUAAUCGUGUUACUACAUAAAUUGAAUAAUAAUAGAAUUCUCGACAAAUAUUUCAAUAUUUUUAUCCCAAGCGUUGGAGUGGCAUUUAUUUGUUAUACGAUCGAUUUUAGAACUUAUAAAAUUAUUCGUUACUGAAUUGCACCAUAUGCUGCAUGACCUGAAACUUAAUAAACGGAAUGUAGCGUUGGCACCGUUACUCAACAUACUGUUACGACUUUGUGACAUUAGAAUUAAAAUCUUUUGCACAUUUAAUUUGUUUACUUCAAAAUUAAUAUUUAACAAAAUAUUUUUUUCACAUUAUCAAUGGACAAAACUCCAACGAAAAUAACUACACAAGAAAAAUGUAUGCUAGUAUUGUGUGCCAUAUCAUCUGUAAUUUUGUCAGGAUCGAACACUCUAAUUUUUAAGCAGAACUUUUUAUCAAUGGACAAACACCUCACACAGCUUGUCAGAGGCAUUAUUAUGAUAGAAAACUGUAAUGGUAUAUCUUGAAUUAUUGGUAGAAUAGUUCUUUGGAGCAAUAAAAAUAGAUAAGACAGAUGAGAAAAUUGUCAAUACCCCACCGCAAAAGCAAAAGAAAAAAAGGAAAGGAGACAAAAGAGGAAGAAGAAAAAAAGGAAAGGAGACAAAAGAGGAAGAAGAAAAAGAAAAAAGAACGAAGAAAAAAAUGGUGCCGCGCUGUAUUGGGAAGAAGAAAAAAAUUAAUAAAAUAAUAAUAAAUAAUAAAUAAUAAAUAAUAAAAUAAUAGUGCACAACAAUCAUUUGAUUGCUAUAAAUAAAGGGGCAUUUUCCUCAUUUUAUUCAUCGAAUUCUUCAGUUCCUUUCAAGCGAUUUAAGAGUCUAGUGAUUUGAGAGUUUGGGAGUAUUGUGAUUUUGAGUACUAAGUUAAAAUACUAUAAUACUUGUAACUCAUUUUCACUAGUAAAAUAUUUUUCUUCUGUCUUCGCCCGUAGACGUAGGCUAAAAGCUGAACCACGUAAUUUCUGGUGUCCCUAUGUGAUUAUGUGUCUCAUUAUUUCUCAAUUUUACUUUAGUUACGUGUCUGCUACACCCUUCAAUUUACUAACAAAAAUGGCCAAAAUUAUAUAAGUGACCCAAAUUUUUUUGCUAUUUCCAAGAAAUCCCCAAUCGGAAUAGACCAAACUAGAGGGAGGCAAGUUAGAAAUACGUUUCCUUCAUAAACAAUAACAGCGAUGAGUCGAUGACAUCGAGCCACGUCGGUAUCAAUAUUGAAUUAAAGGUGCAAUUAUUCAGCCAAUGAGCCUUACACAUCAAGAUAAAAGUCAAGAAAAUGAAAAAUUUAUCCUAAUUAAAACACUUUCUGGCUGCAUUUAGCUGUUUCUAUUUGAAGUUAAAAACAACAUUUCUUUCGUUUUGUGGGCAACUCGACUGAGUUCGCUGGCUUCUAGUGCUAGUAUGUGAAAAUAGAAGGCUAAUGAUUUAUUUGUUAUCUUUUGACAAAAAAUGUUAAAGAUAUAAUAGAUUUUCCAUGAUACAAAUGAAAAAUUAUAUCAACAUAACUUCCAAGCUACAGCAGCUAGUGUUUACCAAACACUUUGCUGUAGCUUUUAAGCUACAGCUGCCCAACCUCAAUAGGUUGAUUGAAUUUGUGGGAUAUAGAUUCCACAUAUCUCAUGACCUAUUAAUUAUACAAGUGGUUCUUGAUCAAGAACAACAUUUGCUUCCGACCCAGUAACCCAGCAACUGCUGCACUGGUCGCCACCUAUGGUGCCGACGAUAUUGCAUGGUCCAAUUAUGGCCUUGAAUGGAAAAAGUUGAGCAAAUUAUUUGUGGGCACGAUGAUAAGUAACGCAAGCCUUGAUGCUAGUUAUGGUCGAAGAAAACAAGAGGUUAAGAAUACUAUCAGAGAUAUGCAUAACAACAAAAAGGAAAAAAAAAAAAAAAGGCAUUGGCAAGUCAAUUGAUAUUGCUGAAUUGUCGAUUUCAACUUUGGCAUGUGUAAUUCAGACAUUGCGCGUUGUGGUAUGGCGCUGGCACGCUUGCAUUGCCGAGAGGACAAAUCUUGGGGCUGGGCUAAAAUUUAGGCUUGUAGAACUCAUGGUGCUAAUGGGAACGCCAAAUUUUUUUAACAUAUUUCGGUGCUUUCAUGGUUUAAUUCAAGGUAUAGAAAGGAGUGUUGAGAAUGUCAAAUAAAACGACAUUGAAUGGAAGUUGUCAAAGACAUGAUCCGCACUGAACGGCAAUGACACGGUUGGUAAAGAUUUUUUCAUAAUAUGCGUAUCUAAUUUUUGAAAAAUUGUAACCUCUGCUUCUAUAAAUAUGCUCAAUGUAUAAUGUUUUACUUAAGAAAUGAAAAACUUAAUUCUUUAUGGUAUCAGAGCGAGGCUCGUUGCUCUGUUUGUAACAAAAACAAAGAAAACUAAAUUCUUCCCACAACUAUUUUUCCACCUUUUUUUCUUCCUUAAAAGCAUUCCUAGCAUUACAGAAACCCAUGCCAAUAAAAGAACAAGCCACACAUAUGUAAAAACUUUAGUUUACAAAUCUAUCAACAUCCCCAUAAAUUUUCCCAAAAAGUGAUCUUCAAAAACCAAAAAUACCAUCAAUUUUCGCAUCUUCUAGUAAACAAACUAUAAAAGUUUCGCACUCAAACAGAGCCACACGCGCCUCCACGCGCUUCCCGGAAUCACGGCCAACCACCACGCGCCUCUGUCACCACCAACUCACCCUCAUGCGCUCCAGAUGUUGCAGAAGACGCAAAACGACGUGUCGUUUUCUUCUCUAAAAGUGCAGCAACGUGGAAAUGACUUUUUGUUUUUGCCUUAAAUUGUUUUUCCUCGUUUGAAGCUAUACAACAUUUUUCUUUCUAAACCUGUUUUUUACAAUAAAAAAAGAAAAAAAUGGAGAAAACUCCAACUGAAUCUACUCAUGUUGUCAUUCAAUCUGUUCAACCUGAUGGAGUAUUUAAUGCCGAAAUUAUCCUUACUAAGACAAACUACGAUAUUUGAUCUCAAAUAAUGGAGAUGCAUCUCGCAGAAAGAAAAAAACUCCCAUAUAUUCGUAGCAGCAUAAAUCCAUCUGACAAAUUUUCAAAGAAAUAUGAGAAAUGGUAUAGUGAGAACCAAAAAGUAAAAAGAUGGUUACUCAUAACCAUGUGUCCUGAGAUCAUGAAGCGAUAGUUACAAAUUCCUACAGCCUACGAAAUUUAGAAUGCAUUAUCAAAAGCCUUUUAUAAUGGAAGCGAUGAAAUACAAGUUUUCACUCUAAAUCAGAAGGCGUUCUCUACGAAGCAAAAUGGACAACCACUCUCUAAAUUCUACGGAGAAUUGAUCAAAAUGUUUCAAGAACUUAAUCACCGAGAUAAAGUGGUCAUGAAGGAUCCAGAAGAUGUUAUAAUAUAUAGGAAGUUUGUUGGAAGAUUGAGAGUGCACAUUUUUCUUGCUGGACUAGAUGAAGAAUUUGACCAAGUUUGUGGAGAAAUUCUACGAAAAGAUACUAUCCUAGACUUAAAAGAAUGUUAUUCUCUAAUCCGAAAAGAAGAUGUACGGCAAAGCAAACUAACAAGAAGGUGGACGACUCAGAAACGUCUGCUAUGAUACCACAAGAGAACAAUGUUUUGAAAUUGUUCGAUAUCCUGACUGGUGGGAUACUCGAAGUAAUAACACAAAGCAGAGAUAAAAAACUGCAGUAGCUGAAUCCACAUCCACUACAGAUCUUAGAAAAGAAUCUUCAGCGCAAAUUGCAACCUCUGUCAAUUCAGGUAAGGUCAUUAAAACUCUUACAUUUGUUAUUAAUAGUAUAUGGAUAAUUGAUUAUGGUGCAACUGAUCAUAUGACUUUUGAUUCUUGACAAGUUUCUUAAUUGAAACCAUCUUCACAUAAACAUGUUUCUACUGUAAAUAGAACCACAACCUCAGUUAUUGGGGAAGGAUCUUUACAACUCACAAUUAAAUCAAAUUUAGACUUUGUGUUAAUUGUUCCAUCUUUAAAUUAUAAUCUUUUAUAUGUGUCUCAAAUAACCUCUUACUUAUCAUGUGUUGUAAUGUUUUGGCCCGAUCAUUGCAUGUUUAAGGACAUCCAAAUGAAGGAAACGAUUGGUUAUGAUAUUAAAUAAGGCAACUUGUAUUACCUGGAGAUGACAUCAACAAACACUGAAAAGCUAAGCCCCGCAUUAGUAGCAGACAAUUCCAUGAAAAAAAAGGAAAUAAGAAAUUUGGUUAUGGCAUAGACGAUUAGGGCAUGUGUCAUUUGAUUUCUUAAAAAAAUUGUUUCCUAGUUUGUUUCUGAAAUUUGAUAUUUGUAACUUUAAAUAUGAUGUUUGUGAACUUUCAAAUAGCCAUCGAACUACUUUUCCAUUGUCCUUAAAUAAGAAUCCAAUUCCUUUAAUGGUAGUACAUUCUGAUGUAUAGAGACCAUCUAAAGUUUCUACCAUUGGAAGAGCUCGUUGGUUUGUUACAUUUAUUGAUGAUUGUAGCAGAAUGACAUGGAUUUUUUUAUGAAAUUAAAAUCAUAUGAUGGUGACAACUCUAUUUCAGACACAAAUUUGAGUUCUACAUACUGAUAAUGGAGGCGAGUAUAUGAGCACAACAAUUCAACAGUUUUUGAAAUCACAAUGAACUCACCACCAAACCACUUGUGUGGGGACACUCCAACAAAAUGGCGUUGCUAAACAAAAAAAUAGACAUUUACUAGAAGUUGUUCAAGCAUCACUAAUUUAGGCCCGCAUGCCACUAUUUUAUUGGGGAGAAGCAUUGGCAUCCGUAGCAUACUUGAUCAAUCGGACACCUUCAAUCUUCCUUGGAUUCCAAACUUAUUUUCUAGUUCUAAAUGAAGAAUUAUGUCAUCAAAUGUGUCGAAUUUACCCCCACAUAUGUUUGGUUGUGUUGCCUUCGUUCAUUUGCCAUGACAAGAUAAAUUAUCUCCUCGAGCACUACGUUGUGUGUUUGUAGGGUAUGCCUUACAUCAAAAGGGGUACCGAUGCUAUCAUCCUCUAUUAAGAAAAAAUAUACAUCACCAUGGACAUAAUCUUUCAUGAAGAUAUCAUGUAGUACCCAUCGGAGCUUGAAUUUCAGAGGGAGUAUAAUGAAGAGGAAAUUCAUACUCUUACAUAUCUUUCACCUGAAGAAGAUCAAUCCUCCAUUGAGGUAGUAAACGUUCAAGAUACUGGAAAAGAAAACGACAAUGAUUCUCAGGCUGAGACAAGUGAAGACACAUUUAGGGAGCAAAAUAACUCAGACAUAACCACAAUCGAGAACGAGUCCAUGAAGAGCCACAUGAAGAAAUAUCUAACCAAUCAUCUGCAGAGGAUGAUCCUACCACAAAUCCCAGUCUAAUCAGAAGAAUACUUCCCCAGCAUCAAAAUAGAGGUAUCUCUAAACCCACAUAUAAGACUGACCUCUCUAGUAGAGUCAAAUACCCUAUGAGUCAUUUUGUAUCUAACCAUGGCUUAUCAAAAUCAAAUCAGUCAUUUGUGAAUCAAUUAUCUACUGUGUCUAUUCCUAACAGUGUGCAAUAAGCCUUAAAAUAUCGAAAGUGGAAAGGGCUAUGAAUGACGAAAUGAGAUCUCUUUAAAAAAAAUCAAACAUGGGAACUAAUUGAUCUUCCACCAGGAAAGAAACCAGUGGGUUGCCGAUGGAACUAGUUGAUCAUCCACCUCCAUUCUGACAAGCAAUGUUUAUCAGCAAUAACAAAUGACUGAAGCAUUUUAAUGAGGUUAGUAACGAAAAAGAGUUUAAUUAGAGAAUAUUAUAAGAGAAAUUCUAAUUUUUGAUUUUUAAUAAAUUAAAAUAUCUUAAAAUAUUAUUAGUUGGUGGUGGUUUCAUGUCAGAUUAAGACGUGACACCUUACUAAUGAGGUCGAGACAAUUAGCUUAAAUUAUUUCAAUGCAUUUGAAAUUUCCACUAAUGACUAUAAUUCUUUGUCCUAAUUACUAUGAUAAUUAAUAACAUACAAUUGAAAUAGUUAAUAUUAGCACUUGGCAAUAAAUAAUUAAAUUUCAUUAACACUAAAUAAUAAUUGAAUAUGGCUUUGUACAUCGAUGACGCCAGCAACAAGGGGACCGCGAUUAUCACUCUUUAAGUUGCUUUUAAAAUUGAUUUUAGUAGUGAUAUGAUUAUUGUAGUGUUUUUAUUUUUUAUAUUAAAAUUAAGUGAUUUGUUAUAAUAAACUUAGUUGAGUUUAAUGGUAUUACUACAUAAAUUGAAUAGUUAUCAAAUAUUUUAAUAUUUUUAUGGCAAGCGUUGACGUGGCAUUUAUUUGUUGUAUGAUGGAUUUUAAAAUUUAUAAAAUUAUUUGUUAUUAAAUUACCCCCAGAUGCUACAUCACCUGAAACUUAAUAAAGGUAUGAAGACAUGUGUGUGUGGACUGAAAUGAAGAAUAUGGAAAAGUUGAGAGCUGUUGUGCAGAUUGAGUUCAGUUGAUGGGGUCUAUUAGAUAUUGUCUGCUGACGUGGCAUGAAUUCGUUAUAAUCUGUUAUAACGAGUUCAGUAUAUCAGUAUACAAUAGAGCUGAUGGAUGGUGCCUGUUUUAGAGUCUUUUUUAUAUUCAUUUGUUCAUCAUUUUGCGCAAGAUCUGUUCCAUUGUGAUAUGUGUAAAGUCUUAUGUAAACCCACUUAUGAUUGGAUUAGUUCUUGAUUAAUAACAACGAGUAAAUUUUCCUUCAAGUGUGCUGGUCUGUGCCCCUGUUUUUUGUUCUGAUAUUGUUUCUUUGUUCUGGCAUUUCAUUUCGAUUGUGUUCUUGGUGUUUCUACUCAUCAAGAUUUAUGAGUCUUGUUGAGAUUAAAGACUUAAUAGUCUUAACAAGUGGUAUCAGAGCCUGGUGAAUCUCAGCCAUGUCUCUUUCGAAGCAUGAAAUUGAAAAAUUCACCAUUGGUGGUGAUUUCUCGCUUUCGAAAUUAAAAAUGAGGGCUCUCCUUGUGCAUUAGAGGCUUGAAUUUGCUCUGGAAAAAGAUAAUCUAGAGGCUGCUACAAGUUAUGUGACUGAUGAUAAGAAGAGACAAAUCCAAAACCGAGCUCGUAGCACUCUAGUUUUGAGUCUUGGUGACUCAAUCUUGAGAAAGAUUUCUGAAGAGAAGACAACCUUAGGGAUUUGGAACAAGGUAGAAGCUUUGUGUACAAAGAAGUCGCUAGCUCACAGACUAUUCUUGAAGAAAAAGUUAUACACAUUCUCGAUGAGAGAAGGAGUCACAAUUCAAGAUCACAUUGAUACCUUCAACAAGAUCAUUCUUGAUCUUGAAGGGGUGGAAAAUGUGACAAUAAGUGAUGAAGAUAAAGCCUUCUUCUUGUUGAGUUCCUUACCAAAGUCUUAUGAAGGCUUUGUAGAUACAAUGCUUUAUGGCAGAACAACAUUGACUCUUGAAGAUGUUAAAGCAUCUCUAAGUUCAAAAGAGAUUCAGAAGAACAAUGAGAUUGAAACAAAUAAUGGUGAUGGGCUGAUUGCCAGAUCAGAAAAGAAGAAAGAUCAGAAGAAUAAAAAUCAGGGAAAAUGACAUGGAAAGAAUUAAGAAAAUGCAGACAAGAAGAAAAAGAAGAGAAAAUGCUUCUACUGCCGGAAGGAAGGGCAUUACAUCAGGGAUUGUCUUAAAAAGAAAAAAAAAGAAAGUCAAGAGAAGUCAGGGGAUGCAGCUGUAGCCUCUGAUGAUGCCUCUGAUGGAUAUCACAUUGCUGAUUUACUUGUGGCCUCAAAUAGCAAUACUAAAGGUCAGUGGGUCAUAGACUCUGAGUGCUCUUUUCACUUGUGGCCUGAUAAAACCAUAUUUUACAAAUAUGAAGUUGUUGAUGGUGGUAGAGUCUUAAUGGGAAAUAAUAAUGUGUGUAAUCUUGUUGGUAUUGGUUCUGUGAAGAUCAAGAUGUUUGAUGGAACUGUAAGAGCUCUACAUGAGGUGAGGCAUGCUCCUAGGCUAAAGAGAAAUCUAAUCUCUUUAGGCAUGCUAGACAGCUUAGGGUAUUUCUUUAAAUCAGAAAGUGGUGGUUUAGAGAUAAGAAAGGGGACUGAGAUAGUGAUGAAGGGGGUUAAAGAAAAUGGCUUAUAUGUAUUGUAAGGCUCAUCAGUGCUUCUUCAAAAGGGAAUUUCUGCUCUUUUUGAGGAAGAUAUAACCAAGUUAUGACAUCUUAGACUUGGUCAUAUGAGUGUCAAAGGGAUGUAAGAGCUCAGCAAACAAGGGCUACUUGGUGGGGAUAGAAUCCAGCAACUGGAAUUAUGUGAAAAUUGCAUUUUUGGCAAAGCUCACAGGUCCAAGUUUCACAAGGGGGAGCAUAUGUCUAAGCAAGUUUUGGACUAUGCACAUGCUGACCUUUGGGGGCCUGCUCAAGUCCCAUCCUUGAGUGGUGGCAGGUAUUUCAUAUCACUAAUUGAUGAUUACUCAAGGAAGAUGUGGGUCUACAUACUCAAGACCAAAGAUCAAGCCUAGGAAAAAAUUCAAGGUAUAGAAAUCUUUGGUAGAAAAUCAAUUUGGAUUCAAGCUCAAAUGCUUGAGAACUGAUAAUGGUUUGGAAUUUUGUAGCAAAGAAUUUGAGGAAUAUUACAAAAAAACAUGGCAUAAAAAGGCACAAAACAGUCAGGUUCACCCCCCAGCAGAAUGGCUUGGCUGAAAGGAUGAACAUGACCUUGGUAGAUAAGACCAGAUGUAUGUUGAUAAAUUCAAAGCUUCCAAGAAGCUUUUGGGCAGAAGCUGUCAAUACAACAAGUUGUUUGGUUAACAGAAGCCCAUAUUCUGCAAUUGGCUUCAAAACACCAGAAGAAUUGUGGAAGGAAAAACCUGUAAAUUACCAAAAUCUCAGUGUUUUUGGAUGCCCUGCUUAUCUCCACAUCAAUCAAGGCAAGCUGGAAGCUAGGGCCUUGAAAGGAGUCUUUGUUGGAUAUCCUGAUGGGGUUAAGGGAUACAUAAUCUGGUGUAGAGAGUAAGGGAAGUGUAUAGUCAGCAGGGAUGUUGUGUUUCAUGAAUUUGGAUUGCUAAAAGAAAAUGCAGAGAAUGAUACUAGACUACAAAAUGAUUCAAUAAUUAUCAAACAAUCUGGAACUUCCAAGGUUAAGGUGGAGCUGUUUGGAAAUAAAGACAGUAGAAAAGAGGUAGCUGAUUAUGAAGAGAGGACCACAGCUAAAGUUGAGGAACAUGAGUCAUCAGAGUUGCCACAAGCUGACUUGCAGACUUAUCAGUUAGCAAGAGAUAGAGUUAGAAGAGAAGUCAAAGCACUAGUGAGGUAUGGCUAUGCUGACUUAAUUACUUAUGCAUUGUUGUGUGCUGAUGAUGUGGCAAUUGAAGAGCCUGCUAACUUCUCUGAAGUUAUUGAAAGUGUGCAUUGUGAUAAGUGGCUUGAGGCAAUGCAAGAUGAAAUGGGAUCCCUUCAAAGAAAUCAGACCUGGACACUUGUUCCAAAUCUAGGUAAUAAAAAGUUGAUCAGUUGUAAGUGGAUCUUCAAGAAGAAUGAAGGAAUUCCAGAUGUUGAACCUCCCAAAUAUAAAGCAAGGCUAGUGGCUAGGGGGUUUACACAGAGAAAGAGUGUAGAUUUCAAUGAAAAAUUUUCCCCUGUUCUUAAGCACAUUUCAAUAAGAAUUUUAUUAGUCAUGGUAGCCUUACUUGACUUGGAGCUUGAGCAAAUGGAUGUAAAAACAGCAUUCCUUCAUGGUAAUCUUGAAGAACAGAUAUUGAUGGCACAACCUAAAUGUUUUGAGUGCAAAGGAAAUGAGGAUUAUGUUUGUUUGCUGCAUAAGUCCUUGUAUGGACUCAAGCAAUCCCCACGACAGUGGUACAUAAGAUUUGAUGAUUUUAUGGUCUCAAAAGGCUAUCACAUAAGCAAAUAUGACAGUUGUGUUUACUUUGGUGGAUCAUAUCAAGGUGGAGUUGCUUAUUUGCUUCUGUAUGUUGAAGAUAUGUUAAUUGCAAGAAAAUAUAAGUUGGAGAUAGAGAGGUUGAAGAAAUGAAGGAUCUCGGCAAUGCCAAAAGAAUCCUUGGGAUGAACAUUACAAGGGGCAGAUCUGCUGACACUUUGUUCUUGAGUCAUGAGAAAUAUAUCAAGAAGGUUCUGGAGAGGUUUGAGAUGCAAGACUAUAAACCUGUCCAAACACCACUUGGUCCCCAAUUCAAGUUGACAGCAGCUCAAUCAUCAGAAGAUGAGUCUCAGGUGAGUGAAUUCCCAUAUGCACAGGUUGUAGGGAGCCUGAUGUAUGUAAUGGUAUGCACCAGGUCAGAUAUAGCUUAUGCAGUAAGUGUUGUCAGCAAAUUUCUCAGUUGUCUAGGCAAGGUUCACUGGAAUGUUGUAAAAUGGAUAAUGAGAUAUCUUAAGGGCUCUUUUACUUGUGGUUUGCUGUAUGGGAAGACUAAGAGUGACAUAAGUGAAGUCCUGGGGUUUGUAGACUCUGACUUUGCUGGAGAUCUUGAUAGAAUGAAGUCAACCUCAGGGUAUAUGUUUGUGUUAAACAGUUGCCUGAUUAGCUGGAAGUCAUCACUUCAGUCUGUGGUUGCUUUAUCCUCAACUGAAGCUGAGUUUGUUGCAACUACAGAGGCAGUAAAAGAGGCCAUGUGGCUAAGAGGUUUGCUUAAUGAGUUAUGGUUAAAUCAGAAAAUUGUUCAGGUUUUCUGUGAUAACCAAAGUGUCAUACACCUGGUAAAGAAUCAGAUGUAUCAUGAAAGAACCAAGCACAUUGAUGUGAAGCUCCAGUUUAUCAGAGAUGAGGUUGGAAAAGGAACUAUAAUUGUGUCCAAGAUCUAUACCAGUGUGAAUCCAACUGAUGUUAUUACAAAAGCACUUCCCACUGCAAAAUUUGAAUUCUAUGUGAAUCUAAUGGGCAUCUCGCCCAAACCUAACUAAAUUCAAUAGUGAAUUGUAGUUGAAUGAAGGUUUUUUAGGUGCUGUGUUAUUGAAAGGAUCAACUGAAUCAACUGCAAGGUGGAGAAUGUGAAGAUGUGUGUGUGGACUGAAAUGAAGAAUAUGAAAAAGUUGAGAGCUGUUGUGCAGAUUGACUUCAGUUGAUGGGGUCUAUUAGAUAUUGUCUGCUGACGUGGUAUGAAUUCGUUAUAAUCUGUUAUAACGAGUUCAAUAUAUCAGUAUAUAAUGGAGCUGAUGGAUGGUGCCUGUUUUAGAGUCUUUUUCGUAUUCAUUUGUUCAUCAUUUUGCACAAGAUUUGUUCCAUUGUGAUCUGUGUAAAGUCUUCUGUAAAUCCACUCAUGAUUGGAUUAGUUCUUGAUCAAUAACGAGUAAAUUUUCCUUCAAGUGUGCUGGUCUGUGCCCCUGUUUUUGGUUCUAAUAUUGUUUCUUUGUUUUGGCAUUUCAUUUCGAUUGUGUGCUUGGUGUUUCUACUCAUCAAGAUUUGUGAGUCUUGUUGAGAUUAAAGGCUUAAUAGUCUUAACAAAAGGGAAUGUAGCAUUGCCAUUAAUCAACAUUCACUCUUAUGACUUUAUGACAUUAGAAUUAAAAUCUUUCGUACAUUUAAUUUAUUUGCUUCCAAAUUAAUCUUUAAUAAAUAUUUUUUCACAUUAUCAUCAAUGGACAAAACUCCAACGAAAAUAACUACACGAGAACAAUUUAUGCUAGUAUUAAAUGCCACGAUAUCUAUAACUUUGUCUGGAUCGAUCAUUCUAAUUUUUUCGCAGAACUUUUUGUCAAUGGACAAACACCUCACAGAGCUUGUCAGCCGCAUUAUUACGAUGUAAAAUUGUACCGGAAUAUCUUGAAUUAUUAGUAGAAUAAUGAAGACUAUUUGGGGCAAUAAAAACAAAUAACGCAGAUAAAAAAAUGGCUAAAAUUAUGUAAGUGAGCCCCAAAGUUUUUGCUAUUUCCAGGAAAUCCCAAAUUUGAAUGGACUAGAGGGAGGCACGUAAGAAAUACAUUUUCUUCCUAGACAAUGACAGCUAUGACAUCAAGCCACGGUGGCGUCAGUAUUGAAAUUAAGGUGUAAUUAUUCAGCCAAUGAGCCUUACACAUCAAGAUAAAAGUCAAGAUAAUGAAAAUUUGGCUGUUUCCAUUUGAAGUUAAAAGCAACGUUUCUUUCGUUUUGUGGGCGACUCGACUGAGCACGCCCCAAUAGCUAUAUUUAGGGCGUCAAUUUGAUAUUUGAAUGGACAGGCAAGUAAGAAAUACAUUUCCUUCAUAGACAAUGACAACGAGGACAUCAAGCCACAUCAUUAUAGUUUGUAGCCCAUCUACAUUUAAACGAUUAAUAAACAAGCUUAGGUGUGCCACUGCUAUUAUUAAUUAUCCCCUGAUCAUUAUAGUUUCUGAAACAGUAAAACUAAACGAAAUUGAAUACAUCAACGAGACCGCAAUUAUCACUUGUUUAGUUGCGGUAUUUAACUUAAUUUUAAUAUAAUAUAUUUGUUAGUUAAACUUUUAAUAAUCAAAUAAUUUUGAUUUAAAAAUAAAAUUAUAGAAAUUAUUAAUUAUUAAUUAUUAAAAAUUCACAAUUAAGGGAACGUUCAUCAAACACACAUAGCUAUUGUUUUCUCUAUAUAUUGCAGUGUGUACGAUAUUGAGGGUUGAAGCCCCAAGCAUGCUCUAAAAUCCAGAUAAUAAUUAGAUCCGGGCCAAAUAUUCAUCAUUGUGUCAGCUGAUCAGUCGGUGGACAUCUCUAUUGAAAAUAUCUCUGACAUUUCACUCGACAAACUUAUUAAUAUAAAAAAUCUGUGGUUUUGCCGUCUGAAUAAUGUAGAAAAAUUUGUCUAUGCAUUAAUCUAGAUGUUUGAGGUGAUUUAUACAUCUGUGGUAAAGAUUUAUAGGUUGACUUAGACGUCUGUGGUAUAGAUUUUAUGUAUUUCAUUACAAAAUGCUGGCCGUUAGAACCCUUUCUACAUCUAUUUAUAAGAUUAACGGGUGCCAGCUAUGCCAUUACAAAUUAUCCCCUCAUCAGAUAUUUCGUUAAAAUUCAUUCUGAAACACUAAAACUAAAUAAUCGAAUAUGGCUUUGCGGGUCGAUGAUGCCAGCAGCAAUGAGACUGCAAUUAUCACUUGUUUAGUUUCUGUGCUGGCCGUGGUUUACUUCGCAUGGAAUGUGAAAAAAUCAAGGAAAGCAAAUGCUACACUGCCACCAGGACCUCGCGGCUUGCCUGUAUUCGGAUACCUCCCAUUUCUUGGAACUACUGACUUGCACAAGAAAUUCACGGAAUUAUCCGGAGUUUAUGGUCCGAUCUUCAAGCUUUGGCUUGGAAAUAAAUUAUGUGUAGUGGUGAGCUCACCUUCCCUAAUUAGACAAGUGGUUCGUGAUCAAGAUACAACAUUCGCGAACCGUGACCCACCGAAGGCUGCACUAGUGGUCUCCUAUGGUGGCAAUGAUAUUGCAUGGUCCAAUUACGGUCCCGAAUGGAGAAAGUUGCGCAAAUUUUUUGUGGGCAAGAUGAUGAAUAACGCAAGCCUUGAUGCUUGUUAUGCUCUAAGAAGACAAGAGGUUAAAAAUACUAUCAGGGAUUUGUAUAACAACGACAACAAAAUUGGCAAGCCCAUUGACAUUGGUGAAUUGUCGUUUUCAACAUUGGUAUGUGCUAUACAGAACAUGCUGUGGGGUGAAGCGCUUGAAUUAAAAGAGAAAGGGACCACUAAUCUUAGGGCUGGGCUAAAAUUUAAGCUGGCAGAACUCAUGGUGCUUGCGGGAACACCGAAUAUUUCGGAUGUCUUUCCAAUGCUUUCAUGGCUUGACAUACAAGGUAUAGAGAGGAGAGCAAAGAAGAUUUCACUCUGGCUUGAUAAUGUUAUAAAUUCUACUGUUGAACAGCAUAGAAACAAGGAGUUAACUGUUGAAGGUGAAGAAAGAGCGGGGAAAAAUUUUGAAGGAUCAAGGAACAAGAACUUCUUGCAGUUACUAUUGGAGCUUCAAGAAAAUGAUGACAGUGCUUCCUCAAUUAGCAUGAACCAAUUCAAGGCCGUACUCGCGGUAUGUUAAGCAACUAGCCACGAACAGUUAUACAAGCACAAUUGUAUAUUUGCAUGAGUGAUAUUUUCAACCUUUUUUUUUAAUUAGAAUUUUAUUGUCACCUUUUGGACAGGAUAUAAUUACGGCUGGAACCGACACCACAACUACGAUGGUGGAAUGGACAAUGGCAGAGUUGAUGCAGCAUCCACAAGUAAUGAAGAAAGUUCAGGAAGAAUUAGCUCAAGUUGUGGGCAUGGACAGUUGUGUUGAAGAAUUUCACCUGUCUAGAUUAAUGUAUUUAGAUGCUGUGGUGAAGGAAACAUUUCGUCUGCAUCCUGCAGUGCCUUUAUUACUACCACGUAGGGCAAGCGAGAGUGGCAACAUUGGUGGCUAUACCAUUCCCAAAGAUACAACUCUUAUGUUGAAUGUUUGGGCUAUCCACAGGGACCCUCACCUUUGGGAUAAUCCCUUAGAAUUUCGACCCGAGAGGUUUCUGAAUGUUGGUAUCGAGAGUAAGUUCGAUUACUCAGGUAACAAUUUUCAGUACUUGCCAUUUGGUUCUGGUAGAAGGAUGUGUGCUGGGAUUCCUCUAGCUGAGAGGAUGCUGAUGUUUGUUUUGGCUUCGUUAUUGCACUCAUUCGAGUGGGAAUUGCCAACUGGCACAAAGCUAAACUUAUCAGAAAAAUUUGGGAUUGUCAUUAAGAAAAAAGAGCCUUUGGUUGCUAUUCCAACACCAAGACUAUCCAAUUCAGAGCUCUACCAUUAAGACCAAAUGGUUGUGAUGAUUUUGUUAAUUUCCGAAGAUUUGUAUGUUAUUUCAAGUUCAAUCGUAGUAAAAUAUUUCAAAUAAGAGUCCUCCGUUGCUUUUUUUUUUUUUUUUCAACGGCAUAAUCUGUGGUCAUGCUUGUAUUUGGAGCCACUUUAGAAAAAUUAUGUUUGAAUUACAAUUUAUAAAUAUUACAUUUUAAAAUAUUAUGAGGCUAAAUUUAUACACGUUCAAUAACCCGCUUCAUAUAUAUUUAACACAAUUUAUAUCAUACAUUGUACACCCAUUUAUCAUAAAUUACACUAUUUUGUAUCUCUAAAUAAUAUUACGUAUUGAUAUUAUAAAAUAUAUAUGGAAAAGAGAACAAAGAAGAUUUCUUAUGGUUUGAAAAUAUUAUGAAUUCUGCUGUUGAACAGUAUGGAAACAAGGUCUCUGUUGUUAAAGGUGAAGAAGCAACAGGGAACAAUAUUGAAGGAAGAAAUUUCACAUGUUUAGUUGCUGAAUUUGCCGCUGUAUUCUAUCGGUAGUAAAAAAAUUAGAGUUUUUAUUUUUCUCUAUUAAUGUUAAGUCAAUUUUCUAUAACAAAUUCGGUUGAGUUUAAUUGUGUUACAAUAUAAAUUGAAUGAUAAUAGAAUUUUCAACGAAUAUUUCAAUAUUUCUAUCUCGAUUGUUGAAGUGCCAUUUAUUUGUUAUGCGAUCGAUUUUAAAAUUUAUAAAAAUUAUUUGUUACUAAAUUGCAUCAUAUGCUAAAAUCACCUGAAACCUAAUUCCAUAACUAACCCUUUAUUUUUAGUUCUCAAGAAAUCUUGUAAGAACAAAAUUCUUUUAUAACAAAACUUUUACAACACAUUAAUUUGUAACUCAUUCCUGUGCGAGAAUCACUCUCAAAUUCCUUCAAUUGCUGUUGAACAAUCAUCUGCUUAUCAAAAUUCAAGCAUAAUCUUUUCUUUUUUUUAAUUUCUUCAUCAUUCUUUUGAAAAAAAAAAAUCAGGAUAUGCUGUUAAAAUUUUGAAAUAAAUUAUCUCAAAAUAAUUACUAACCAGAAAAAACAAAGGGGUUUAACUAGGUUAUGCAUACCUUUGAAAAUUAUAUGUUGAUCGAUAAGAAUGAUGAUCACGAUUGAGGAGUUUAAUUAAAAUAUAUAAGAUUUUAAAAUUAAUCAGGGUUAAAUUGUGAAUUUUAGAAAGAGAGGUUUUGUGAGAAUGCUGAAAGGGUGUUAAUAGUUCCACUCUUUUUAAAAGCAACCAUAGUCAUCAUUUUUCCCGAUUUCUUCUUCCCAUCUCCAUCUUAUUUAGAAAUUUCCCAGAGCCUUUGUUUCCCACCUUUCAUUGUUCUUCUUUCUAAUUUAAUACUAUAGGAUUACAAAAAUAAUUACUCACAUUUUAUCAAACACCUCCAUUCUACCAAGGCCUUGUUUUAGUAGUAGGCUUUUAUUAUCUCAAUAAAAUUGAAAAAACAAAUCUCAAUAAUAUUGGAAAAAAAAAACCUACCCAUAUUUGUAACUUUAAUUUAUUAUUCUCCAUAGACCUACUUUUUAGCUUUGAAUUUUGUUGGAGCCAUAUAUAAACAGAAUAUGUUGAAUCAGCACCAAAAAAAAAAAAAAAAAACUAAUUAUAUAAUUUCUGUUCCCAAGGACAUGACUGAUUGAUUUUCAAGAAGUUUUGUUUGGCUGGCUACUUAGGUUUAAAUCUUGGUGGAGAUUAGGGGUUAAGAAAUAAAUUUGGACUUUGCACACCCCUUUAACUUUUAAAAAGAAAUGAAAAAAACUAAUUAAUUAAUCUUUAUUUUAUUUAUUAAAUAUCAUAAUCCUAUGCGUAUUUUAUUUGUUAUCUUUCUAUUUAAAAGACAGGAGGGCAGAUAAAACUGAAAUAAAUUUUUAGCCCUAUCUCCAUCUUUCAAGUUCCAUAGUUAGGUGACCAGGUAAAGAAAAUUAAUUGAAAGCUACUCCAUCAAAUUAAAAAAUUUUAUUUAUUUAAUUUGUGGAGAUGUAGAAAAUCAAACCCCAUGCCUUUUCGCGUGGAAAAGUGUCAACCUGGUCUAGCUAUGUUGCAAAAGUGAACAUAUUUUAAUACAUGACUAUCAUCCUUUAUCCUAAAUACUACUAUAACUAAUAACAUACAAUUGAAAUAAUUAAUGUUAACACUUGGCUAUAAAUAAAGGUUUUGUGCUUGAAUCUUCACGCAUGACCUUCAUUCCUUUAUUUACUUUGCUAACACAGAUUUUGAGGCAUUAAAACUAAAUAAUAAUUGACUUUGUGGGCCGAGGAUGCCAGCAACAAGGAGACCACAAUUAUCACUUGUUAAGUUACUCUAAUUGCCGUUGUCUUAUAUUCAUAGAAUAUUAGUAAUAAGAUUAUUGUAGAAUUUUUUUAUAUUAAAAUUAAGUCAAUUUGUUAUAACAAAUUUAGUUGAGUUUAAUCGUGUUACCACAUAAAUUGAAUAAUAAUAAAAUUCUCGACAAAUAUUUCAAUAUUUUUAUCCCAAGCGUUGGAGUGGCAUUUAUUUGUUAUACGAUCAAUUUUAGAAUUUAUAAAAUUAUUCGUUACUGAAUUGCACCAUAUGCUGCAUGACCUGAAACUUAAUAAACGGAACGUAGCGUUGGCACCGUUACUCAACAUACUGUUACGACUUUGUGACAUUAGAAUUAAAAUCUUUUGCACAUUUAAUUUGUUUACUUCCAAAUUAAUAUUUAACAAAAUAUUUUUUCACAUUAUCAAUGGACAAAACUCCAACGAAAAUAACUACACAAGAAAAAUGUAUGCUAGUAUUGUGUGCCAUAUCAUCUGUAAUUUUGUCAGGAUCGAUCAUUCUAAUUUUUAAGCAGAACUUUUUAUCAAUGGACAAACACCUCACACAGCUUGUCAGAGGCAUUAUUAUGAUGGAAAACUGUAAUGGUAUAUCUUGAAUUAUUGGUAGAAUAGUUCUUUGGAGCAAUAAAAACAGAUAAGACAGAUGAGAAAAUUGUCAAUACCCCACCGCAAAAGCAAAAGAAAAAAAGGAAAGGAGACAAAAGAGGAAGAAGAAAAAGAAAAAAGAACGAAGAAAAAAAUGGUGCCGCGCGGUAUAGGCAAGAAGAAAAAAUAAUAAUAAAAUAAUAAAAUAAUAGUGCACAACAGUCAUUUGAUUGCUAUAAAUAAAGGGGCAUUUCCCUCAUUUUAUUCAUCGAAUUCUUCAGUUCCUAAGCGAUUUAAGAGUCUAGUGAUUUGAGAGUUUGGGUAUAGUAUAGUUUUGAGUAGUGAGUUAAAAUAUUACAAUACUUAUAACUUAUUUUUACUAAUAAAAUAUUUUUCUUCUAUCUUCACCCGUGGACGUAGGGUCAAAGCCGAAUCACAUAAUUUUUAGUAUCCCUAUGUGAUUAUGUAUCUCAUUAUUUUUCAAUUUUACUUUAGUUACGUGUCUGCUACAUCCUUCAAUUUACUAACAAAAAUGGCCAAAAUUAUAUAAGUGACCCAAAUUUUUUUGCUAUUUCCAAGAAAUCUCCAAUCUGAAUGGGCCAGACCAGAGGGAGGCAAGUUAGAAAUACGUUUCCUUCAUAGACAAUAACAGCGAUGAGUCGAUGACAUCGAGCCACGUCGGUAUCAAUAUUGAAUUAAAGGUGCAAUUAUUCAGCCAAUGAGCCUUACACAUCAAGAUAAAAGUCAAGAAAAUGAAUAUUUAUCCUAAUUAAAACACUUUCUGGCUGCAUUUAGUUGUUUCCAUUUGAAGUUAAAAGCAACGUUUCUUUCGUUUUGUGGGCAACUCGACUCAGUUAGCUGGCUUCUAGUGCUAGUAAGUGAAAAUAGAAGGCUAAUGAUUUAUUUGUUAUCUUUUGAUAAAAUUAUUAAAGAUAUAAUAGAUUUUUCAUGAUACAAAUAAAAAAUCACAUCAACAUAGCUUCCAAAGUACAACAGCUAAUGUUUACCAAACACUUUGUUGUAGCUUUUAAGCUACAGCUGCCCAACUUUAAUUUCAAAUGCACCCUUAAUAGGUUGAUUGAAUUUGUGGGAUAUAGAUUCCACAUAUCGUAUGACCUAGUAACUAUACAAGUGGUUCGUGAUCAAGACACAACAUUUGCUUCCGGCCCGGUGACCCAGCAAUCGCUGCAUUGGUCGCCACCUAUGGUGCCAACGAUAUUGCAUGGUCCAAUUGUGGCCUUGAAUGGAAAAAGUUGAGCAAAUUAUUUGUGGACACGAUGAUAAGUAACGCAAGCCUUGAUGCUAGUUAUGGUCCAAGAAAACAAGAGAUAUGCAUAACAACAAAAAGGAAAAAAAAAAAAAAAAAAAAAAAGGCAUUUGCAAGCCCAUUGAUAUUGGUGAAUUGUCGAUUUCAACUUUGGCAUGUGUAAUCCAGAGCCUGCGCGCUGUGGUGUGGCGCUGGCACGCUUGCAUUGACGAGGGGACAAGUCUUGGGGCUGAGCUAACAUUUAAGCUCGCAGAACUCAUGGUGCUAAUGGGAACACCAAAUAUUUUUUGACAUAUUUUGGUGCUUUCAUGGUUUAAUUCAAGGUAUAGAAAGGAGUGUUGAGAAUGUCAAAUAAAACGGUAUUGAAUGGAAGUUGUUAAAGACACGAUCCGCACCGAACGACAACAGCACGGUUGCUAAAAAUCCUUCCGUAAUAGGCAUAUCUAAUUUUUGAAAAAGUGUAACCUCUACAUUUAUAAAUAUACUCAAUGUAUAAUGUUUUACUUAAGAAAUGAAAAACUUGUUUGUUCAAGGAGAAUAAAGAAAAAUUUUCUAUGAUUUUUCUAUGGUUUGAACAAAGAAGGUUUUAACGAGUAUUAUAGACCUCGAUUGAAUGUUCGAAUGUAUAAUAAAAGAGAAACUGUCACAUAAAUGACAAAGAUACUUGAAAAAAAAAAAAAAGGGCAGCAAUAGAGAAUUAGAUCCGACUGUACAAAUAACUAGUUAAUUCAUCGAUACAUCAUUUUCUUGCUAGAAAAUGACAAUUAUGACAGCAAGCCACGAUAGUGUCAAUAUUGAAAUUGAUUUGCAAUUAUUCAGCCUAUGAGCCUUACACGUCAAGAUAAAAGUCAAGAAAAUGAAAGUUAAUAUCAAUUAAAACACUUCCAUUUCUAUGUGAAGUUAAAAAACAACGUUUCUUUUGUUUUGUGGGGGAUUCAACUGAGCACGCGCCACUAGCUAGCUGGCUUCUAGUUCUAGCAUAUGAAAACAGAAUUCUAAAGAUUUCACUUUCACCUUUUUUCUUUUUUUGGGGUUUUGAAUCAAAGUCAAGGUCGCACUGAAUAAUAUGUAAAAUUUGAAAAAGAAGAAUUAAUAGAGAACAAAGUUUUGUUUUAAAUUCACAUGGUGUGCAUACAAUUCAACAAACACUUCCUAUAAUAAAUCUGGAGUUGUAUCCCACGUUGAACAAUAAAGGAAAGUCACCUAAAUAUACAUGUAGGAUAAGUUACUUUAUUUAGUAAGUUUGUAUUUUCUUCUUUCUUCUAGUUUACAUAUAAAUUUGAUUAGAUAACUUAACACAUAUUUUAAUACUUGAUCAGAAGCCCGACGUACAGGUGGAUCUAGAAACUUGAUUUCUAAGAGUAAUACUAUAAUAAAAAAAUAAUGAUUCAUAGAACCAAUAUCAAAAUUUGUUUACAAGAUUGCCCCCACUCAAAGGUAAUUUUCAUAGAAAUUAAUAGGAAAUUUAAUUGUUAGUGGGGUCAAAUUGCCCCCACACUCUGAAUGUAGAUCCACGCCCGACCCUGAGUCAAGUAUAUUUUGCCACAUAUACUCUGAAUGUCGGCAGGAAAAAUCUUCCACUUUAGUUAAAAAUUUUCACUUAAAAAAUAUUUAUGUUAAUAAAGUUCGUAAAGGAAAUGAGUUUAAUUAAUGAAUAUUAUAGGAGAAAUUAAAGGAAAUGAGUUUAAUUAAAGAAUAUUAUAGGAGAAAUUCUAUUGUUCGGCUUUUAAUAAAUUAAUUAAUAGGUUUAAAAGAUUAAUAUACAUCAAAAUAUUAUUAGUUGGUGGGGGUUCCACAUCGGACUAAUACGUGUCACCUUACUUGUGAGAUUAAGACAAUCGACUUAGACUAUUUAAAUAUGUUUGAAGCUUAGAUGGCACCGCUUCAAUUUGCAUUACUGAAUGUCAUUCUUUAUCCUAAUUACUACCGUAAUUGAUAACAUGCAAUUGAAGUAACUAAUAUUAGCACUUGGCUAUAAAUGAACUAAAGGCCGUGCAAUUGAAUCUUUACUUGAUCACUUCACUCCUUUAUUUUGCUAACACAGAUUUUGAGAUAUUAAAACGAAAUAAUAAUUGAAUCUGGCUUUGUGGGUCGAUGAUGCUAGCAAAAACGAGACCACAAUUAUCACUUGUUUAUUUGCUGUAUUUGACGUUGUUUCAUAUUGGUAGUAAUAGGGUCAGUUUUUAAUCUUUUUAUAUUAAAGUUAAGUCAAUUUGUUAUCAAAAAAAAAAAUUGGUUGAGUUUAAUUAUAUUGCUAUGUACAUUAAAUAAUUAUAAUAUUCUUGAGGGAAAAAGACACCUAGAACCUCAAGGUUUGGGGAAAUGGUCACAAAGACUCCUAAGUUUUAAAAAAGGAACACUAAGAUCUUUUUUUACCCAUAAUACCCUUUGACUAGAGUAAUUAAAAAAUUGACUUUAAAGGUUUUUAAAUAAUUCUAAUUUAAUAUAAAUCAUAUAAUCUAUCUAGUAAACUAAUAAUAUUAAAUUAUUUUUUAUAUUUAAAAUAAUGUUAAAUUUUAAAUUAUUAUAUUUAUAAAAUUAUAAAGAUUUUAAAUAAAUAUUUGGAUUGAAUAUAUUUUACAAUUAAAAGUCUUCCUAUUAAUAAUAUUAAAAUUUAAUUUUACAAAAUAUAUAUUCAAAAUAUUUUUAAUUUUAAUUUAUUUAUUUUAAUAUUAUGUUUCUACCUAUUAUUAAAAAUUACUUUAAUAUAAUAAAAUAGGUCUAAUAGAUUGAAAAAUAUGAAAAUAUUUUUAAAAUUUUAAAUUAUUUUGAAAUGUAUAUAUUAUUACAUUUAUUUCAAUGUCAUAUUUUCAUUUAUUAUAAAAUUUUGGGGUUAUUUUUUUGGGAAUUUAUAGAGUCAAAGAGCAUUAUAAUUUAAUCCAUGCACAAUAUCUAUAAUUAUAUCGGUUGUCGGCUGAUUUCGUGGAGGGGGCGGCAGUUCAAAAUUUUUACGUGCAUGUUGGAUGGACGUCUCUAUUAAAGGAGAGCCACCACUUGCAUGGUAAUUUUUUUAAAUAAAUAUAUACAUUUCAAAACAUUAUUUUCUUGUUGUAUAGUUAACAUGUCACCUUAGAUGUAUUUUAGAGCUUCUCCUAUUAAAGAUAAUCUCAUGCAGUGUUACAGAGUAUGGUAAUAUGGUAUAGAUGAGAGCAUCUGAUUAAAUGAAGCAGCUGGUAAUGCUUACGUGUGUGAGUUAGUUAUCCAGCUCAGCAGCAAAGCAAACGAAAUGAAUUGCAUGCAUAUUAGAUCCAACAAACUGGUAAACUCUAGAUUCUUCUUUCAUUUAGUAUAAAUACCAAGUUGUUAUCAUUUGCUAAAUAUAUAAUAAGAUGAUCAUUUUCAGAUCUUUCCUUUAUAAUUUUCUAUAACUUUCUCGUUAGUUUCUCUUGAACCAAACACUUUGUACGAACUCUUUCGUGCAGUGAUACUUCUCGUGAUCUAAUCAUUAGUAGAAUCUAUAAUUUCGCUACUGUAAUAAAAUCUGUCACUACCCUAUAUGAAUGUAGAUAUUUGACGCGAUUUGUAAUUGCUUCCGACAGGAAAACAGCAAUAGUUUUAUUGAAAUUUGUGGUAUAGAUUCCACGAAUCUUAUGACAGAAUACUGACCACUCCAACCCUAUCCGCAUUUACACGAUUAAUACACAAGCUUAGAUGUGACAAUGCAUUUGUCACUCAUUCAAAUUCAUCCUGAAACACUAUACACUAAAUAAUCGAAUAUGGCUUCGUGGGUCGAUGAUGCUAGCAGCAACGAGACUGCAAUUAUCACUUGUUUUGUUGCUGUACUUGUCGUGGUCUAUUUCGCAUGGAAUGUAAACAAAUCAAGUAAAGCAAAUGCUAAAUUGCCACCAGGACCUCGGGGCUUGCCAGUAGUCCGAUACCUCCCAUUUCUUGGAACUACUGACUUACACAAGACAUUCACGGAGUUAUCUGGAGUUUAUGGUCCGAUCUUCAAGAUUUGGCUUGGGAAUAAAUUGUGUGUAGUGGUGACCUCGCCUACCCUAGUUAAACAAGUGGUCCGUGAUCAAGAUAUAACAUUCUCAAACCGCGACCCACCGAUCGCUGGAACUGUGACCACCUACGGUGGCAAUGAUAUUGCACUUUCCAAUUACGGUCCCGAAUGGAAAAAGUUGCGAAAAUUAUUUGUGAGCAAGAUGAUGAGUAAUGAGACCCUUGAUGCUUGUUAUGCUCUAAGAAAACAAGAGGUUAAAAAUACUAUCAGGGAUUUGUAUAACAACAAUAAGGAUAAUAUUGGCAAUGGCAAUGGCAAGCCCAUUGACGUUGGUGAAUUGUCGAUUUCAACUUUGGUACGUGUUAUGCAGAACAUGCUGUGGGGUCAAGCAUUGGAAACAAGAGAGAAAGAGAUUACUAAUCUCGGGGCUAAUCUUGCAGAACUCAUGGUGCUACUGGGAACACCAAAUAUUUCGGAUAUUUUUCCAGUGCUUUCAUGGCUUGACAUGCAAGGUAUAGAGAGAAGAGCUAAGAAGAUUUCUCUAUGGUUUGAAAAUAUUAUCAAUUCUGGUGUUGAACAGUAUAGAAACAAGUUCUCUGUUGUUAAAGGUGAAGAAGCUGCAGCACGAAAAAAUAUUGAACGAUCAAGAAAUAAGGACUUCUUGCAGUUGCUGUUGGAGCUUCAGGAAAAUGAAGAUAGUGCUUCAUCUAUUAGCAUGAACCAACUAAAGGCCGUGCUCGUGGUAUGUUAAGCAACUAGACACAAAAAGUUGUAAAAGCACAGCGAUAUAUUUGCGCGAGGCCCCGAGUGAUGUUUUGCCUCGAGAACUCUCAAUUUUAUCUUACGGUAAAAAAUGUUUUUCAACUUUUUUUUUUAAUUAGAAUUUUAUUGCAAUUUAUUUAACAGGACAUAAUUGUGGCCGGAACCGACACCACAACUACGAUGGUGGAAUGGACAAUGGCAGAGUUGAUGCAACAUCCACAAGUAAUGAAGAAAGUUCAAGAAGAAUUCGCUCAAGCUGUGGGCAUGGACAGUUGUGUUGAAGAAUAUCACUUGCCUAAAUUAAAGUAUUUAGAUGCUGUGGUGAAAGAAACAUUUCGUUUGCAUCCUGCGUUGCCCUUAUUGGUACCUCGCACGGCAAGCAAGAAUAGCAACAUUGGUGGCUAUACCAUUCCCAACGACACUAAUCUUAUGUUGAAUGUUUGGGCUAUCCACAGGGACCCUCAACUUUGGGAUAAUCCCUUAGAAUUUCGACCUGAGAGGUUCUUGAAUGAUGGUAUCAUAAGCAAUUUCAAUUACUCGGGUAACAAUUUUCAGUACUUGCCAUUUGGUUCUGGUAGAAGGAUGUGCGCUGGGAUUGCUCUAGCUGAGAGGAUGUUGAUGCUUGUUCUGGCUUCGUUGUUGCACUUGUUUGAGUGGAAAUUGCCCUCGGGCACAAAGCUAGACUUAUCUGAAAAGUAUGGGAUUGUCAUGCGGAAAAAAGAGCCUCUAAUUGCUAUUCCAACACCAAGGCUACCAAAUUCAGAUCUCUACCAGUAAGAUCAAAAUGGUUUUGAUAAUAUUAUUUCCCAUUGUAUUGGAUUUGAAGUUCAAUCAUAAUAAAAUAUUUUAAUAAAAUGUCCUCGGUUGCUAAUUUUUCAAUAGUAUAAUCUGCACCUGUCUUUUAUAGCAAUUUGGUCUAAUUUAUUUUUGAAUUAAAAUCCAUAAAUAUUUAUAUUUUUUUAAUUAUAUUAGGAAUUAUGUGGGGUGUAUGGUCUGAUCUUCGAGCUAUGCCUUGAAAACAAAUUAUGCAUAGUCGUGCACACGCUUUCCCUAAUUAAGUUUGUGGUUCGUGCUCAAGGCACAGCAUUCACCCCCCGCGACCCAACAAUCGCUACAUUGUUCCCCACCUAAAGUGCCAACAUAUUGCAUAAGUAACGCAAAAUAUGGUCCCCAAUGGAAAACGUUGCGCAAAUUAUUUCUGGGCAAGAUGAUAAGUAACGCAAGCCUUGAUGCUUGUUAUGGUCUAAGAAAACAAGAGGUUAAAAAUACUAUCAGAGACAUAUAUAAAACAACAACAGAAAAAAUUGGCAUUAUCAUCGAUAAUGGUGAGUUGUGGAUUUCAACUUUGGUAUGUUUAAUUCAGAACCCGCAGUGGGGUGGCGCUAGCACGCCUGCGUUAGGAGACGAGGGGACCAAUCUUGGGGCCGAGCUAAAAUAUAGGCUUGUAGAGCUCAUGCUGCUAAUGGUAAUGGGAACACCUACUAUUUCGGAUACUUUUCCGAUGCUGGUUUAAUUCAUGGUUUAGAAAGGAGAACAAAGAAGAUUUUUCGAUGCUUUGAAAAUAUUAUAAUUUUUAUAAAAUCUCUUAUUGAUAACUAAACAACUAAAAUUUCUGUAAAGUUUUUGUGGACUUUUGAUCUCCUAUGGUGCCAAUAUUUUCGACUAAUUUUUUCCUUCAAUUAAUGAUGUUGGUUGAGAAAGACUAUUUUUCUUGCAAUAAUAUAGUAUUCGUGGUCCUAUUAGGGUUCCGAAUGGAGAAAGUUGCACUAAGUUUUUUGAGUACCAAAUGAUGAGUAAUGUACGUAAGCCUUGAUGGUAGUUAUGGUCUAAGAAAACAAGAGGUUAAAAAUACUAUCUGGGAUUUGUACAACAAUAACAAAAUUGGCAAGCCCAUUGACAUUGGUGAAUUGUCAGUUUCAACCUUGGUAAGUGUUUUCAGAACAUGCUGUGGGGUGAAGCGCUUGGAAUAAGAAAGAAACGGAUGACGAAUAUUGGGGCUGAGCUUAGAUUUAAACUUGCAGAACUCAUGGUGCUGUCAGGAACACCGAAUAUUUCGGAUAUCUUUCCAGUGCUUUCAUGGUUUGAUAUACAAGGUUUUGAGAGAAUAGCAAAGAAGAUUUCUCUAUGGUUUUAAAAUAUUAUCAAUUCUACUGUUGAACGCUAUAGAAACAAGGUCUCAGUUGUUAAAAGUGAAGAAGAAGACGCAGCAGCAGCAGCAGCAGGGAACAACAUUGAAGGAAGGAAUAAGGACCUGGUGCAGUUACUCUUGGAGCUUCAAGGUAAAGAAGAAAAUGCUUCAUCAAUUAACAUGACGCAAUUUAAGAGCUUGCUCGUGGUAUGUUUGCGCAACUAGCCACAGACAGUUACAGAAACUGAGUUUGGCAGAUUACGACCGUUUCUGGUGAUUAUAUAACUAUUUGUGGCUGUUUUUUGUUUUUUUUUUCUUUUAAUUGGAAUUUUAUUGUAAAUUUCUUAACAGGAUAUAAUUUAGGGUGGAACCAACACCACAACUAUAAUGGUGGAAUGGACAAUGGCAUAAUUGAUACAGCAUCCACAAGUAAUGGAGAAUGUAAAGGUAGAACUAAGUCGGGCCGUGGCCAUUGACAGCCAUGUUGAAGAAUUUCACCUACCUAAGUUAAAAUAUUUAGAUGUUGUGGUGAAAGAAACAUUCCGCACGAUAAUAUAAUAUAUGAAUCAUAUAUCCUCUAUUGGUUUUUUGCUCCUUUUUUUUUCAAUAGCUUAAUCUAUCAUUAAAAUCUUCUGAAAUUCUAAAUUAAUAUACAUUCAACCUAGAGUUCAACCCAAAGUUUUAUUGAGCAUUAAAAAAAAAAAUUCUACGACUAAAAAUUUUACAGAGUAUAAAUUAAAAAUUAUGCGCCUACUAACAGACAAAAAACAAUUGAUACACAUUCACCAAUCAAAGGCAAACAAGAGAUUAUUAACAAUAACUUAAUAAUAAAAUUAUAAGGAAUCAAAUAGAAAUGGUACCUAGAAACACAUCACGCCAUUUAAUCAAUCACUUACCCAUAAAAUCCAAACUUAUAAACUAUUAAGGGGGGGAAAUGGAUACCUUUGGGUUUCAUUAAAUCAAAAUUACAACACCAUUAAAUACUCAAAAAUGAAAAAAAAAAAAUCAUACCCAAUAAAAGAGAAAAAAAUAACCCACAAAAAAAAUCAUCAAGAAAAUAAAUUUGAGACUAAGAGAAGAUAUUAAUUAACGCCUGGGUUGCAUUGGAACCACGGCUUUGGCUUCCAUUUUUCAAUUCUUGGUCACAAGUGAUUUCUUGUUUGUUUGCAAUGAUGACGGUUGAUUAAUGAAGCUCUAUUAACAAUGAAUGAAUCAAAAAACUUGAGCCUUGAAAAGACUAACGGUCAUAUUUUUCAACUCCGAAUUAGUGGCGUUUGAUGAGUCCUUGCCAAAACAAUCACUCGGCAGAUAACGAUCAUUUUUCAACCAGCAAAACUCAUUCAUUGUUUUUCACCUUAGUGAAGAUUUAAAAAUUGUUUCAAAAUAGGAUUCUUAAAAAAAUAAUAAUAAAAUGAUAUUUAACUUAAUUCUAACUUAGGAAAACAAAAUAUCUACACUCCCAAAGUUUGGAGAAAUGGUCAUUAAUAUCCCCAACUUUCCAAAAAGAGACACCAAGAACCCUUUUAACCAUAAUACUAUUUACUUCUAUUAUCCCAAAAAACAAUUGACUCUAAUAUUUUAUAAUAAAUAAAAAUAUAACAUUAAAAUAAAUGUAAUAGUAUAUACAUUUUAAAAUAGUUUCAAUAUUUAAAAAGCAUUUUAAUAUUUUUAAAUUCUAUUUUAUAUAUAUUGAUUAUUUUAAAGUAAAUUUUAUAAUAAAUAGAAUCAUAAUAUUAAAAUAAAUGCAUUAAAAUUUAAAUUAUUUUGAAUAUUAUGUAAAAUAAUAAUUUUAACAUUAUUAGUAUAUGAGAAUUUUUUUAAUUGUAGAAUGCAUUUAAUGCAAAUAUUUAUUUAAAAUCUCUACAAUAAAUAAAAAUAUACUAUUAAAACAAAACUCUACAAUACAUACAUACAUACAUAUACAUUGGCCUGGUAUUUUUAUUUUUCAUUUUUAAACUUAUUAAAUCCUCUAACUAUCAUUUGAUUUUUUUUUUUUUUCAAUGAUCAAGAGGUCAUUGCCGGAUAAAUGAUUAAAAUCAACUAGUUCUACAAGAAUAUCUCUUUUUAAAGGAAGAUGAUUCUCUCUCUCGAAAUUUUUUUAUCUCGUGCUACAAACUAAAAACUUAUGCCACUUCAUUAACCACAAAGAUCUUUGAGGAAAUGAUGCUUCCCUCCCCCCCCCCCCCCCCCCCCCUCCCACAAAAAAAAAAAAGAGUCCUUCCAUAUUGUGUGAAGGCUAAUAUAUCGAUGAAUCUAGAUUUCUUUAAAUUUUUUGUUUUACUCAAUUCGAGAUAAUAAUUCAAUCCAUGCAAAUAUCUAUCAUUGUAUGAGCUGACCAGUUAAUAGGUUGAUUGAAUAUAUGUGGUAAAGAUUCCACGUAUCUCAUGACAGAAUGCUGACCACUGGAACCCUAUCUACUUUUACGCGAUUAAUUCACGAGCUUAGGCACAACAAUUGCAAUACAAAUUAUCCCCUCAUCGUAUAUUUCGUUAAAAUUCAUUCUGAAGCAGUAAAACUAAACAAUCGAAUAUGGCUUUGCGGGUCGAUGAUGCCAGCAGCAAUGAGAGUGCAAUUAUCACUUGUUUAGUUUCUGUGCUUGCCGUGGCUUAUUUCGCAUGGAAUGUGAAAAAAUCAAGGAAAGCAAAUGCUAAACUGCCACCAGGAACUCGCGGCUUGCCUGUAGUCGGAUACCUCCCAUUUCUCGGGACUACUGACUUGCACAAGAAAUUCACGGAAUUUAUUUUACUAUUAUAUUUAUAUUCAAAAUAAUUUUAAUUAGCUUUUAAAAUGAAUGAUUUUAGGAAAUUAUAAAUAAAGGUAACUAAGAAUUCUCUUAAUGCAAUAUAUUAUUAAUUAGUUUAAAAAUACAAAUUUAUUAAUUAGAGAAAUUAUUAGUGAAUUUAAAUUAAUGAUCUUAAUGAUUUGUUUGUACGAUUGCCCCCAAUCAAAGGUAAUUUUCCUAAAAAUUAUUAGGAAAUUAGAGAAAUUUAAUUUUUUUUAGUGGGUUCAAUUGCCCACACACCCCGACUGAAGCAUUUUUUACAAUAUGUACUCCGUUUGUCGGCAGGAAAAUAAAGGUCUUGACACAUGAUCACUUCAUUCCUUUAUUUACUUUGCGAACGCAGAUUUUGAGGUAUUAAAACAAAUAAUAAUUGAAUAUGACUUUGUGGGUCGACGACGCCAGCAACGAGGAGACCGCCAAUUAUCACAUUUUAAGUUUGCUGUAAUUGCCAUUGUUUUAUAUUAGUAGAAUAUUAGUGAUAAGAUAAUUGUAGAGUUUUCAUUUUUUUAAUAUUAAAAUCAAGUCAAUUUAUUAUAAUAAAUUUAGUUGAAUUUAAUCGUAUUACCACAUAAAUUGAAUAAUAAUAGAAUUCUCCACAAAUAUUUCAAUAUUUUAAUCUCAAGCAUUGGAGUGGCAUUUAUUUGUUAUGCGGUCGAUUUUAGAAUUUUUAAAAUUAUUCGUUACUGAAUUGCACCAUAUGCUGCAUCACCUGGAACUUACUAAACGGAACGUAGCGUUGGCACCGUUACCAACAUUCACUGUUACGACUUUGUGACAUUAGAAUUAAAAUCUUUUCCACAUCUAAUUUGUUUACUUCCAAAUUAAUAUUUAACAAAAUAUUUUUUCACAUUAUCAAUGGACAAAACUCCAACGAAAAUAACUAUACAAGAAAAAUGUAUGCUAGAAUUGUAUGCCAUAUCAUCUGUAAUUUUGUCAGGAUCGAUCAUUCUAAUUUUGAAGCAGAACUUUUUAUCAAUGGACAAACACCUCACACAGCUUGUCAGAGGCAUUAUUAUGAUGUAAGAUUGUAAUGGUAUAUCUUGAAUUAUUGGUAGAAUAGUGAAUAACUAUUUGGAGCAAUAAAAACAAAUAAGACAGAUGAGAAAAUGGCUAAAAUUAUAUAAGUGACCCAAAUUGUUUUGCUAUUUCCAAGAAAUCCCCAAUCUGAAUGGACCAGCCAGAGGGAGGCAAGUUAGAAAUAUGUUUCCUUCAUAGACAAUAACAACGAUGAGUCGAUGACAUCAAGCCACGUCGGUAUCAAUAUUGAAAUAAAGGUGCAAUUAUUCAGCCAAUGAGCCUUACACAUCGAGAUAAAAGUCAAGAAAAUGAAAAUUUAUCCCAAUUAAAACACUUUCUGGCUGCAUUUAGCUGUUUCCAUUUGAAGUUAAAAACAACGUUUCUUUCGUUUUGUGGGCGACUCGACUGAGCUAGCUGGCUUCUAGUGCUGGUAAGUGAAAAUAGAAGGCUAAUGAUUUCACUUUCACAUUUUUCUUUUCCUUUUUUGGGAAUCAAAGUCAAGGUCAAGAAGAAUAAAUGGAGAAUUCGGAAAAAUGGGUGCAUAAUGUGAUCCAUUCAUGAAGAAGAGUACGUGAGCGUCGGGCAACAGUAUUUUUACCUAUUAAGCUCCAGUUUAAUUUUGUUGUAGGAAAACAAAAUUUUGUUUUCAAUUCACAUCGUGUGCAUCCAAUUCAACAAACACUUUGUAAUAAUUAAUGUUGAGUUGUAUCCUACGUUAAGGAGAGUUACUUAAAUUUAUAAAUAGGAUAAAUUACUCUAUUUAAUAAGUUAAUGUUUUCUUCUUUCUUCUAGAUUACAUAUAAAUUUAGUCAGAUAACCUAACACAUAUUUUAAUACUCGAUCAGAAGCCCUAAGCAGUGGUGGAUCCAAUAAAUUGAUUUAUAUGGUGUAAUAAUGUAAUAAAAAAAUGGUGAUUCAUAAAAUUGACCCAAUAUCAAAAUUUGUUUGCAAGAUUACUCCCCACUCAAAGGUAAUUUUCCUAAAAAUUAAUAGGAAAUUUAAUUGUCAUUGGGAUCAAAUUGCCCCCACACUCUUGAAUGUAGAUCCUCCCCUGGCCUUGAGUCAAGUAUUUUUUCCAAUAUAUACUCCGAAUGUCGGCAGGAACAACCUUCCACUUUAAUUUAAAAUUUUUACUUGAAAAAUUAAUUAAUGUUAAUAAAGUUCGUAAGAGAAAUGAGUUUAAUAAAAGAAAAUUAUAGGAGAAAUUCUAAUGUUUGUCUUUUAAUAAAUUAGUUUAUAAGUUUAAAAAGUUAACAUAUAUCAAAAUAUUAUUGAUUGGUGGUGGUUUCACGUCAGAUUAAGACGUGACACUUUACUUGUGAGACUGAGACAAUCAGCUUAGACUACUUCAAUAGGUUUGAAGCGUAGGCGGCACCCAUUCAAUUUGCACCAAUGUCUAUCAUUCUUUGUCCUAAUUACUACGAUAAUUAAUAACAUGCAAUUGAAAUUAUUAAUGUUAGUACUUGCCUAUAAAUAAAGGUAUUGUACUUGAAUCUUCAUAGAUGAUCACUUCAUUCCUUUAUUUACUUUGGUAACACAGAUUUUGAGAGACAUUAAAACUAAAGAAUAAUUGAAUAUGGCUUUGUGGGUUGAUGAUGCCAGCUCCAACGUGAGUGCAAUUAUCGCAUGUUUAAUUGCUCUAUUAGCCGUGGUCUAUUUCGUGUGGACAAGGAAAACAAAUGCUAAACUUCCACCAGGACCUCGCGGCUUGCCUGUAAUCGGAUACCUCCCUUUUCUCGGAACUACUGACUUGCACAAGACAUUCACGGAAUUAGCUGGUGUGUAUGGUCCAAUCUUCAAGCUCUGGCUUGGCAACAAAUUGUGUGUAGUGGUGAGCUCGCCUUCCCUAGUUAAACAAGUGGUUCGUGAUCAAGAUAUAACAUUCGCUAACCGCGACCCACCGAUCGCUGGACUCGUGGCCUCCUUUGGUGGCAAUGAUAUUUUAUUUUCCAAUUAUGGUCCUGAAUGGAGAAAGUUGCGCAAAUUAUUUGUGGGCAAGUUGAUGAGUAACGCAAGUCUUGACGCUUGUUAUGCUCUAAGAAAACAAGAGGUUAAAAAUAUAAUCAGGGAUUUGUAUAAUAACAACAAAACUGGCAAGCCCAUAGAUGUUGGUGAGUUGUCGAUCUCAACUUUUGUAUGUGUUAUACAGAACAUGCUAUGGGGUGAAGCUCUUGAAUUAAGAGAGAAAGGGAUCAGUAACCUUGGGGCUGAGCUAAAGUUUAAGCUAGCAGAACUCGUGGUGCUAAUGGGAACACCGAAUAUUUCGGAUAUCAUUCCGUGCUUUCAUGGCUUGAUAUACAAGGUAUAGAGAAGAGAACAAAGAAGAUUUCUCUAUGGUUUGCACAAGCACAGCUGUAUUAGUUAUGUGUUUUAACUUUAUUUUAAUUAGACUUUUAUUGUUAUCGUUUUAACAGGACAUAAUUUCUGGUGGAAACGACACAACAACUACAACGGUGGAAUGGACAAUGACAGAGUUGAUGCACAAUCCACGAGUAAUGAAGAAGGUUCAAGAGGAAUUAGCUCAAGUUGUGGCCAUGGACAGCUGUGUUGAAGAAUUUCACUUGCCCAAAUUAAAGUACUUAGAUGCUGUGGUGAAAGAAACAUUUCGGCUGCAUUCUGUGCCCUAUUUAGUACCACGUAGGGCAAGCCAAAGUAGCAGCAUUGGUGGCUAUACUGUUCCUAAAGAUACAACGAUUAUAUUGAAUGUUUGGGCAAUCCACAGAGAUCCUCAAAUUUGGGAUAACCCCUUAGAAUUUGGACCAGAGAAGUUUUUGAAUGAUGGUAUUGCGAGCAAAUUUGAUUACUCGGGUAACAAUUUUCAGUACUUGCCGUUUGGUUCUGGCAGAAGGAUGUGUGCAGGGAUUGCUCUGGCAGAGAGGAUGCUGAUGUUUGUUCUGGCUUCACUGCUGCACUCAUUUGAUUGGAAAUUACAGGCAGGCACAAAGCUAGACUUAUCUGAAAAGUUUGGGAUUUUGAUUAAGAAAAAGGAGCCUUAGGUUGCUAUUCCAACACCAAGACUACCCAAUUCAGAGCUCUACCAAUAAGACAAAUGGUUGUGAUGGUAUUGUAUCCCCACUGUAUUGGAAGAUUUGUAUGUUAUUUCAAGUUCAAUCAUAAUAAGCAUAUUAAUAAAUGUCUUCAGGUUGUUAUUUUUUCGCUGGCCCAAUCGAUCAUCAUACUCGUGUUUUCGAGCUAUUUAUUUAUUUUUGAAUUGCAAUCUGAAAUAUAUGUACUUUAAAUUUCUUACAAGAUUUUAAAUUUAUAUACAUCUACAACCCAAAAUCUCCCAAAAAAUCUAAAAUUCAAAAAUUUACAAAGCAUAGACCAAAAUUUUUAUACCAACUAAUUUUUUGAUCAAUUCUACACUUUCUAAAAGGAGAGACGUUUACUCCAAUAUUUGGACUACAAUUAUAUCUAAGCUUAGGUGCCAAAUAAUAAAUUUAUAAGUAAAUUGGAUUUUGAACAUGGAGAGAGUUCUAAAACAACUUGCUUAAAGCAAAUGAACUGUCCAAUUAAUUCAAUUUUUCAAAAACAAAUCUUUAAACAUUCAACGGACAUUUUCACAAGCUUCUGGAAGGCACAAUCUAAAACCCAACAAAGAAUUCAAAAAAUCUUUGAACUUCUCACAAGCUUCUUGGAGAGAUGCGACGGCGCUGCUUUGGUAACUCAGAAGGCUCAGAGAUCUUUGAGGAAAUCAUGGUUCGCUUUCUUUUUUAUCUUUCCUCCUAAUCCUUGCAAAUUGUGUGAAGGCCAAUAAAUCCAUGAAUCUAAAUCUCUGUAAAUUUCUUUUUUCCCAAAUUUAGAUAAUUAUUUACUCCAUGCACAAUAUAUAUCACUGUAUCAGCUGUUCUUUUUUUUUUUUUUUGGAUGGGGCGGCAGUUUAGAAGAGCUGGAGGGUGUUCUUGACAGAGCUCAAAUUUUUUGUGUGCUCGUUGGGUGGAUAUAUCAAUCAAAGAUAUCCCAUACAGUGACAUCUGUCGUGAUCAAAUUAUUAGUUGAUCAAUGAUUUCGACAUCUGUUUACUGUAAUAAAAUUUGUCACUAUACAUUGAUGAAAGUGUUUGAUGUGAUUUUCUAACUGCUACCGACGGGAAACAGUUAAUAGGUUGAUUGAAUUUGUGGGAUAUAGAUUCCACAUAUCGCAUGACAGGAUCCUGACCACUCGAAUCUUAUCUACAUUUACACGAUUAAUACACCAGCUUAGCUGUGACAGUGCCAUUACAAAUUAUCCUCUCAUCAUUUGUCUUGUUAAAAUUCAUUCUGAAACACUGAGACUAAAUAUACGAAAAUGGCUUUGUGGGUCGAUGAUGCGAGCCGGAAAGAGACUGUAAUUAUCACUUGUUUAGUUGCUGUACUCGCCGUGGUCUAUUUCGCAUGGAAUGUGAACAAAUCAAGUAAAGCAAAUGCUAAACUGCCGCCGGGACCUCGUGGUUUGCCUGUAGUCGGAUACCUCGCAUUUCUCGGAACUACUGACUUGCACAAGACAUUCACCGAUUUAUCUGGAGUCUAUGGUCCGAUCUUCAAGCUCUGCUUUGGAAACAAACUGUGUGUAGUGGUGAGCUCGCCUUCCCUAGUUAAACAAGUGGUCCAUGAUCAAGAUCUAACAUUCUCUAACCGCAGCCCAUCGAUCGCUGGACUUGUUACCACCUAUGGUGGCAAUGAUAUUGCACUUUCCAAUUAUGGUCCAGAAUGGAGAAAGUUGCGCAAAUUAUUUGUGAGCAAGUUGAUGAGUAACUCAAGCCUUGACGCUUGUUAUGCUCUAAGAAAACAAGAGGUUAAAAAUACUAUCAGGGAUUUGUAUAACAGCGACAGGGACAAUAUUGGCAAUGGCAGUGGCAAGCCCAUUGACAUUGGUGAAUUGUCGAAUUCAACUUUGGUAUGUGUUAUGAAGAACAUGCUGUGGGGUGAAGCGCUUGAAUUAAGAGAGAAAGGGAUUACUAAUCUUGGAGCUGAGCUAAAAUUUAAGUUUGCAGAAUUCAUGGUGCUACUUGGAACACCGAAUAUUUCGGAUAUCUUUCCAGUGCUUUCAUGGCUUGAUAUACAAGGUAUAGAAAGAAGAGCAAAGAAGAUUUCUCUCUGGCUUGAAGAUGUCAUAAAUUCUACUGUUGAACAGUAUAGAAACAAGGACUUUGUUAUUGAAGGUGAAGAAAGAGCAGGGAACAAUAUUGAAGGAUCAAGGAACAAGGACUUCUUGCAGUUAUUAUUGGAGCUUCAAGACAAUGAAGACAGUGCUAACUCAAUUAGCAUGAACCAAUUUAAGGCCUUGCUCGUGGUAUGAUAAACAACUAGCCACAAACAGUUAUACAAGCAAAGCUGUAUAUUUGCAUGAGUGAUGUUUUGCCUCCAGAAUUCUCAAUUUUUAUCUUAUACAAUGAAAUGUUUUUCAGUUCUUUUUUUUUAAUUGGAAUUUAAUUGUAAUCUUUUGAACAGGAUAUAAUUACGGGUGGAACCGACACCACAACUACGAUGGUGGAAUGGACUAUGGCAGAGUUGAUGCAGCAUCCACUAGUAACGAAAAAAGUUCAUGAAGAAUUAGCUCAAGUUGUGGGUAUGGACAGUUGUGUUGAAGAAUUUCACUUGCCUAAAUUAAAGUAUUUAGAUGCUGUGGUAAAAGAAACAUUUCGUCUGCAUCCUGCACAGCCGUUAUUAGUACCACAUAGGGCAAGCGAGAGUAGCAGCAUAGGUGGCUAUACCAUUCCCAAAGAUACAACUCUUAUGUUGAAUGUUUGGGCUAUCCACAGGGACCCUCGACUGUGGGAUAAUCCCUUAGAAUUUCGACCUGAGAGGUUCUUGAACGAUGGUAUUGCGAGCAAAUUUGAUUACUCGGGUAAAAAUUUUCAGUACUUGCCAUUUGGUUCUGGCAGAAGGAAGUGUGCGGGGAUUGCUUUAGCUGAAAGGUUGUUGAUGUUUGUUCUAGCUUCGUUCUUGCACUCGUUUGAGUGGAAAUUGCCGGUAGGCACAAAGCUAGACUUAUCUGAAAAGUAUGGGUUUGUCACUAAGAAAAAAGAGCCUUUGGUUGCAAUUCCAACACCAAGACUACCAAAUUCAGAGCUCUACCAGUGAGAUAAAGUGAUUGUGAUAGUAUCGUGUCCCAUUAUAUUGGAAGAUUUGUAUGUUAUUUCAAGUUCGGUCAUAAUAAACAUAUAAUAAAUGUCCUAGGUUGCUAGUUUUUCAAUGGAAUAAUCUAUCAUCAUAUGUACUUGUGUUUUCUAAGCUAUUUGUGAUGUACUUAUAAAUUAUAUAUUAUUUUAAUGUCUCCCUAACUUAAUUUUAUGUUAAAUUAAAUUUAUUAUGUUAAUUUUUAUAUUAAUUUGUAUUUUUAUUGUGGGUAUAUUUUAAUAUUAAAGAGGAAUUAAAUUGAAAUAUUCAGGAAGAAAUUUGUUUAAAAGAGUCGGAAAGAGAAAGGAAUAAAGAAAUUUAAUUGAAACAAAUCAACGAAGAUGCAAUUAUACAAACCAUUAUGCAUGCAUUGACGUGGAGCACUAGAAGGCAAUAGAUGGCACCUGGAAAUUAAAAAGAAUUUGGCAUAAGUUCCGCAAUACAUAGGUCUGUGGCUAGCAAAUCCGAAGGCAAGUAGGAUUUUCAAUUUAAUAAGGGUCACAGCCUGCAAUACACGAAAAAAAGGCGGCUAGCAUUAUUAAUAUAAAAAGCCCACCUGAUUGAAAAAUUAGAGGCAGAUGAGAGAAGGGCAGCAGCCGCACACAACCGGAGGAAAAACCCGAGAGAAAAGUCAAAAGAAAAGAGAGAAAUUGCAGCUGCAAAACCAAGAGCAACAACUUGGACAAGCCGAAUUGCAGAUAAUAGAGAGAGACAGUUUCCUGAAUUUAUUUUUUUUCUUUUCUUUUCCAGUUGUCUUACUUGAAUAUUUCUUAUCAUGUUUAUGAAUUCUCUUAAUAUUUCUAUGAACUAAUUUAUUUUGCCAGGGCUACGAUACAGCUUAACUAUGAAGACUAAAUUCUAUAACUAUGUAUUAUUUUUAGCUUAUUAUUUCACGAUGAUUGUUCAUUAUUAUGCUUAAUGUUUUAAAAUAUCUUACCGAUAAUUAAAUGAUUUGUGGAUACAUAAUGAGAUCGAUAGGAGAUUUAGUGUUUUUGCUCUAUAUAAUAGAUGCAACAAAUUGAACGAAAGACGGAAAUGUGCCAAUGUAAUUCGUGCAAUUUCCAUAAAGGUUAAUAAAUCUUUGCAUAUUUAAAUUCACAUAAAGAUAUAAUAGGUUAACUCACCUUAGUGUAAAUUAAAAAAUUGUUUCAGAAUAGGUUUCUUAAAAAAUUAAAAUGAUAAUUAACUUAAUUUUAAUCUAAUAUUUCAUCAUUACAAUUCUCAAUAAUCAAAUAAUUUUGAAUAAAAAAAUAAAAUAACUGAAAAUAUGAUGUAUUAAAAAUUUACAAUUAAGAAAACACUCAUCAAACACACACUACCAAUGCUUAAUUUUCCUAUAGCAAUGUGUAACAUAUUAAAUCUCAUUAAGGAUGAAAAUAUGAUUACUUAAUUCAUUGGUUGAAGCCCCAUGCGUGCUCUAAAAUCUCAUUGGAUGUAUACAUUAAGGAUAGGUAUAUUAAUUUUUUUUUACACUUAUUAAAUUCCUCCAACUAUCAUUUUGUUAACUCACGUGUAUAUAUUAUUGAUUGUUAUAUGUUUCCUAGUUAGAUAGGAUUUCCUUUCCUCGUGAACUAGAGUAAUUCUUAUGUACAUAUAAAUAUUGAUCAAUAAGAGUGCAGACAACUGUUGCCGUUUUGCAUCGUAAAAUUCUUCAUGGUAUCAGAGCGUGAUGGAAGACCAAACUCAAACAAAAACAAAAGAUAAAGAGGCUAGCGGAAGUGGAUUGGGCAAGACAAUGAUGUCUCUUUACUUCCUCUCGGCCAGUGAUAAUCCUGGAACUAUCAUCACUCAAGUGCAACUUCGAGGAACCAACUAUGACGAGUGGGCAAGGGCUAUGCGGACUGCAUUGCGCGCCAAGAAGAAAUUCAGUUUUGUUGAUGGAAUCGUGAAACAGCCUGCUGAUGACUCGGUUGAUUUGGAGGAUUGGUGGAUGGUGAAUUCAAUGUUGGUCUCCUGGAUACAUAAUACAAUCGAACCGAACCUGCGAUCUACUGUGACUUAUAAAGAAGUUGCUAAGUUGUUGUAGGAUGAUAUCAAGGAAAGGUUCUCUGUUGGGAAUGGACCACGUGUACAGCAACUCAAAUCUGAGUUGGCGAAUUGCAAGCAACGAGGUAUGACUAUUUUGAAUUAUUGUGGGAAACUCAAGAUGUUGUGGGAAGAAUUGAGUAACUACGAGCAAUCGCAUGUUUGUCUAUGCGGUAAUUGUACGUGUAAUCUAGGUGCGGAAUGGGAUAAGAAACGAGGUGAAGAAAAGUUACAUCAAUUCUUGAUGGGUCUUGAUGAAGCCGUGUACGGUGGUGUGCGGUCUCAUAUUCUAAGCACCGAGCCGCUGCCAAAGUUGAACCAUGCCUAUGCUAUAGUCAUUCAGGAGGAGCAGGUUCAGUCAAUGACACGUGCUAAGAAGAACGAAGUGAACCUGUAGCAUUUGCCGUUCAAGCCGCGUAAGGAUCACAUGGCAACCAGGAUAAGUCUUCUGUACUUUGUACCCAUUGCAACAAGACUGGACAUGAAGCAUCUUCCUGUUUCCAGCUUAUUGGGUAUCCCGAAUGGUGGGGUGCACGGCCGAAAGCCACGAGGAAUGCAGGUCAUGGUCGCGGCAAUUCAUGAUAGAAUAGUAGAAACAAUGGGCAUGGUCGUGGAGGUCCUGCUCGGGCCAACGCUGCUCAAGUCGCGACAGGGUCUAACAAUCCGUCUGGAGAACUCCCGGAAUCAGCCACAAGCGAUCUCAGCGGUUUGAGUAGUGAGCAGUGGAACACAUUGCUUAAUCUUUUGAACAGUAAAAAAGAUAGCACCUCACAUUACAUGACAAGAAACAGAAAAAUCUUACGCGACAUUGUAUCUGUUAUUCCAUGUUCUAUUCGGUUGCCUGAUGGAAACGCGACAAUAGCAAAUACAAAAGGAACAGUUGUGCUUGCUAGCCUCCUGCGAGUAAAUAAUGUUUUAUUUGUGCCAAGUUUAACUUGCAAUUUAAUUUUCGUAUCACAACUGAUUUAAGAUGCCAAUUGUUUUAUUCAAUUUUCUGAUCAAUUAUGUGUGAUACAGAACCGCAUUACGAGGAUGCUGAUUGGAGUGGGUGAGCAGCGAAAGGGACUCUAUUAUUUUCGGGACAUCGGUUCGACCGCCGCUCUGUCUAGUGUUGCCAACCGAGCUUGUGAUUUAUGGCAUCGAAGAUUGGGGCAUCAUUCUUCUAAAGUUGUUCAACUGCUCCCUUUUAUUGAGUCGGCCUCUUGUUUGUCUAGUUUUCAUAAUUGUGAUGUACGCUUUCGAGCAAAACAGUGUCGUGACAAAUUUGUUUUAAGCAAUAAUAAAGCUUCAGAUAUUUUUGAAUUGAUUCAUUGUGACUUGUGGGGACCUUAUCGCACAAUUAGUUCUUGUGAUGCUCAUUAUUUCUUGACUAUUGAUGAUUUUUCUCGCGGUGUUUGGACAUGUCUUCUAGUCUCGAAAAAUGAGGUUGGUCAUAUAUUACGCAAUUUUUUUAGUAUGGUCUCUAGACAAUUCCAUAAACUCGUUAAAAUCAUACGGACAGACAAUAGGACAGAAUUUAUGCAUUUAUCUGAUUUCUUUGCUAAGCAUGGCAUUCAUUAUCAGACAUCUUGUGUGAGUACUUCUCAACAAAAUAGUCGAGUCGAAUGCAAGCAUCGACACAUUCUCAAUGUUGCUCGCGCUCUGGGCUUUCAGGCUUUCUUACCAAUUGAAUUAUAGGGUGAAUGUGUCUUAACUGCUUGCUACUUGAUCAAUCGAACACCUUCUGUUCUUCUUGACGGAUAGACUCCUUAUGAACAACUAUUUGGCAAGGCAUCAUCUUAUGCAAAUAUUCGGUCAUUUGGUUGCCUCGCCUAUGCCUACAACCGUGAUCAUCGCGGUGAUAAAUUCGCUAGUCAAAGUCGUCGUUGUAUAUUCAUAGGUUAUCUUUUUGGUAAAAAGGGAUGGUAUUUAUAUGAUUUGGAGAGUGCCUCAUUCUUUACUUCCCGGGAUGUAACAUUCGUUGAGCAUGAAUUUCCCUACAAGGCUCUAACCAAACCAGCUGCUACUGCCACGCCUGCUCCUGAGCCUGAUGAACCGGUUUUAGCUGAGCAUUUAUCACAUGAUUUAAGUGCUUCUGUUGUCUCACCAAAUUUGGUUCAUGUUGCUUCACAGGAUACAGGCGAUGUUCAUGAGACCAUUAAUACUUCAUCACUUGUACCUGCUUCUCCUACUCUUGAUAAGCAUGCUUCUGACGACAGGGGAUGCAUUGAGGCUGUUAAGACAUCAUUGCAACAACAACCGGUGUUGGGGCGCCAUCUUAGACAGCGGCAACAAUCGAUUAAGUUAAAAGAUUAUGUCUUGCAUAUUGUUCAGCAUUUGAGUCCCUCUUCGCGGCCCUCUUCAUGCUCACACGCUCAAUCACUUCUUGCAGGUAGUCCUUAUCCCAUACUUGAUUAUGUGAAUUGUAAUAAUUUUUCUGCUCGACAUUGUGCUUUUCUAGCAGCGAUUACUGCAGGAGUUGAGCCUACCUCUUUUGGUGAAGUCGUGAGAGAUCCUACAUGGCGUGAGGCCAUGAAGUCUGAAUUGCAGGCACUGGAAAAUAAUAACACAUGGACUGUUGUGUCUCUAACACCUAGAAGCGUGCCAUAGGCUGUAAUUGGGUGUACCGGAUUAAGUACAAUGCUGACGGUACAGUUGAAAGAUACAAAGCUCACUUGGUAAUCCUUGGGAACAAGCAAGUUGAAGGAAUUGAUUACACAAAGACAUUUGCUCCUGUCGUAAAACUUGUUACAGUUCGAACUUUUCUGGCUGUUGCUGCGGCUAAGAAUUGGGAGCUUCAUUAGAUGGAUGUUCACAAUGCUUUCUUACACGGUAAGCUCAAUGAAGAAGUUUGCAUGUGCCUACCAUCUGGUUUCACCUCAAACGAAUAUGGAAUGAGUUGUCGUCUAAGAAAGUCAUUAUAUGGAUUAAACCAAGCUCCCCGUUGCUGGUUUGCAAAGUUGGCAGUGGUUUUGAAGACUUACGACUUUACUCAAUCGAGCUCGGAUUAUUCUCUCUUUACCUUGCAUCGGAAUAGCAUACAUUUACUUUUGCUUGUGUAUGUUGACGAUAUAAUUGUUUCGGGAAACAACAGCGAAGCUAUUCGGGUAUUCAAGAUGUAUUUGAGUGACUGUUUUUAUAUGAAAGAUUUGGGUCCAUUGAAAUAUUUUUUAGGUAUUGAAGUUGCAAGAAAUCCGACAGGAAUCUUCCUGUCUCAGCGAAAGUAUGUGUUAGAUAUUAUCUCUGAGGCUGGAUUACUAGGUGCAAAACCAGCUCCAUUUCCCUUGGUGGCUAUACCAUUCCCAACGAUACAACUCUUAUGUUUAAAUGUUUGGGCAAUCAAAGGGGCCCUCAACUUUGGGAUAAUCCCUUAGAAUUUCGGCCCGAGAGGUUCUUGAAUGAUGGUAUUGCAAUCAAAUUCGAUUACUCGAGUAACAAUUUUCAGUACUUGCCAUUUCAUUCUGGGAGAAGGAAGUGUGCUGGGGUUGCUCUAGGUGAGAGGAUGUUGAUGUAUGUUCUGGCUUCGCUAUUGCACUUGUUUGAGUGAAAAUUGCCGACAGGCACAAGGCUAGACUUAUCUGAAAAGUUUGGGAUUGUCAUUAAGAAAAAAAACAAAAAAAAGCCCUUGGUUGCUAUUCCAACACCAAGACUACCAAAUUCAGAGCUCUAUAAGUAAGAUCAAAAUGGUUGUGAUGAUAUUGUUUCCCAUUGUAUUGGAAGAUUUCUAAUUUAUUUGAAGUUCAAUCAUAAUAAAAUGUCCUUGGUUGCUAGUUUUUCAAUGGCAUAAUCUAUCAUCAUAUGUACUUGUGUUUUCAAGAAGCUAGUUGGACUAAUUUAUUUUUGAAUUACAAUCUAUAAAUAUUAAUAUUUUAAAUAUCAGCAGCAACGGAAUAAUAUGGAGUGUAUGGUCUGAUCUUAAAGCUCUGGCUUGAAACAAAUUAUGUGGAGUCGUGUGCCCGCUUUCCCUAAUUAAACAAGUGGUUCGUGAUCAAGACACAACAUUCGCUCCCUGUGACCCAACAAUCGCCGCACUGGUUGCCACCUAUGGCGCCAACGAUAUAGCAUAUGGUCCAAUUAUGGUCCCGAAUGGGAAAAGUUGCG
rnacentral:lncRNA from 1 species